rnacentral:lncRNA from 1 species
GGAAUCUCCUGCGAGGUCCAUCCGUCCAUAUAUAUACGAUACCAGCAAAAAUAAAAAAAAAUUCCAAAUUAAUUGUUGUUAGUUGCUCGUUGAUUACAUUUUCCAUAUAUUGAAUAUUUCUCUAAUUUCAGAUGCAAUGCAAGCCUCCUGGUGAAGAAAUCGCCCAUGAGACAACACUGGCAAUACUACACAAGCUGUCAAAGUAUUCAUGGGAAGCAAAGGCAUCACUGACCCUGGCAGCUUUUGCUAUGGAGUUUGGUGAAUUCUGGCUCCUUGCAGAGCUUCGUGAAUCAAACCACCUUGCCAGGUCAAUUGCAAUUCUCAAACGACUCCCUGUUCUCCUCAAGCCUUCUCAGCUGCACAAGCGCAGGCAAGCAAUACUUGAGCUUAACAAUCUGAUCAAGGCCACACUGGAAGUCAUUACAUGCAUCGACCAGUUCAACAAGCUUUCCAUUUAUGACCUGAAUGAUGUCCCCGAGUUGUCGGGAACAUUGGAUCAUGUUCCGGUGGACGUAUAUUGGGCUAUCAUGACUGUUGUGGCUUGUGCCACUAAGAUCACACUACUCACUAGUGAUGAGUAAGUUCCCCGAUCUCCAUCGUUUUAACGAAUUAGCUAAUUACUAUACUCACUGUUGUGGUGUAAGCAUUGUUCCUGGAGAUUGAAUUUGUGUACCGAUUUACGAUAUUUACCCUAUUUAAUUUGCCACAUAUUGUUUCAGGGACAAAGAAUUUGACCUAUCUCCCUAUUCUCAAAAGAUCCACUUUGUCCUUAACAAGCUCAAGACGCAGCUAACAAUUUGCAGAGCACGAAUUGGUGGGUUAAUUAAUUGCAUAUUUUUUAUUAAUUGAGGUUCACAUUAGUUCUAUAUGUGUACUCUUUGAAACGAAAUUUGAAGCAAUUUUAUUGUUGUCUAAUGCAGAGUUCAUAGAAAAUUAUAAAAAGCUCAAGAAACUGUUCCGAACACCUACUGAAAUUAUGGAAAUCUUUAAGGGUUUGUUAUUUACAAAGGAUAAUGUCCAGCCACUCGUUGAUUGUUCCACUAAACAAACGGUUUGUGCAUCAUCUCUAGGGCCAUCAUUUCUCUACAAAUUGUAACAACAAUAGUGAAACUUAAUGGUGCCCAACUCUUUAACAGGUGAGCAUCGAAAUCCUAAGGAGGAAGAAUGUGCUAUUCUUCAUUUCCAGCCUCGACAUUACGGAUGACGACAUUUCGAUUCUGAAACCGGUCCACGAGUUCACAAAGAAAGACAAUCAGUAUAAGAUUGUGUGGAUACCGAUUGUGGAGCAAUGGACCGAUGAGCUGAGAAAGAAAUUUGAAAUCCUGAAGAACAAGAUGCCGUGGUAUACGGUGCAGUACUCUGGACCUAUUGCAGGCAUCAAGUUCAUCAAGGAGGAAGUGGAACUUCAAGGUAAGCCAUUACNGGUAGUGAUGAACCCACAAGGAAAGGUCGAACACUCUAACGCUCUUCACAUGAUUCGGGUGUGGGGAGUCAAGGCCUUCCCUUUCACAGAGACGAUAGAGAAAGAGCUGUCAUCAGAUUCUCAUGGAGGAAUUCACUCUAUAGUUGUUGACGGAAUUCACCCUUCUGUGCCAUCUUACGUAAUUCACCUCAACCGAUCAAAGUGCAUAUAUAAAUUCACGAGUUAUUAUUUAUAGUAUUUGCCUAUAUAUAUUACUUUUGACAGUGCAUUACUACAUCAAUAUAUACAUUACAUAAUAAUGAACUAGGAGAGUACGGUCAUCUCCAUUAUUGAUAUAUUUUCACUACAUUCACCUGAAACGAUGAGAAACUUAUUCAAUUUGUUAUCCUCAAACAGAUCAGAGAUAAUAAGUACAUCUUCUUCUAUGGCGGUAAGGACAACGAAUGGAUUCAGCAAUUCACAAAGAAAGCAACUGCCCUUGCAAACGAUCCUAUCUUGAAGGAGGCAAAGAUUUACAUAGAGUUGGUUUGCGUUGGAAAAGGCAGCAAAGGAGAAGAUGACCAUGGCAUUCUAGGCCGCUUCUGGACCGGUAUAGAAAGCUUGUUCCUCACCAAAGUCCACAAGCACGUUGAUCCGAUCGGUCAAGAAAUUCAGAAGCUUGUCUCUUACAAGAACGAAAGUGGAUGGGUGUUGCUUACCAAAGGAUCAACUUUGUUGGUCACAGGUCAUGGUAUCUCCGCAUUGAAGGUGGUAGAGGACUUUGAGAAAUGGAGGGAGCAUGUCAAGGAGAAAGGGUUUGAGUAUUGUUUCAAGGCCUAUUAUGGGAAGGUUAUUCAGGCGGGUCGACCUUGUUGCCGUCUUGACAUUCCGGGGUCUACCGGAAAGGUUCCGGAGUCGAUGAAGUGCCCUGAUUGUCACCGUAGUAUGGAGACUUUUAUCAGUUACAAGUGCUGCCACAUUGAUGGUCCAACUGCACAUCAUUGAGUGCUGGCUGAAUUGGUGUUUACGAUCAGUCCUUCAGUACGUUAUGAUGGACUGUUAUGUUAUCUUUUACUUCUGCUUGUAUGAAUAAGAUGGGCAUGGCCGAUGCAUUGUGAUGCUUGGUAUAACCCAGACUUACGAUUUGAAUUUUCCAGCUAUAAUUAUAUGGCUAGAUGUACUAUGUUUGGUGCUAUCGUACGUGUACCUUUUGAAUCAAAUAAGACCAAUAUUUUGGUGACUAAAUUGAAACCAAUUUAAUUUUUUAUUUCAGGUUAUUUUGUUAAAACAAAACAAAAAAGCUUAAAUUGAAAUAAGGGUUAGUUUAGGAUUGCUGUGACUUUUUAUAAAAAUUGAUUCUGUUGUACUAUGAAUACAAUCAGUUGAGUGAAGGAAAAUACUUGUGUGCGGACUAAUAUGUAUGUGUGCGUCCGGACUCUCUGUUAUUUACAUAUUUUCGGCAAUGUAAAUCAUAAUUUUAACUGUACAAAAGUUGGAUUAACCAAUAAAGAUUAUCUCUGCGAAAAAUCAAUGUAAACAAAAUUCGUUUGCUUAUCCGAUUGCAUUAAACAAAUGAACAGUUCUGAUGAAAGUUAGCAACCUCAUGAUUAGCUGUCAAUUUGUUUGAUUCAUUUAGCUUAACAAACGAUUUUUGUUCACUGAUUUUUUUACAUAGGUGAUCUUAAGGUGUUUGACCCGAAAGCAUGUACCAUACCCGUUUUAUCAGAACACGCGGAUCCUAUUUGACCCGAAAUGCAAAUGCCUAUUUAAGUUGAGAAACUCGAUCGUUGAAGCAACGAUCAUUUUGGAAAAACUAUUCUGGGCUUAGCUUCUGCGAAAAAGUUCUAUGCUUUACUUGAUUUCAAGGUACUCAAAUUGAUAGUUAAAAGUAUGGACCAUUGUCGAUGAUUCUUUUACAGGGAAAUCAUUAGGGAUCGAGUUUGUAUUAUAUUGUUUCUAAUACGUGUUCCUUCUUUUGACGCGAGGAAACCAAACUUGGGUUCUACUAUGAUUCUGGGAAGGAAUUAAGAUUCUGGGAAGGAACGAAAGAAGAAGGUAUAAUCGGUAAGUGCCCAGCACUACAAAAGGGUAAAAGCUGAACGAAGAAAUUUCGACGGGAUGGUGAUGUUACCAUGAAGAAAUAGCUCUAGGAGCUAAGAUACUUGUCUUGCAUUGUGGUUUCUUUUAAAAUUCAUUUAAGUCGGCUAAUUUUAUGCAUGAUUCUUUUUACAUUUUGUGCUUUCAUUGGACCUAAUGAAAUUUUGUGCUUUUAAGCCGUUCGUUUGAGUCUAGCAGGAAAACAAAGUAUUGAGUACAACUCAUACUUAAGGCAAUCCAUCUGCUUUGGCCAAGAAACUUAUUACUGCUGAUUAAUAAGUGAGAUUGAUGUGUUGAUUUAUGUUUUCUGAAUAAUAUGUGAAAUAGUCAUGCUAUCACAUAAAGGCAAUAGCAAGUAUGAUGUCCAAUAAAUAGCUAUUGAUCAAUGACUUGUUCUGUAUCUGUUGGCAUGCUCUUUAUUGAUGUUUUGGUAUAACUGAAAACUAUAUAUGACUAUUUAGAUGAACUCAUUGACAUCUUGAUAAAUGACGCAUUAAUGCCUUGACAAGAAAGCAUGGUAAGUUAGUCAUUAGAUAAUAGACCAAAUUUAUCUUGUUUUCAUGAAAGUGUGGCUGUUUUUUGAGACUGCAUCAAUUUUUUUUGAAAUUGUCCAUUGUAAUUGAAAGUUCAUCGACUCAUGUUAUUACCUACUGGAAAUUUGCAUUCUGGAUGUAUCUACUAAGGAUCAUCUUCAAACAUUUGUGUGUAUAUAUGUAUAUAUGAGUAAAUGUCUAUAAUUAUAAUGAAACUACUCCCUUUUAAACUGUGCUAGUCUGUAGAUAUGCAAAUAGCAUUCAUAUUAGAAAUUUACUAGAUAUGCAUGUGUUGGGAUUUACUUCCAAUGAUUCUUAGCAAAUAUCGGCUAUCAACAUAAAGUUAUCUUUUUAGCUAGUAGUUAAAUGUCAGCGCAAUGCAAAUACAGGAUUUCUGGUAUAACUUGUUAUUGUUUCUCUUGGUCAUUAUUCAAAUCUGUAUAUUGAGUAUUGGAACAAGUCAUGUGCUUUUCUAUAAUUGUACAGUUAAUACUACUUCAAGCUAGUGACAUUUAAUGACAGUAUUUACAUGAAAUUUUGCACAACUAAUUGAGCUUCAUAAGUAUGUGUGAUUGUCAAUGGAAAUCACGUAAAGCACUAAAGGCUACUUUUAUAUCUAUGCUAUGCUAUAAAGUUCCUAUACAGAACACAGAAAAGAGACAUGCAUAGAGCUUUAUUCGAAAUCAGACUACAGAAAUUGUUUGGAUACUAUAUGGGAUUGUAUCUAUGCAUCUACUACUAACUUGAUAUGACACAACUAAGGUAUGUUUUCAAGAACUGAUGAAAUUUUUAUCAAGUGAUGCUUAAGUGCAUCAGGGUUGUACAUGAAUUUGAUUAAAGCAUGUUGCCUUGGUAUUCUAAAUAAGGAUAUUCUGUGAUGAUCACAUGCCGGUAACUAUAGUGAUAUGUCACCAAAAUGCUUCAAUUUUGAUCUGGAAUAUCUUACAUAUGUUGAUAAUCAUUGUGUACUUGUUGUUACAAUUUGCUUGUGUAAAAUUUAGUUAACAAGAUAAAAGAUAUCUCCCAAAAUGAAUCUUGUUAAAUUUUCAUUAAAUUUUACUGUAUGCAUAGUUGGUGUGUUUCUUCAAGCCUUGUGCUCGAUGAACUACAGGAACCAACUUUGAUCUUGGAUCCUUGGGGUGUCUUGGUGGUACAUGUUGAACACAGUAAAUUGCUACUAGGAUCUCUCAUUGAUUAUAAAGGUUAAGAUCAAGAAACUUGUGUUGUACACAUUAAUUUCAUGACUGUAUCUCCCACAGGAGGUUUAAACUUUACAUGGAUUUAAUUUGCGCAUACAGGUUAUACAGCACAUCACAAAAUUGAUAAAAUGCAUUUGUUUUGCCAAGAUCUUUUCUUCUUACCAUACAUGUGUUGACUGAUCUUAACACUCUUGUUCAUUUUGGGUCUUGUGAUUAAGAAACUUCAGAAUGUCAUGCCUCCCCAAUGUGUUUUUACAUACCUGCUUCGAUUUGUUCGAUAUAUGUGUUGCAUUAAUACUUGUUUUACAGCGCUGGGAGCAUCCUGGUAUGCAUCUGUCUAUGUUUUGAGAUUUUAUUGAACUUUGUUUCAAUUCAAUUGCAAGAACCCUAGAUGAUCUCCUGGGGGGUACUUAAGCUUUAGGAUAGAUGCCCAGAUGAAACUUAUCAUAUAGAUUUAGGUGUUGGAAAACCAUUGUUGAUGAUUCUGAAUUGAGUGAAAUGUGUUUGUAGUCUAUGUAGACUGAACUCUUAUGGAAUUGUUUGUGGUGUGCCUAUACCUACUAUAUGAUGUUUGAUAACAUGUAAUUGCUUAUGUGAUUCUUGGACAUAAAAUGACUUAAAUAAAUUCUCCCUGUUUGAAAAAAUUUAUGUUUAAAGAUAACAUAAGUAAAAGACUGAGUUUUCUUAUGAGAUGAAAAUCUCAUGGAUAUCAAAACGAAGGUUAUCAGUCACUGUUUUAGAAUCAAAAUGAGUGUUUUAAAUUUCAUAAUGCACACAGCAUAGUUGUUUAUGAUACUCUAUUUGGUUAUAAAGACACUAAAACAGGAAACUUGCAUAAAGUUGUUUAGAAUGCUUUCGUAUCAUCCACAGAUGGCUUUAAACAAUGUAAUUCUAAGCAAUUUUUAUGGUUUUGUAUGUCAUGUUUGAAGUGCAUAAGGAUGUAUAGUUGGACAUUUUCUUUUGCCAUACAAGUAUUGACUUGUCUGAUUAUAAAACGUACUUUCACACAUGAUAGGACAGUAAAGGAAAAUAAGGAAUGACCAAGUGCUUUACCACACAGGUAUGUUAUUGAAAAGAAAGAUGCAUAAGGAAAAUAUCAUCUAAAUUGAUAUACAUUCUGCAUUGUUUUGUAUUGAAUGUAUAUGAACUAUUAUGAAUUGAUAUGGAUUAUAGUCUUGUUUGUGAUUCUGGUUUUGUUUUACAGUGGUUAAACUUUAGACAAAUAUUUUCUAUAUAUAUUAUAUAUAGGGGGAGAAUAUUUCACAAUUCAGUUGCAUGCUAUUUACUAUAAGAGCAUUUGUCUUUUGGAAUGAGCAUAUUCAUGAAUCACUUGAUUAUUUACACUUUGUGGCUCUCACUAUAGUCCAUUAUGGAUUUUCAGAUAGCUAGAGAACGGUGGGAGCAUUGUUUACACUAUUUAUUGUUUAUUAGUUUUCUAGACUAAAUAUCUUGAGCUUAAAAACUUGGCAUUCUGCCUCUUUUGUUGAAAUGAAUAAGUUCAGACUUUUGAUUACAGUAAGGUUGUUGAAUUAUGAAAUUCAUGUUAUGAGCAUUAACAUGCUAUAAGAACUGUGGUAUGUGAUUUUGCUUAUAAAGAAAUUAUGUAUAUAUGAAAUAUAUAUAUAUAUAUAUAUAUACAUGCCUUUUCAGAUAUGGACCUCCGUAUUUAUUCAAAAGGUACGGAUUUUCUUAAUUGACAUACUUUUCGAUCAUAUUUUCUCAUCUCAACCAUUCAUCUUUUAGGUAUAUAUGAGUACGUAGAUUAUCUCUACAAAAUUUUAGCAAAAUUGAUAAUCAUUAAGGUAUUCAAAUUUGUGAAUUACACGAACGGUUCAUGUUGAACAGAUUUGGUUCGUUCAUUGUAAUCAUAUAGUUUCGAUACCUUAACGAUUAUCAAUUUGGCUGAAAAUUUGUAGAGAUGAUCUACACAUAUAUACCUACAAUGUGAAUGGUUAAGAUGAGAAAAUAUGAUCUAAAAGUGGGUCAAUUAAGAAAAUCCGUACCUCUUGAAUAAAUACGGAUAUUUGAACCUGAUAAUAUCUAGAAUUAAAUUCAGUUUACCCCCAUGAAGUUUGGGAGUAACUUCAUGUUAAUCCCUAUACUUUCAAUUUCAUCAGUUUACCCCUCAAACUUUUGAAUUUUCCUCAAGCGUGACCAAAUGUCCUAUAUUCUGUCCAAAUCGGACGUUAACUACUGAUAAUUUUAACCAUAACUGUGAGGCCAGUAUCUAGAAUUUGGGCAAAUCGGACCUUAUAUGUCCAAAUCGAACCUUAACUGCUGAUAAUUAAAGGUCAAUUCAAACGGAAUAUGAGAAUUUGGGCACGGCAGACAUAAAUUGAAGAGUUCAAGGGGUAAACUGAUGAAAAUAAAAGUGUAGGGACUAACAUGAAGUCACCCCCAAACCACAAGGGGGUAAACUGAAUUUUAAUUNNNNNNNNNNNNNNNNNNNNUAUAUAUAUAUAUAUAUAUAUAGAGUCCGGAUCUAGAAAGGACCUCCUUAAACUCUUAAAGUGAGGAUGUUUUUAGUUCUACCAUGUAUUUUGACAAUCAAAGCCACUCAUUCCCUAGUUACUUACCCACGCGCAAAUAUGAAUCCAACAAAAAAUUAGCCAAAAUGAAAAACGUUUAACCAUUUGAUUAGCACAAUAUUCGUUUUAAUUUUAUCUAACGGCCUACAAUUGUGUACGUCAAUUUGAAUGACCAAAUGAUUAUGGAAUUAGUUGAAAUUUUGUAGACAUGUUUUUUGCAUAUGAAUCUAGAGGAUCAACGGUUGAGAUAGUUAAAUGAAGUCAUCUACUAAUGUAAAAUAGUAGAAAUCUUUAAAUUCUUAAAGUAAGGAGGUUCUCUUUAGAUCCUCCCUAUAUAGUUUUUAUCAAGAGCGAAGCUUCGCUCUGAAAUUAAAGUGUGAAGUUCUUUAUUUGACUCACUUUUUCGUCAUAUUUCCACAUUUCCACCGUUCAGUUUGUAGAAUCUAAUGCAUAGAUCACUUAUGCAAAGUUUCAUCUAAUUUGAUGAUCGUUUGGGUUUUCGUAAUCGUUAUUUACACAAACAGUUCUGGUUAGACAAAUUUAUGGUCCGUUCAUUGAUUUGAUCUAAUUUAGUACCCAAACAAUCAUCAAUCUUAAUGAAAUUUUGUAGAAAUGAUCUAUACAUUAGUAUCAAUAAUCUGAACGAUGGAGAUAUGAAAAUAUGAUGAAAAAGUGAGUCAAAUAAGAAACUUCACACUUUAAUUUCAUAGCGAAGCUUAGCUCUAGAUAGUAACUGUGUGUGUGUGUGUGUGUUGCAUCAUUAUGCCUGUUAAAGGAACACAAGAAAAAGGUGCGUCUAUUGCCACCCCACAAACCAUUUUGGUUACCCCACACGUUGUUGAUUUAUUGAAUGACUAAUAUACAUUAAUGUAAAAUUACAGCAAUGGACAAUAAGUUGUUACAAAUUACAAAUUUCCUCUUUUUAGAAAAACAUAUAUUUCAUAAACCUUAACCAGAAUUUAUCAUAUUCAAUAUUUCUAAAAAUUCGAUAUUUCUAAGAAGUCUGAAGAAGACACUAGCAUUCAACUGAGGAUGAGGUGAACUGUUUGUAUUUUUUUUUCUUCUUUUUUUUUCUUUGUUGAUGCUUCGUCUAUCCAUUUACCCAUUAUUUCUCAUAUCGAUUUUGUAUGUAAAUUUUCAUGUCUAGUCGCUCACUUAUAUAUAUUCGAUNNNNNNNNNNNNNNNNNNNNNNNNNNNNNNNNNNNNNNNNNNNNNNNNNNNNNNNNNNNNNNNNNNNNNNNNNNNNNNNNNNNNNNNNNNNNNNNNNNNNNNNNNNNNNNNNNNNNNNNNNNNNNNNNNNNNNNNNNNNNNNNNNNNNNNNNNNNNNNNNNNNNNNNNNNNNNNNNNNNNNNNNNNNNNNNNNNNNNNNNNNNNNNNNNNNNNNNNNNNNNNNNNNNNNNNNNNNNNNNNNNNNNNNNNNNNNNNNNNNNNNNNNNNNNNNNNNNNNNNNNNNNNNNNNNNNNNNNNNNNNNNNNNNNNNNNNNNNNNNNNNNNNNNNNAAAUCAUGACUUUAAGGACUAUUUAGAUUAAAAUAAAACCAUAAGGACUAUUUGGAUGAAAAAUCGUGACUGUAAGGACUAUUUAGAUUAAAAUAAAACCAUAAAGAUUAAACAGAUGUCGACUUCAAACCAUAAGGACUAUACAAUAUUUUACCCCUAAGAAAAUGAAUCGGAAUGACUAUUUGGAUGAAAAAUCAUGACUUUAAGGACUAUUCAGAUUAAAAUAAAACCAUAAGGACUAUUUAGAUGAAAAAUUGUGACUUUAAGGACAAUUCAUAUUAAAAUAAAACCACAAAGAUAAACAUAUGUUGACUUCAAACCACAAGGACUAAACAAAUUUCAAUUCUUUUUUUUUCAUCGGUGUCAGAGCUUUUUUCAAGUAGAGCUUUUUUCCAUGUGCAUCUUAUCGACGGAUACCAAUGUUGUUAAGUUUGAGAGUUUUUUUUUGUUCUUUAAUUGUGAUUUAUACUUUAAUAUGAUUUUUAUUGUUCAGUUUGUGAUUCCACUUACCCAAAUGAUAGUAAUCUUAUGGUUUUCUUCAAUUUCAUUUUGUUUUUGGAGUUCAAUGGCUAUUGGAAGAGACUGAUAUUGUGUGUAUUACAAAUCGGUGAAUAAAGUAAAUUUAAAAUUAAAAAAAUAUAUAAGCCGGGUGAGAAGAGAUCGAAUGUAGGGUGAAUAAAGUAAAUAUGAAAUUGAAAAAAAUAUAUGUAGGGCGAAAAAAGAAUUUAGGGUGAACAAAACAAAAAUGGGAAAAAUGUAUUUUCGGUAUUGUAAAUGGGUGAACAAAGUGGACUUACAAUUAAAAAUAUAUAAGUGGGGUGUGAAGAGAACGUGGGUUGAACAAAAUGGUUUGUGGGGUGGUAAUAGACGCACCCACAGGAAAAUUUUCUUUGAAAGUUUGUGUUGAGGUUCUUGCAUACAGAACCAUAGAAUGGAUUGCUUUGCUCAAGUGUUUGAUUAUCACCAUUUUCAUCAGGAAACACUUUGGCAAUUCUGUCAUCCCUGAUUGGUCAUGUAUUACAUUUAGAGUCGUGUCGGUGGUCUUUAAGUUACUGAGUUCAAUGAAUGCAAUUUUUCUGGACAUCUGGCAUUUCUCUUUUGUGAUGACAGAUUGAUAAUGUUUGUAUCAAACAUGUGAAAUUUUAAUCUCAAGUGCACAAAGGAACAGUGUUAUAUCUAAACUCAAUAUGAAUUCUUAUUACAGGCUCUAAUGGAGAAAUUUUGAAAAAUGACCUAUUGUGGUUGUUCUAGGAUAUUCUGUAUCUUUCUAGAUAUUCUUUAUGUGUGCCUUGCCUUAUGCCAAUAGGAUAUGUAGUUUGACUAGAUCUAUGUAUUCAUAUCCUAACCAUAUUGGUAUUGUGUAAUUCCCUAUAUAAAUGGCUCAUAUCAAUGAAUAAGAUGAUGAUUCUCUUGUUAUCUCUUUGUCUCUACACUUUAUCCUUCAUCACAUUAUCAUGCACUUUGUUCUAACCCUAGAACUAAUAGCCCACCAUUUUUUUUCCAAACCCUAAAAACCAAAACCGGAGGUUCUCGGCCCUGCCUCGGCCGCCGCCGCCGUUGUCGCUUCCCGGCCGUCCACUCUGCUGCUUUUUUUUCAUCCGAUCAAGCAUCCAAGUGUUUACAGUAUGUUUAUUUUACAACCCUAAAACUCUUCCAAGUUCAAUAACCUCGGGGGAGAUAAAGUGCUUUCUCCCCUUCUUCUACUCCAUUCUAUGCUUGGGUCGGUGUAUUUGCAGGUGCCAAAAAUCCCGAAAUUUUAUUCGCGGGUCAAGAGUGUGUUUGAUCACUCUUGUUUCCUUGUCCGGGUUGUGUAUGAUCAACCCCAACCUAUCACCGGAUUGUGUUUGAUCAAUCCAAGGCCUUUUUCCGAAUUGUGUUUGAUCAAUUCGUGGCUUUUCCGGAUUGUGUAUGAUCAAUCUGAAGGACAAACCAUUAAAAGCAUUGUUUGUGACCUCUAUCAAGUCUCAUAACAGCUUGGUUUUGUAUGCAAGAGCAAUGUAACAUUCUGCUCCUUUGAGUUUUGACGUACUCGAUGCCUAAGGCGAAUCUUCGCUUGGUAUCUGUGGAACCUUUCAUUGGAAAUGAUUAAACCACAUGUUUUGACCCCCAGGUUAACAAGCUUAGAUGCCGAGAUUUCACAUCUCAUGCGCUCAAAGUCUUUGACGCGCUACAUCGACAAAAGUCUUCAAUGACAAUCUGUGCAAAAAGUAAUGACCACAAAAUACUGUGGAAUGCACUCAUGAAGCGUUUCUCGAAACGUUCAUAUAACUCUACUUGUUGAGUUAUUAGUCAACUGGAUUGCUUACCACUUUAAUUGACUACAUAUUGUCGAUGAUAUUUUGUGGCAUCAUGAUCCAUAAUCUUUAGCGGAUUCGAUCAUCAUCAAGUUCUCUAGGUCCUCUAAGUUGGUUUGGAAUUACCAACGAGACUUGAUUUUGAUCAUACAAAUGGGAAUUGUAUAUACGCUAAUGUGAUAAACUUAUUUGGGAUUAUCCCCUAAUGUGGGGACAACAAUAUGGGUCAUGGCAACGGUAGAAAACGUUGUGCCGAUGUCUAGAAAAGAGGGGGAGGUGUCGCCGGCUCUAAUAGCGACACUCCCGGUCUAGACAUCAUUUUGUCAAAACUACUCACGUCAGCUCAUGACAAUGCAACCGUUGUGGAUCUUCGGAUCACUGGUUCAAGAUUGUCCAGCUCCUUCAAAUUGUGAAUGCAUACAAAAAGAUACGGAAAAUCAAUAUGAGGACAAGAACGUCAUCCUCAUGAUCGCGAAUUUCAAAGAUUCGGAUCCUGCUCUAGCUACCCAUGACUUUGACGUCAUCUGUCACAUCCCGACCCUUAUAUUUUUACCUUAUUUACUAGCCUGAUUAUAAUAAAAAUUUUACCGUCUCGAUCAUUGAGUAAAUAGUUUAAUUGGUCCCUAGAGGGGUUUCGGGGACGAUUAUGUGCGGAGAAUUAUUAGUAUGAGGAAAAUACGACGACGGUAAAAAUGGUAAAUUUUAGCUAGUAAAAGGUAAUUUUUAUUCGGGUAUUAUUUUUUCGGGGUGUUUUUAUUUUUUUGGAAGUGGGUUGAUAUGGGUUGGACCGGUGGAGGCCCAACCCAUUUUCUUUUUCCUCCUCCCUUUCUCUUUUUCCGUCUUUUCUUUUCCUCUCCCCGAGCCUCCCGCUGCCCGGUUUUCCGGCUGUCCUCCCGCCGCCGUCCGACCUCCGUUCGCCGCCGGACCGGUCCCGUUCGGUCGGUCUCCCUCCCAGCAACAUUUCUAGACCGGUGAGAGGAGCCCUAGCGCCGCCGUGAGAGAGCGGUGCCGCCCGAAAGCAAGGGCUGUCCCGAACUUCCCUUCGCNNNNNNNNNNNNNNNNNNNNGUCCUUCGUCUAUUUGAGACAUCGAUGUACUCACAUUAGCAAUAAUGAAUUCCUUGAGAAUUUUUUCGAAGUUAUGAAACUAUUCUCCUCUUAUGGUUUGUAUUGAUUUACAAACAAGAUGUACAUUUUUACAUCGUCCUUAGAAGCGUGGCAUAUUUACAAUCUCAUGGUUAGAUUGUGCCGUUUUGGUCUCUUCCAAGUGAAGAUGACUCAUGACACGACAUCCUUAAAGAGGAUCGCCCACGUGUUUCCGGUUAAGUCUUCUACCCUAUGACGGAUUUUCAAUCAUCAAUUGUUCAACUAGGCUCAUCCAAGCUCAGUGUGAUGUCUUAGAAUUGUCCGAAAUUAAGGAGAUAGUGGUUUUAAGUGUGCCUCGCACUACCGACCCUCCACGGACAUGCCUGGUCAUACUGACUUGGAGUUGCCAAAAGCUUUUGAUUUUGGAUCCCCCUACGCUAUUAAACCAAUUGCCGUCUUGUAAAAGACGUUGAAGACUUAUCAAAGCCGGAAAAUUAUCAUCAUGGUCCUCUGAGUUAGUUUAUGUUCAUGUCAAGGAGCUUUUGCUAACUAGUCAUGGAGUUUACAACCUUAGAACGACCGAAAGGACUUGGUUUUGAUCAUACACACGUCAUUUUUGGCUAAGGCAAAAGCCUACACACCACCUGCAAGCUUCACAACUUCGCACAUGUCAAUUCUGCGAAAAACAGCAAUCUGUCCCUUCUGGACAGUAUUCAUUUGAGCUUUGUGAACAGCUCUGGACGAACCAGGCAGUGAGCUUUAUACCAUUGGAAAGCUCUACGAGUAUAGUUUUCAGAACUUUUCGCGGUUCAUCCAUAUCUAUUUUAACGAAGAAGUUAUGGUUGUUUUAGUGCGCAAAGGUCAUUCUGUGCGGAAAUUUUUAUGCACUAUCGGGAUUGCAGUUUUUCGUAGCUUCUUUCAAUCCUUCUAAAUAGUUCAAGUGGAACUAUUAACUAGCCUAUCUACUCCUUCUUGUACAUAUGUCUCAUCGAGACAUUGAGUGCUUCGCAGAUAGUGGAACUAUCCACAACAUUCUAAGGAACCGGCAACUAUCUUUGGAUUUUGUGCCUUUGUAAAUCUUCUGUGACUACAAUGAUUGAAUCAUACAUGUCAUUCAAGGAUACGGUUUAGCUUGAAUCUUGAUGCCUCAUGGCACCAUGAUCAAUGUCACAGAUACCUUCUAUGCAUUGAGAGGCAAUCAAAUCAUAUUGAGCUUUAAAGACAUUCAUGUUAAUAGUUUUCAUUUGAAAACAUAUUGUGAGAAUGAACAAGAAUUCUUUUGUGUAUACCUUCUCAUGAAUGCGGACUGAAAUGCAUCUUAGAGAAAUUUAUGAGUUAAUCUAGUGGACUGUAUGUCACUACGAUUCGAAUAUCGAAUCUCAUGUUGUCGCCAAACAUGAUAUUUGGGACACCGACUCAUAUAGGCUUUGGUUUGACCAAAUUGGUCAACCUGGAAGAGAUAUAAUGGUCCAAAUUUUGAGAAAUUCUCAUGGACAUCCAUUCUUCUGCUCAAAACGAAGACAUUUGAGAUCUAGCAUCACCAUGAAGCAUGGUGGUGACCCGGGGGACAUUGACGUCACCCGAACACAACUCCAACUUCUUGGAGGUCGUCCAGUCAAUUCCUCAAGCAAUUGAGGUGCACCAGCCUUCUCUCGAUGUCGCAUUGGCCCCCUGCAAUACUCAUUACUCGUUUUGAAAGCCUAUUCUUUAGCUAAAUUAGGAGUGAGACCCUCCUACGCUAAAUGACACAAAAGAGAAUAUUCAAUUCUUACAUCAAACUAUAUAGAUAGAUACAACCAACUUGCGGACACCUUUUUAUGCUUCAUGGUGUUGGUUGAAGUGUUAACACACUGGUCACAUGUUACACUAUUAUCUACUGCUUAUGCUGCUUAUACUUCUACGGGCUCACUACCCAUUCUUUAAAGAAGUUUAUCGGGAUGUAAGUUGAAGUGCCAUGUACCCCAUGUUCACACGCAAUACGGUCUCACCGAGGUUACGACCAAGCAACUUUAGCUUGUCGCUCGAACAUUAUUGAUGCGCACCAAUCUUUCUAUUGCGUCUUGGGGCUAUGCAAUAUUUGCAUGUAGUUUUACUAUUCAUCUACAACUCACCAUCAUUGAAUAUUGUUGUACUACAGCUGGUGACUGUGUACUAGGAUUGACACGAAAUUGCAAUCCUUGAGCUUGGCAAGAUUGAAACGGAUCUCCAAUCCUUGAGCUCAGCUAGAUGUUUAUUCUAGGUGCCAAAUCGCACUGCCACCGCACACAAUGAUGGGUCAUUUGAGAUGAAUAAGUAUUUAGGUUGGAUGUGAACCUCCACCUAUAAUCCGCAUAUGUAGAAACCUUGUCAGGCGAUCUCUUUCACCACUAUAUUGCGGAUUGUCACUUUGAUGAGACAAUAUUCCCGCCGUUAGGGGGAGAUAAGAAUACAAGUGUUCAAGUGGAACGACGUGAAUUGUCGUGGUUUGUCCCCACUAAGUCUCAUCUUGAUCCCAAAUGCUUAAAGUGUUAAAGUGACGAGAUCACAUGCUGCAAAUAUGUCUGCAAGGAUUGAUGUCCCAUCAAGAGGACAUGGCGCGACCAAAAGGUGUUGGUCUUGACGCCAUCACCAUGGAUGGUGAUAUAGUGACGUCAUAUAGUGGCAAAAUUGGUGUCACAAGGCCGUGUGGCUCCCUAAAAAGAGGGAGACCCUUAGGUUUGAUACUUUCUCACACUAGGAAGAAAGCGAGCUUGGCAUAACUUGAUCCAUUGAUCAGUGAUACUCAAAUCUGUCUCAUGAAAUCUGAAUUGUGAUUAUCGUUGGGGGAUGCCUCAAUGUCAAAUCCAAUCCAUGUAGAGAUCUCUACAAGUAUUACACUAAUGUAUACGAGGACGUGGGAUAAUGAGUCUACUAUCGAACCACCCUUUGUUGAUGGAUAUCAACUUAGUUGAUUGGCCUAAUGGAAAGAUGCGAUCUAGCAUUAACAAAGAGAUAGGUCCUUGGGCAGGUGAUGCCGACACCGCAAGCUAAACCCUAUCAACUAUGUCUUUGUUAGAUAGCGUAGUGAGAACUUUAUGGCGUAAGGUCUCUCACUAUCACGCACUGGGAUCGACUAUGAUGAGAUAUGCUCUCGUAAUGGAUGUCAUUGAACUCCACUACUUUGUCAGUUUGGUAGUUUCUGAAUAACUGAACAUGCAGCCUAUGAAUGUGAUCAUAAUAACAUCUCUAUGGGAUCAGAGAUAUACAUGAAGGUCUUAAACGGACUUCAUUCAUCCGAAUCAAGUGGUUCCUAACCACAAGAGCAUGCGUUUGCUAAAUGUAUUAAAACGCACAUGGACUCUACUUGAUUUGGAAGGGAUAUGGUGAAUUAUGCCUUUGCGUGUUCAUUCCAGAUUUACAUGGAUUCUUGAUGGAUCAAGAGAUGCCAAUAUGUAUCAACAUCCGAAGAAAAAGAUCUUGGGAAGACACGGUCUCGAUAAGGCAGUCGAUGACUGUAUUGAUGAUGAUGUUCCAUCAAUCGGCUUAGACGCUCUAACGAAAGUGAGGCCUACAUAUACUCCCAUGAUUAGUCAAGGUCUUUGCUCUAAAGAGAGAUCCAUUAUUUUGUCUAAAGAAAAAUGACAAAUAUGUGUUAAGAGAUGGAGUUCUCAUCUAAGUACAAUAAAACGCAUCAAUGUACUCAACACAAUACGAAAGACUUGACAUCUCAUUCGCUAUGAAAAGUUGUAAAGCUAAAUGUAGCUAUGCGCCCACGCAACGCCAAUGUAAUGGCAGUAACUCUUUUUUCAAUACUUAAUGGUAUGAAAGGUUAAGGCUUAUUCUAUCCCUUCAUAAGAAAGACACAUCAAAAGCGAAAUCAGAAUCUGCCAAGUUUUGUAGGUCAACUUCCACGGGACCUACAUGAAAUCUAACUCACUGGAAAAUUGUGAAAUUGGUACCAUUGGAAAGGUCUAUGUGUCUACUUUCCAGGGACACCAACCAUUUGAUCAUACCUAUCAUAUUGAGUGAGUUAUGGCCAUUUUCGUAAAGUAGGACGAAUCUGUCCGAGAAUCUGAUUUUGGCAAAACAGUCAACUUCGACGGGACUUUGUGAAUAGCUCCUGACGAACCAGAACGUGUGUAAUAUACGGUUGGAAAGCUCCAUGAGUCUAGUUUCCAAAACCGUUUACGGUUCAUUCAUAUAUAUAUCGUAGAGGAAGUUACGGCUAUUCUAGUAACUAAAGGUCAUGCUACGCGGAAAUCUAAUUUACUGCACGAACUUAUGUCUUGAGUUCACAAGCGGCCUUCUCCUCAAGAUCUAAGUGUAAAAGAUCAUUUGAUGACAAUACGGCAUGAUUUAGUUAAUCAUUGCCUAAUACCACAUUUGAAAACAUGUUAAAAAGCAUUGACAUGCUAAGUUGUUGAAACUUCCGUGAUUAGUAAAAAUUAGGAAGAACCCUAUGAUUGAUGUAAAGAUCAGGGGGAGGUGCGAACUUCAGGGGGAGUUUAGCACAUACAUUCAUGUCGCUAUAAAAUGUGAAGGGUGCGUUGUACUCUUUUUCUCCUACGAUCAAGGUUAAGCUUUUGUCCCAUAGGGUUUUUAUGACUUGACGAGGUUUUUGAUGAGGCAACAGAUAUUCUUUAUGUGUGCCUUGCCUUAUGUCAAUAGGAUAUGUAGUUUGACUAGAUCUAUGUAUUCAUAUCCUAACCAUAUUGGUAUUAUGUAAUUCCCUAUAUAAAGGGCUCCUAUCAAUGAAUAAGAUGAUGAUUCUCUUGCUAUCUCCUUGUCUCUACACUUUAUCCUAAACCUAAACCAUAAACCCUAAACCCUAAACCCUAAACCCUAAACCCUUAGAGCUAACUUAGGUGACGAAAAUACAUUUCGUCAUGUAAGUGAUGGGUUAGGUAACGAAAUAUAUUUUCGUCACCAAAGUUUUGAGCAUUUAGGUGACGAAAAUACAUUUCGUCAUGUAAGUGAUAGGUUAGGUGACAAAAUAUAUUUUUGUCACCAAAGUUUUGAGCACUUAGGUGACGAAAAUGCAUUUCGUCGCCUAACAACUUACUUUUGUGACGAAAAUAAAUUCGUCGUCUAACACCUUUGCUUAGGUGACGAAACAUAAAGUUGUGUGUCUUUUUGAACCAACUAUGGGGUAGAAGUAAAAUUUAGAAAACCCAUCAUACUAUAUGAUCAGUGUACUUAAAUACGGCUAUGAAAAAAAAUCCACCAGUUUUCGAAAACAUUAAGGUCUCGAUCCACGCGGUUAACAUUAAAUUAACGGCACUUAUUACACGAAAACGCUUUUACCUACUCCUAUACGACCUAGUUUGAUUGAUUCUUUCACACACAAAACUCUCACAUUGAUGAGAUGUAAUGACCCAUGUAAAAAUUUGGGGACGUUCACCUCUUGACGAUAGAGCUCCACAUAGAGAAACAUAAGCGUAUAUAGGGUUAACCGCUUGUAUCGGGGACCAAACGUUACCAGAAAUAUAUGAUUUUUCAACCAUAGUCGUAUUUCACCAUACCGAUGACAUCCUAUUUCAAAAGAUUUUUGAAAAUAUUGCUUUACAAAUAUCUACACUUGCAUGUAACCUACUAAACAAGUUAGACCACAUUAGUAGACAUGUUGUGGUUCCGAUGGCUAAAUUUUACAAAAUGAAAAUUCAACUGUCUGAUAUGAUCAGUGUACUUAAAUACGGCUAUGAAAAAAAAUCCAUCAGUUUUCGAAAAUGUUUAGGUCUCGAUCCACGCGGUCAACAUUAAAUUAACGCUACUUAUUUUACACGAAAACACUCUUACCUACCCCUAUAUGACCUAGUUUGAUUGAUUAUUUCACACACAAAACUCUCACAUUGAUGAGAUUAACCACUCAUGUAAAAAUUUGGGUACGUUCACCUCUCGAUGAUAGGGCUCCACAUAAGGGAACAUAAGCGUAUAUAAGGUUGACUGCUUGUAUCGGGGACUAAACGUUACCGGAAAUAUGUGAUUUUUCAACCGUAGUCGUAUUUCACUAUACCGAUGACAUCCUGUUUCACAAGAUUUUUGAAAAUAUUGCUUCAUUUUUUCUAACAAGAUCACAUUCUAUCAAAACCUUUUUCUUUUUAGGAAAUAAAUAAAUGUGUUGAAAUUAAAAUAAGACGACGAAAUAUAUUUAUUUCAUCAACUAAGUCCCAAAGUUUGAAAAUUUUUGGUUCACUGAGAUGACGAAAAUUUAUGUCUUCGUCACCUAACUACUUAAUAUUUGGCGGGUCGAAAAUUCCGUCAAUUUUUUAGGCCAAAUUUUGUAUUUGACUUAAGUGACGAAACGGCUUCAUUCGUGGGCUGAGUUUGUUUUUGUAAACCCAAAUACAGGGCAACAAGUCCCAUACUCCUAUUAACUCUGAAAUCCCUAAAUCGAUCGUAUCGAUUCCAACUUUCCAAGCCGUCUCCGCCCACAUCGCCGUCGCGUCCACAUUGUCGUCUCUUCCCUUGCUCCAUUGAUCCCAUUCGGCCUCUCCCGCGCUGAUCUCGUCUUAUUCAUCUCCUCAUGGCCAAUUUCUUUGUGAAUUUGGAUUGAUUAGUUCAACGAAGGAGGAGAAUCGAAGCCGAGUAGCUUUCGAAUUUGCAGAGAUUAUUCUAAGUUAAUCAGCAACGCCUUCCAAAACAUGAGGUGAGAGACCUCUAACCUCUUCUACUCGUUGAGUUUCAUAUCUAGGUGUAUUAAUUUUUAGAUUUUGAUCAUGUUCUGAACAAAUUGGUUUUUGGGUGUUAUCGGUUAUCGGCAGAGUUAUCGUCCUCGGCGGAGCUCCUAAGUUCUUCUUCCAUGUCUAGAAAGAGUAUUGGCAUCUUGUCAAGUUUGAUCAAUUGCUGAGAAGGUUGAAUUCGUGAGUUCGAGUAGUUUUUGCCACCACUGCGCCACCGUUUGUGGUGAAGGCCUAAGUUCCUUCUUCAGCUUGAUUUGCAUUAUGAAUUGUGUACUGAUGUUUAAUUAUGACUUAAAUCACAGAAGCUGUAUGUUUGAUGAUUUGGGUCAAGUUUCUGUUAAGGACUUUUGGGGUUGCUUCAUUAUGGAUGCAUGAACAGAGCAGGGGAUUGCUGUACAAUCUACAUCCAGAAUUAAUACUGAGUCUGGGGUAUCACUGUGUUCACCACUGAAUCUAAUUAAGGUGAAGGUGAGCUUCAAAUUUAUAAUCAUGCAUGAGCUACAAGUGUUUAAUAUAAUACUAUUAAGUAUUGAUUCGGGAAUUUGGAAAUGGAUUAUGUGAAUGGUAAUGGUUGAUUGAGUAACAUAGAAUGUCAUAUUGGGAAGGAAGAAUGUUUUAGAUUAAUCACAAGGGUGUGAUUGGUGAGACCAUGAGAGCUUGAAUAUAUUCAUGUUUGACAUUCUGUAUGAGUGGCUGGGCAUAGUUGUGCCUUUUUUAUUUGUUAAAUUGUUAUCAUUGGAGGAAUGGAGUUGAACUUCAGUAUUUAAAUUUGGUCUAUUGAAGAUGACAUACUAGUCAUCAAGAAUGAUACUGAAAUGGUAGUAAUGAUCUUCUUUGAGCUAUAUGACUAAGUUGGUAAGUUGCAACUUGGUAUUCAUGACUGGUCGGUAUGAACAUGUACCUAAAAGGUCUCAUGGAAUUUGAAUGAUAAUUAUAAAUUGGGAAUGUGGUAAUAGGGAAUUAAAAAUCAAAUUGGGAGUGUUAAGGACUUUCAAUAUGGUUAGUUUUCAUUAACUUGCAAAAACAUGGUUAAAAAUCAAUUUGAAUGCCUAAAAAGGAUUAUUAUUCUUCAAAAUUUGAGUAAAUUUUGGAUAUUGGUUUCUGGGUUUUGAGCUUUAGCAUUUAGGGUGAUGAGUAGGUUCAAUAUGAAACUAUUUUAACUCUGUGUAGGAGGCUUAUUGUAUACUGAGAGUUGAUGCGACUGACUUUAACUAUGUGAAAUUAGUAAAAAGAAUAAAGUUGAGUCCUUGGCAUCAGUAUUUUAACUCUAGAGCAUCUUAAAUUGAGUCCUUGGCAUCAGUUUAGCUGCUACUAACCCUCUUCUUACGAUAAUAUGAAUGAUUCUGUGUUAUGUAUAUGUACAUUGUACAAUCACCAAUUAACUAUGUAUGACUGACCAAGAAUGCCUCAGGAACUCACCCUAGCCUGCACUUUCCCAUCAACUCCAACCAUAUCCUUCCUUUUCGUACUGGGUCAUCACUUUUGUUCCUCUCCUUCUUCCAUGCCUAUAUUUUUUUCCUAACACAUACUGCUCAUUUCUUUGUUCUUUUCUCUUCCAAACCUGUAUAUUUUGUAUGGCUUCUCCCCUCUUAUUUCAUUUGUUUUGCACAGUAGCCAGUGUGUUUAGUUAGUACGAUUAAAACCGAUUAAUUAUUGUAUUGUUUUUGCAUUUUCAUUAUGUUUAGUUACAUGUGUCUUUGGCUAACUAAUACUAGUUGGUGUGUUGUUUUUCUUCUGUUGUGCUUCCCUAAUGAAUUGGUUCUUGCUUUGCAUACAGAUCAUGAUCAUGUCUUCAACAGUGUGAGCAGUUUCUCUUCACCAAAUUCGGCGUAUGCCAGCCAACAGUCCCACCCCAGGAGUAGCCUAAUGAUGAUGAUCAUGAUGAUGGAGGCAAUGAUUCAAUUAACAUUGCUUCAUAGUCACUUUCAUAGUUACUAGUUUAUUUUCUAAUAUAUAUUUUGUAUAUAUGAACAAGUCUAUAUUUUCAAGUACUACUCUUGAGUUUGUAUAUGAACUUGAUUAGGAAUAUAUAUAUAUAUAUUUGCUACUGCCCCAGGUGCUUUGGCCAAUAGUGGGUUUUUGAAAUAUUGAGUUCUUUUUUUUUUUAAUUUAUUUAUGUUAAUAUUAAAUGUGAUAUUAAUAAUUUUUAAUGAUUAAAUUUAUUAAAAAUAAAUAGCACUAAGGUGACGAAAGUUAAACUUUCGUGGCCUUAGCCGGAUGAAAGAAUUGUCAGCAAACUGACUGUUUUCGUAGUGUAGUGUUUUGGUAACGAUGAAUUUCAUCAACUUAGCUGGUCACACUACGUCACAAUAGAUCAUAGACCAUGAAUUAUAUUUCGUUUCUCAAGUACUAUGGCGACGAAAUACUUUUCGUCAGCUAACCAACUUGGUGACGAAAUAACUUUCGUCAGCUAACCAACCUGGUGACGAAAUUUUUUCGUCAUCUAAGUAACUUGGUGACGAAAAAGUUUUCGUCAUCUAAGUAAUGACUAAAAUGAUGAAAUACAUAUUUUCGUCACCUAAGUGCUCACACCACCGCCCUUAGGUGACGAAAUUUUCGUCGUUUUAGUGCUUACAUGACGACAGAAGCUCUUAGGUGACAAAAAUAUUUUGUCACCUAAGAACUUUUUUCUAGUAGUGGUUAAACACUCUUCCUUGACUAUCACUCAUUUAUGAUGUUCUUUUACGUAUUUCAAUAUAUUUAUAUCGUUAAUCGAAUAUCUCUCACCUCUCUUUUUCUUCUUUUCCAAAUCCAGAACCAAUCUUUGAUCUUCCGGUCUCUCUUCUCUGCACUUUUUCUCUAACAAUGUUGAGUUUCUCUUGGACCAUUAGUUCAUUACUGAAUUCAAUUAAUAUACAAUCCAAGUGGGGUUUUAGUAUCAACAUAACCCCUUCUAAAGCCAUAAUUAUUUUAUUUACUGUAGGGUUGUUCAUAUAUCAUUUCAAGGUAAGAUUUUUAACAAAAAAUAGUGACGAUUCUUAUAUGACCUAUAUUCAUUGUUGCUCAAUCAAAAUAAAAAAAAUUAGAUAGCAGAAACAACUCAAAAACCUUUAAAACAAUAACCAUGGACUGAGAAUGAAACCUUAGACCAUAAUUAGCACAAUUGAAUAUGAUUGGAACGUAUUCUAAACUAGUGUUGACGGUUGAGUAAGUUCUUGACUUUCUUGUGGUUGGAAGGUCAGUAAAUGUUUUCAUUUGUGAAGUGCAGAAGAAGGAUAAUGACGUGAGAAAAAGAUGAGAAAAACUGGAAUUGGUGAAGCAUCAUUUAAUAUAACAAGGAUAAUUGCGACUUUUCCUCAUUUUAAGUGGUUAUUUCUCAAAAAAAUUUAAAAUUAAGGUUAUAAAUCAAUUCGAGUGUUUAAAUAUGGUUGUUUUUCAAAAUUUCUCGCUCUAAUGCUAGUCCAAGUGGGAGAAUGUUAGAAUGGACUUAGCAUUUUGAGUCCUAAAGCAUGACAACUUCCAUAAUAUAUGCAGAGUAAAUAUUGUGGGAUUAAAAGCACAUUAUCAUGAUAUAUUUAUCUAAAUGAAAUGGUUAGAUAAGUAAUGAAAUACAAUCGAAUUAUCUUGUUAAACAAGAUAAUAGAGAUGGACUAAUAUUGUUGUUUUCUAAUGGAACUCAAACUCUUGGAUGGACAGAGUUGAGCUAUCCAACAUUAUCAUGAUAUAUUUAUCUAAAUGAAAUGAUUAGAUAAGUAAUGAAAUACAAUCGAAUUGUCUUGUUAAAUAAGAUAAUAGAGAUGGACUAAUAUUGUUGUUUUCUAAUGGAACUCAAACUCUUUGAUGGACAGAGUUGAGUUAUCCAAAGUGUAGUAUAUAAAGAGGUCCCUAUGCACACUCUAAACUACGUCAAUACGAGUCUCUCUCCAUCUGAGCAUGGUAACUGAGUGCUGCAUAGAGGAUCCCUUAUCCUUGGAGCUCUUGGUCUACAUCAACGACUACGGUAAACAUGUUGUAUAUCCUCAUCCUUGUUCUAUGACCUUGUAUGAGUUGUAUCUAUAUACGUGUUUAUGCUUAAGUGUUUUUCUCUUUGUGGUUGUAGUAUAACAGCCAAAUAUUUUGGGGUGCACUACUAGAAUAAAGGACUUAGGCGACGAAAACACAACGACAAAAACAUUUUCGUCGUCUAGGUAUGCAGUUAGGCGUCGAAAACUUCAUUCGUCACCUAAAAUAACUUAGGUGACGAACCAAAUAAUGAUUCGUCGCCUUAGAUUACCAAGGAGACAAAAAAAGGACUUAUACUAUUUUCGUCGCCUUAAUAGAUAUUCAGGCGACGAAGAUGAUUUCGCCGCCUAAAAUAUGAACCACUUAGGCGACGAACAUAUUAUUUCGCCGCAUAAGUUUAUCUUAGGCGAUGAAAGUGGUUACUUAUGCGACGAAAAAGUUUCGUCGCCUAAGUAAACUCACUUAAUCUCCAUUCAGUUUCUAGAUCUGAAACAGAUGGGAAAAAAGGGGAACUUGACAAGAUAGCCAUGUCUUGUUGUCAUUAUCUGAUUUUCUCAUUCUCAUUUAAAUAAUUUAGGAUAUAAUUUAUGUAGCCAAUUUUUAUCUUGAUAUAAUAUAACUACUGUUAUGUAUUUUUAUUUGAAACAUAUAUAUUUAUGUUUUUCCAAUGAUCACUUCAUUUAUGUUUUUAUUUGGUAUAACUUGUUUAAUAGGUUACAUGCAAGUGUAUAUUUUUGUGAACCAACUAUAUAUAAGAAGCAAUAUUUUCAAAAAUCUUGUGAAAUAGGAUGUGAUCGGUAUGAUGAAAUACGGUUAUGAUUGAAAAAUCAUAUAUUUCCAGUAACAUUUGGUCCCCGAUAGAAGCGGUCAACCCCAUUUACGCUUAUGCUUUUAUAUGAGGAGCCUUAUCGUCGUGAGGUGAACGUCCCUAAAUUUUUACAUAGGUGGUUAGAUCUCAUCAAUGUGAGAGUUUUGUGUGUGGAAGAAUCAACCAAACUAGGCCAUAUUGGGGUAUGUAAGAGCGUUUUCAUGUAAUAAGUGACGUUGGUUUAGGUUUGACUGUGUAGAUCGAGACCAAAAACCUUAUCCAAAACAUGUGAUAUUUUUUUCCAUAGCUGUAUUUAAGUAUACUAAUUAUAUCAUACGGUUGAAUUUUUAUUUUAUGAAAUUUAACUAUCGGAACCACAACGUGUCUAUUAAUGUAUUAUAACUUAUUUAGUAGGUUAUAUACAAGUGUACAUUUUUGUGAACCAACUAUAUAUAGGAAGCAAUAUUUUUUAAAAUCUUGUGAAAUAUGAUGUGAUCGGUAUGAUGAAAUACGGCUAUGAUUGAAAAAUCACAUAUUUUCUGGUAACGUUUGGUCCCCGAUAGAAGCGGUCAACCCCAUUUACGCUUAUGCUUCUAUAUAGGGAGCCUAAUCAUCGGGAGGUGAACGUCCUUAAAUUUUUACAUAGGUGGUUAGAUCUCAUCAAUGUGAGAGUUUUGUGUGUGGAAGAAUCAACCAAACUAGGCCAUAUAGGAGUAUGUAAGAGAGUUUUCCUGUAAUAAGUGGCGUUGGUUUAGGUUUGACCGUGUGGAUCGAGACCAAAACCUUAUCGAAAACAGAUGAAUUUUGUUCCAUAGCUGUAUUUAAGUAUAUUGAUCAUAUCGUACGGUUGAAUUUUUAUUUGUGAAAUUUAACCAUCGGAACCACAACGUGUCUACUAAUGUAAUAUAACUUGUUUAGUAGGUUAUAUGCAAGUGUAAAUCUUUGUGAACCAACUAUAUAUAAGAAGCAAUAUUUUCAAAAAUCAUGUGAAAUAGGAUGUGAUCGGUAUGAUGAAACACGGCUAUGGUUGAAAAAUCACAUAUUUCGGGUAACGUUUGGUCCCCAAUAGAAACGGUCAACCCCAUUUAUGCUUAUGUUUCCCUAUGGGGAGUCUUAUCGUUGAGAGGUGAACGUCCCUAAAUUUUUACUUUGGUGAUUAGAUCUCAUCAAUGUGAGAGUUUUGUGUGUGGAAGGAUCAAUCAAAUUAGGCCAUAUAGGGACAUGUAAGAGCCUUUUUGUGUGUUGUAGAGUAGCUCUGACGACGAAACUGAUAAUUUAGUCGCCUUAGUAACUAAAUUUGGGCGGGUAGAUAAAAAAUUUGGUCUACUUUAGCGGUGAAAUAUUUCACCUUCGUCGCUUAAGUCUCUAAAUUCGGCGGCAGCAUUUUGCGCUCAAAAUUUGGCCUAAAAUUUGGACCCAUUUUUCAAAACUAGUUUGGGCUGGCAGGGGACAAAAUUUUCGUCUGAUGGUCGCCUAGUGUAGAUUACUAAACCAAAAACUCACCCAAAAUCCCGUAGUGUCGACAGACGCCUCCCAAUUUUCUUCCUCUGCUAUCGAACCCUGCAAACCCUCCCAAUUCCUAAUCGAUCUCCACCCAAUCCCUAAUCAAUCUCCACCCUCAUCUCUCCUCCCAUCUGCGCCUCUCUCUCAUCUCUCCUCCGUAUUCAAUCUCCACCCUCAAACUCUCUCGAGUCUCCCCUCAUCUGCGCCUCUCUCUCAUCCCACCACAAACCUAAACCGAUCCAUAAGAAGGUGAGGGUUUAUGGUUUUUUUUUCAGUUGCUUUUUGGGUUUCAAACUCAAAAUUCCCAAGAAGUAGCUUUGGGUUUGUAAAUACUUCGGUGGAUUUUGGGUUUCUGAAAUUGGAUUUUGGAUUUUGUAGGUUGAGGCUGAGGAGCAGCUUGACAUUUUCGUGGCUUUUUUGGUUUCUGCUGUUCCCUUCUUUGCAAUGAGAUUAAGGUAUAAAAGAGAGGAAUCAGUACCAGCUUUCCUAGGAUUUUAGUUUCAGGGUUUAUUUUCUUGUUUUAUUGUUUAUGGCUUUUUGUGUUCACUGUAUUUGCCUCUGACCCCAUUUGAUCUUAUUGUACUUUGAGGUUAAAUCUAAUCUGUUGAAUCAUUGUGUUCUGCAAAAUUGGGUUUUCUAUAGUUGUGAUUCUGAUCUGGUGGGAUUUGUUAACAUGGUUAUUGUCCUUUUCCCUCAAGCCACUGUCUUUGAUCUAAACUCCCCUGGUUUUGUUGUUGAGGAGAAUCUUAAAGACAUGUAGCUGGAUCUCAAAUUUGGCGAGUACUGAGAAUGGCGAUAAAAAUUUAUUACUGCAGAUUAUGCAUUCCAUCUCAUAAACAAAAUUACUACAUGUUUCACUGAUGUUAGGUUCUUUGUUUCUUCUAGGAUUGGAUAGUUAUCUACGUGUUUGGAAUGUAAAGACGCGGGAACUACUCUCUGCGGUAUGUGUUUGGCUUUUAUUGUUUUUAUGUGACAAAAUUCCCCGAGUGAAAGUAACAGUUGUUGCUAUCUGUUGAAUAAAACUCUUGACAAUGUCUGAUCCGGUUGGAUUUUAUUAUUUCCUAAUUCUUAUAAUGGAAUCAUGUAUGUGAAUCUGUAAUUGUGAGUAUGAGAUUUUCAUUGGUAGACUCCAAUUUGUAAAUAUUGUCAAGAGACUUAUAAUAAAGUGGCUAGACCUAACUUAAAGCUCAAGAAUUCUUAGACAUGAACUGGCUGUUUGGGCACCCUUAGGACUUCGUGUAUAUAGUUAUGCUCUCCUGCAUACAAACAUUGUGAUAUAUAAUUAUCUAUCUAGUAUAAUCAUAGCUCAAGCUGUAAUUGAUUUUGAAAUGUGGUCAGGUGAGUAAUGAUUGAUGUGCACUGCCGCUUUUGGAAUUGUUUAAGGUUAAUUCUCUAGCUUUUUGUCUAAGCUGGUUUUUAGGAUUUAAAUUUGAAUCUAGUGCAUCGGCUCCAUAUCUAUUUCUCUGUUAUCCCUUUUAUGGUUACUGUAGUGUGUGUAUCUACUUGAUGGAACAUUCUGGUAUUUUAUUCAAGAGAUGAGGUUUUCAAAUUUCUUGAAUGACUAUAGAUCCUGAUCUGGGCACAUUCAAAGAUUUGUUAGACUAGUCUUUUCAGCUCAAAGCACUCUUUCUUAGUACCUCUCUGUUUUGAUGUGUUACAAACAAAUUUGGGGUUUUCUUGGACAUGCUUUAGAUUUGAUGUAUUUCCAGUUAAAUGUGUGCAGAUACACAUUUUCGCGGCCAAUAUAAUUUGUUAAGCUUUCUUGUUUAUUUUCCUAGUUCUUUACACUUGCCUCUUUCUUGUGCUUAUUUUCUUCAGGACUCUUGGCCAAUGUAAAUUUAGAAGAACGACCAAAACCAAGCAGCCUCAAGAAAACAGUACUCAUAAGCAAAAAUGCACUGCCCAAAUGGGAAAUCAAUGGAUUUGUGGAGUACAUCUCCGGCGGGCCUCAACCAGGCAGCAUGUAAUUUGCCGUACGUGUUCUUUUCUGUGUUUGCUUAUUCAUUUACUUCAUUUAUAUGACACUUACUGUACUGUACUGGACACUUGCUUUCAGUUAUUGUCGUUGUGUGUUGCUUUGUGUUUAUAUGUUGUUGUGUGUUGCAACAUCUAAGUGUUGUUGUGAAUUGAUGAAAUCCCAUAUGUUAUAGCUAAGUAUUGGUGUGUGUUGAUGUGUUGAAAUAAAGGGGCUUAGGAGAGUUGAAAUUGUGGGCAAGGAAUGAGCAACAAGGCCUUCUUGUCGCAAUGAUAUAGUUCUUGAGGAGAUUUGGGAGCAUGCCCGACAAGCCCAAGAGGAGGCACGACAUGCUUAGGAGGAGGCACAAAAAGCCCGGGAGCAGGCCAGAGUAGCCCAGGAGAAGAUCCUUGAUUAUGAGCGCCGUAUACAGAUGUUGAAGAAGUGUGCAGUCGCAGCCGAGCCGACAAGAAGGCCAACAGUCUAAGGUUGAUGGUUGAAGCUAGGUCCAUAGCUUUUUGCUUUUAUGGAACCCUUGAUAUUUGCUUCUUUUGUUAAACAUUGUCUAUAUAGGAUUGUAAGAGGCUAGGAUAUUAGGGAGGGUUUAAACUAUGAACUUUGAACUUGCUCUUUUGUUUGUGUAUAUAAUACCUCCUGGAAGUUUACUAGUUUUUCAGUUUGAACUUCUUUUGUUAUGAUUUUGAUUUGCAUCACAGGUUUUUAACUUUGAAUGUGAAUUUGAAAAUAUGCACAUAUAAUUACUGUGUGCAUAUCAGUAAUACUUAGAUUUUUUUAAUAAUAUAUAAUUAUAAUUUAAAAACAUAUAUAUAAAAUGUUCAAUUAAGUCUUAUGCGGCGAAAAAUGAGGAACCGUCGCCGGGGUUGGAUCCUCGCCUUAAACAUGGCGACGAUUAAUAAAUGGUCGCGUAAAAGGAAACUAAGGCGACUAUAAUUUCCCUUCGUCACCAAGUGUAGGCGACAAUAAUUUCGACGCCUAAAUAUGUCUGUUUUCCUCACCUUAGACUUAUGCGGCGAUAAAUAAAUAGUCGUCUAAGUAUCUAUUUAGGCGACCAUUAUUUUUUAUUCGUCGUCUAAGUUCUUACGGGUCCAUGCUAAGGCGAGGACUGUUAGGCGACGAAGCUUUCGUCGUGUGAGAACUUAGGCGACGAAAAUGGGCAUUUAGGCGACGAAAACUGUUUGUCGCUUAAGUCUUUUAUUCUAGUAGUGGUGGUGAAAUAUCUUCUCGAGCUUCUUGUUUUUCUUUCCGUAUAGGAAAUUAAUAUUAAUUCUUGUAUAUAUUAAUUCGAUCUUGAUUUGCAUGGCAAUGCCACUAUAUUAGCAGUAAGAUUAUUGGUCACUUAAGAUUAUUGGUCACUUUAGAAUCGACUAAAUUGGUUUUACUCAUAUAUAUCGUAACUUUCCCAUCAAUGAAAUUAAUCAAUUGCAAUUUGUUUACUUAAAAAAUUGUCAACAUUCGGGUGUUGGUGACUACUGCUAUAAAAGUGUUGUACUCGACGACAGCGACAAAUGAUGCUUUUUAGAUGACCGUGGCUGGUUGUUCGACGACAUAGUUGAUAGGAUUUCGAUCAUCACAUGGUAGUUCAUGUAUAGGUUUGGCUUUUGGGUUCCAAUUACUUGGAUUCAUUGUUUCGUUUGCUUCCAUAAUAGUAAGGGAUGCUGGAAAUUUAGGUAUCAAAGAACUAAGACAGACAUAACUCCUUAUAUAUUAAAUAUACAGUCGGGAUCAGAGGUAGACGUCCGCACACUCUUAAAGUGAGGACGUGCCUCCGUUCUCCACCGUACGGCUCCGACGACGCAGCGCCUCCACCCCAGCUGUCUCUAGCAGCGUCCCCGAUCACUUUUCCUCCCCGGCGAGUCCGCUGAAUUCCAGUUUAAAGGCGAGAUCGAUUUUGUUGGAAGUUUUGGGUGAUCUCGCCGGAAAACUGGAAUUCGGCUGACUCGCCGAGGAGGAAAAGUGAUCAGGGACGCUGCUGGAAGCCGCUGGGGUGGAGGCACGCCUUCGUCGGAGCCAUACGGAGGAGAACGGAGGGACGUCCGCACUUUAAGGGCUGUGCAGACGUCUUCUUUAGAUCCUCUCUGAUUAAAUAUAUAUAUAUACAUGUCCGUUCUGGUGCGGACGUUCGCACUCGGCUUAAAGUGCGGACGUCCGCACUCGAACGUUUCUGUGUGUGUAUAUAUAUAUAUAUUAUCUCAAUGAAGUUGCCUAAGCCUAACUAAUUUUCUAACAACAAUUCAUCAAUCAUGCACCAGAGUCCAGUGGGACUAGAUUUUCGGUGAGGAAACGGUGUGAUAUUGAUGAAAAAAAUCUCUAUAGCUUCACCUCAAUCAACAUGCGUGACACUCGUUCAUUUCAAGAACCUGGAGAUCAUAUAUAUGUCCUAAUAACAAGUUACCUUGUUGACUUAAUCGGAAUAGAACCUUUCCAACAUACAUUUUCUUCAUUACCUUAGCAAGGGAAUGUUAAGGACUAUGAUCUUAUGAGGGUCACUUAAAUAUUAUUUGAAACUUUUUUUUUUUUUUAAAUACUGACAAGGAUUAGGCGAAAUCAGCUCCUCUGUAGCAGUCUGGUGGGUGACAAAGCACCCACUCUACCCCAAAGGAGACUGCUACAACCGGGAAGCCACCACCCGUCCCUUAUCAGAAAUUUUAUUUAAAAUAAUAAAAAAAUUACAUGAAAAGAGGAAUGGGGGACUAGGCCAAAACCAUUCCAAUUACAAACCAAAACAACAUACAAAAAGACAUUGUUUCUACCCAUAAAAAACCAGGCAAUCUUCCCACUAUGAAAACCGAUAAUUAGGGAUACCCAAAUAAUCCGCUUGCAAGAAACCAUGAAGCUCAGUAGGAGGAUUAUCAUACCAAGUAAAUGAAGCAUUUGACAACCCCAAGUUUGCCAUCUUGUCAGCUACCAUAUAUUUCCUUCUCUAAAAAUAUGACUGCAACGGAAGUUCAUUUGACGAAUUAUAGAAAGAUAGUUAUUCCAACGAACUCUUAAGUUCCACGGAGGAGAAAAAGACCUGGAAGAGAAGCAAGCUACCACACUAACAAAGUCACUUUCCAACCAUAAGUAGACCCACCCUUUAUCAUGAGCAAUUUCAAUUGCCAAGAUAACAGCAUAAAGUUCAGAAUAAAAGGAACACUACCAGAAGAAAAACUUUAGCCGACGAAAAUAAAAAAACCAGGCCGACGAAUUAUUUUUUCGUCGGCUAAUUAAAAAUUUUCGUCGGCUAUAGUCAACUUUAGCCGACGAAAUUUUUAAAAGUUUAGCAGACGAAAAAUAUAAUUUCGUCGGCUAAAGUGCCUUAUAUUUGCAGAUCUGGACAACAACUCAUCUGGGAAAAAAAAACUAUAUGUAGAACCUUCAAACGCAAAAAAGUCGUGAAAUAAGAUAUGACCAGAAUGGUGAAAUACGUCUACAGUUGAAAAAACACAGUAUUCUGGUAAAGUCUCGGUGCCGAUAGUUGCGGUCAAUGCAAUUAACCCUUAUUAUUCACUAUGCUGCAGAUUUGGUUUUUGGUGUCCGAUUGACUAUUGUGAUACCUUUUCGGAAGCGUAACGGCUCUACGAGUCAAACUCAUCGCUAUUGCCAUGAAGUAUGAGCCUUUUUGGCCAUCCGAGUCCGUUUAGGGCUUCAAAAUGCAGUUUUCUUAUUUCCGAUUAGAGUUGACCGUUUCGAUCGAGCCCUUAACGUUGUCGAAUCCAGUUGAAUUUUUAACCAUAGACAUCUUUCGUCAUAAUGAUCAUAUCUGACAGUCGAAUUUUGGUUUGUAAAUUUUAGUCAUCGGAAUCACAACGUGUCUACUAUUUACUGUUAUUAUUCCCCAUAGGGAGCCCUAUCGUUGAAAGGUAAAUAUCUCAAAAUUUUUAUAUGGGCAGUUGUGUCUCAUCUACGUGAGAGUUUUUUGUGCGGAAGGUUUGACCAAACUACGUAACAUAGAGGGAGAUAUGAGCGUUUUCGUGUGAUAAGUGACGAUGGAUUAGGGUUGACAGUUUUGAUCGAGCCCUUAACGUUGUCGGAUUCAGUUGAAUUUUUUAUCAUAGACAUCUUUCGUCAUAAUGAUCAUAUCUAACGGUCGAAUUUUGGUUUGUGAAUUUUAGUCAUCGGAAUCACAACGUGUCUACUAAUGUUGUAUAAUUUAUUUAGUAGGUUAUACAACUUUGUGAACCAACUCUACAUAGGAAGCAAAAUUAUCAAAAAUCUCGUGAAAUAAGAUGUGUUCAGAAUGGUGAAAUACGGCUAUGGUUCAAAAAUCACGUAAAUCGGGUAAAGUCUCGAAGCCGAUAGUAGCGGUCAACCCUAUUUAGCGUUAUUAUUCCCUAUGGGGAGCCCUAUCGUCGAAAGGUAAAUGUCUCAAAAUUUUUAUAUAGGCGGUUGCGUCUCAUCUACGUGAAUACGUGAAAGUUUUUCGUGUGGAAGGUUUAACCAAACUACGUAAUAUAGAGGGAGAUAUGAGCGUUUUCGUGAAUUUAUAGACUUUAGCCGACGAGAUAUUAAAAAAGUCAUCGGCUAAGGUCAAAAAUUUUUGGGCUGUAAACCAAUUUGGAGGAAAAUUUUCAAAGGACUUUAGCCGACGAAAAUAUAUGAAAAGUCGUCGGCUAAAGUCGAAAAAAUUUCAAAAUUUUCAACCAAAAUUUUUUGGCGGUCAACCAAAAUUUUUCAAAAUUUUCAAAAGAGUUUAGCCGACGAAAAUAAAGAAUUUCGUUGGCUAAAGUUCUUUAUAUAGGAGUUUUACCGAAGGUGGAUGGUAAGAAGUCUAUUUCGCCUGCCAGAUUUUCUUCUCGGCCUAGCUCUGCCGUCAAGCCACCGAAGACCGCCACACUUGUCCCAAAAGUUUCGUCGUCGUCGUCUCUACUUCAUUGCUGGACAGGUGGUGCAUCGAGUGGCGCCGCCGUGAGGGAUAAAUCGAGCUCCAAAACUCCGCCGGUUCGGAUUCGGUGUCGAUCGAAUUUCUCCUUCCUCAGGUCACCAUUUGGUGAGUUCUAUAUAUGGAUAAGUUGAGUUUGAUUAGUACUACAUUCCCCUAGAAUUUGGUAGCUCGAUUCGGUGUGUGUGAGGAGAAUCGAAGAUUUGAAGUUUUUAGGGUUUAAAAUUGGGGAUUUUUAUAUUUUGAUUCAAUUGACCUGUUUAGGCUUAGAAUUGGGCUUCGACUUCUUCUAGAAAGUUGUUCUAAAUGUUGAGAGGAAGAUUCUGUCAAAUUUUGGUGGUGAUUGAAGGUGGCCGAAAAUUUCUGUAGUUUUUUUUUCAAAAACCAGCAACUUUAGCCGACGAUAUUUAAAUACUAUAUUCGUCGGCUAUAGUAUUUUUAAUUUUUUUUUAUAAGGUUUAGCCGACGAAAUAUGGUAUGUUUCGUCGGCUAUAGUUAAUUUUUAAAAUUUUUUAUAAGGUUUAGUCGACGAAAUAGACUAUAUUUCGUUGGCUAUAGUUAUUUUUUAAUUUUUUUUAUAAGGUUUAGCCGACGAAUAUCUUAAUUGUUUCGUCGGCUAAAGUUUGGGAAAAAACCCGACGACAUGUUUUUCGUCGGCUAAACUGUGGGACUAUAGCCGACGAAAUUUUUUUUUCGUCGGCUAAAGUCAUCGCCGACGACCUUUUCCCGACGAAAUCUUAGCCGUCGAAUUAAAUUAACAGGCCGACGAAAUUUUUUCGUCGGCUAAAGUGCUUGUCCUGGUAGUGUUUCCUACAUACAUUUUCUUCAUUACCUUAGCAAGGGAAUGUUAAUUAAGGACUAUGAUCUUAUGAGGGUCAUUAAUUACCUUACAUUUUCUCAGUUAUUUGAAACAUAUAUCUAUUGUUUGGAGACAAAUUUAAGUAGCAUGUGGUUUGUACGUAAGCGUAUGAUCUCUUACUAAGUCUUUUUGUUCGUGUAGUAUUGUGACGUACGUAAUGACAUCAACCAACGUGUAACACAAAGUGAUCGAGAGUAGAUAUCGAUCGAGAUCUAGAAAAAUAAUCGAUGAAACUUGUCUUGUUCAGUUCACUGCUUAACGAAAAGCAAAACCCUAAUUGUCUAUUUUAAGUACAAGUUUGAACAUGAAAUUAAUAGUUUGAGAUAUGAUCUUGAAGGGUGGAACUACUUUUGUCAUCUGGAUUCUUCUUUUAAGCAGUAUAUAUUCUUGUAGUAAAACCCAAAUUAAGUCAUAUGAAUAAGAACUAUUGUCUACACUCGUAGAAGCUCAUUCAUAAUUGUGCAUAUUUCUCCCAAACAGUCCUUAUUCACAUUAAUUUCUGUCUCCUCACAAAUAAUAUACAAGUAACAAGAGGAAUAAAAAUCCAGUAGCAAUGGAGGGAUUGGAGGGCAUCGAUCCAGACCACAAAUCAUUGGCCGGGAAAAAAAAAGCUAGGGUUUUCCAUCCCACGCAAAACACAUUGAGGAAUGUAAUGCCAAACCCCGUAAGGUUGCAGCAUCUUUUUCCCCAGUAAAGACUAAAACAUGCCAGCUACUAGUAAAGGCUCAAUAUGUGAGACUGGGAAUAUGGAAAUCAAUCAGAUGAUCGCUAUUGAGAAUCUGAGAUGAUCGAUUAUGAAAUGGUUGCACGGUUCCCAAACAACUGGAACAUUUUCUUUGUAGUUUAGCCUUUACUGAAUAGACGUACUGGACCAGUUUGCACUUGGUUUUCUAGUUAGCUAGUAGUUGAAGACAAUAGUUCAUAAAACCAGUCAUUGUUUUGCUCCUGCAGAAAUGGCACUACAUGCAUGUGAAUAUCUUUGGAAUCUUUUUAUCGAUCAUUACUACCUCCAGCAUAUAUAUAACAAAGGCAAGGGUUUCGUUAUUCGUAGUGUACACUAAUAGAAAUUUCCCCAUUGGGGACUGAUAGGAUUAAGUCCCUAUUGUGGACAAUGCACACUGAUAUAUAAGAGCGUAAAAUGCUAUUAGCACCCCUACAACCACUCUUAAGGGAUCAGUUCCCUCUAUAGCAGGUGCUAUUGGAGCAUUAGACACUGAUGAAACAUCAGUGUAAAGUUAUAUGAAAAGUUAAAAGUCUACUGGUGUCAUUGCUGCCGACGACUUUAAUUACCAGAAGAGUGCGAAUGAAGAACUGAGAUUCAGUAACAAGGAAUUUAGGAACUCAUCGAAAAGAAAAAGGAAUUUAGGAACUUGUCCUUACCACCAUCAUGAACUGAUAUUAGUUAGACAAGAAGGGAAGAUAUAUAGAGUGACAUGUGCUAAGCAAGACCUAACAUUUCGAUUCUACAAUCUAAUAAACCAGAAAGUUCGGCUGCACCAGCACCGCACCAGCACCACAAUUUAUAUCCAAAUGUUAAUGAACACUAGUCUCAACAUCGAUCUGCAAAGUGUGCCGAGUUUUUUGUCAAUUAAAACAACCAAAUGGUGUAGAAGUAGCUAAAUUUUACAUUAGGUAAAGAUUGUAAGAACAAAAUACAUUAUUGUCCCACGUUCUUCAUUUGGUUUCCUUUUCGUACGUAGUAGAACUUUUGAAGCUUGUCAUCUAUCUUUGAAGGAGUGGUGGAGCUAGCAGUAGAAGACUGGUUACACAGUAGGCUGGUACUUGUUUUUAUAUAUAGAUUCUUGCACAUUAUAACACAGUAGACCCUUUGCUGUUUCUCACCGUACGUUAGUCCAUCAUACAUUUGAUUAAGCACAUCUAGCAGAAUUUACUCAAUUUUGUUUUCAUGCAAUGCUAGAAUAAUAGAGUGAACUAGCGAGAAUAAAAUGGAAAGAAUUAUUUAUUAUAAAAUAAUUGAGUAGCCUCCUGCUACUGUGAGAUAGCUAAACUACAUAUUAUCUAUACCUCUUCAUCCAACAUUUAUAACAGAAUUAUUCUAUGCAAGGUGCCAUUUCGGGUUACCCCAAUCUCUAGUUCUUCGUCUUUUUCUAGCUCAACGUCGAGCUGCAUGCUGAGAUAAGUACACCCUGUGGCUUCUGUCGCGCGAUCGAGAAGAAGAAGAAGUAAUCUGUCGAGCGAGAAAUGGGAAAAACCUCUGGUUUCGAAAAGGAAGGAAAGAAGAAAGGAAAAUGGUCUGGUACCAGAUUCUCAAGGACUACGUCAAGAACCACGGUACAGGCAAAUGGGGCAAAAUAGCAAAGGAGAUUGGCAAGUUCAUAAUUUCCUUCAUAUAUACCUACUUUCGACAUACAUCGUUGUGCUUAAUCAAUAAUGUAAUCGCCGUUGUUUCUGAAAUUUUCAAUUAAUUCAAUUAAUUACCGACGGCCCUGUGUAGCUUACGCGGAAUUCGCAUGCAUGUAUUGGAAGCCAAAAUUACAAAUUUACGCCAGUAGCGAAUGGAUUAAUUGGUAAAUUGGUUGCUCAAUUAAUCAUUGGUUAAUUAACUGCGUGUGCAGGUCUGGGGAGAUGUGGGAAGAGUGUGAGACUGAGAUGGUUGAAUUAUCUAAGGCCCGAUAUCAAGCAUGGCAACAUUAGGGAAGAUGAAGAAGAUCUAAUUAUCAGGAUGCACAAGCUUGUAGGCAAAAGGUACUAAUAUAAUAAAUUUCUUCCUCUUAUCAUGAAAGUCCCGCAGAUCUAAUUUUAAAUUUAAGCUUAGUAUUCGUAAUUACUUACGAACAUUUGCAUAUUUGAUCAAUAUUUGGUUUCAUUUUUUUUUUUUUAAUUUUUUUAGAAUUCAAAGAAAAAAUACUUGCCUCAUUUCAGAGCUUAAUACAAAGUAGACUUGUGCAGGUGGUCAUUGAUAGCAGGAAGAAUUCCGGGUCGAACUGACAAUGAAAUAAAGAACUACUGGAUCUCCACUCUAAGUAAGAAGCUGGCAGAAGAAAAAAGAAAGAAACCAGAAGUGCCGAGAAACGAGAUUGCCAAGGAGAGCUUGCCAUCCCCCAUUGAGGUCGACGAUGGUCAUCCACAUCCGACCAUAUGCAAUGAAGUUCCUGGAGGAGGAGGAGGAUUGAUGUGUUUUGCCAGUAAUGUUAAUGUAGAAGAAGAUCAUCAGCAUCAGAGUUCUGAUACCGAUAACAGUACUACAAUGAGUGCCAGAGUGGGAGUCCGAAUCAGAGGCGUGGCAAACAAUGUUCAACCAACCGGGGACGAUCUCAGUGAUGACGCUAUGCCCUGGAACGAUUGGAUAAUGGAUCUGAACGAAGGGCAACUCGACCUAUCUGAAUUUCUCCAAACUGAUUUUUCGAACUUUUGGGAAGAAUCAGAUAUGUUCAUGAACUUUGAAGUCGGAGGUUGCAGCACCAUUAACCAUGAGUGGCCGAAUAAUUAGGGUGGUUAAAUAUCUUCCCGAGCUUCUUGUUUUUCUUUCCGUAUCGGAAAUAUUGAUUCUUGCAUAUAUUCAUUCUUGAUUUGCAUGGCAAUGCGGCCACUAUAUUAGUAAUAAGAUUAUUGAUCACUUUAGAAUCAACUAAUUAAAAGUUUUACUCAUAUAUAUUGUAAUUUUCCUAUCAAUGAGAUUAAUCAAUUGCAAUUUGUUUACUUCAAACAGUGUCAACAUUCGGGUGCUGGUGACUCUACUGCUAUGGUGCUUUUCAGAUGACCGUGGCUGGUUGUUCGACAUAGUUGAUAGGGUUUUUGGGUUUACUUGGAUUCAUUGUUUCGUAUGCUUCCAUAAUAGUAAGGGAUGCUGGAAAUUUAGGUAUCAAUCAAAGAACUAAGACAGACAUAACUCCUUAUGAAUUAUUUCAAUAUAAUGUUGCCUACCUAAUUUUCUAACUUCACCAAUCAUGCACCAGAAUCCAGUACUGGCCGGGUCAAGAUUUUCAGUGGGGAAAACGGUGUGAUGUUGAUNNNNNNNNNNNNNNNNNNNNGUUAGAAAGGGAUGAUUCUAUCUUUGGCUAAAAACCAAAAGGGAUUGAGAAUUGGUGGUUUACGAAUCUGGGUAGUUAUUAAUUCUUGAAGAUUUGUAAUUCUGGGACAAGUUCAAAUUGAGGGCCCUUCUUGAGCUGAUACGGCAGCCUUGAAUUUUCAGAGGAAGACGAACUGAACCUGUUUUUUUUUUCUUUUUUCUUUUUUUUUUGUGUGGCUGAAAACUCUGUUUUAAUCUCAGCCCUCCAACAAUGUUAAAACAAAUCAGACGGCUAUGACCCUAUCCCUUGAAAAGACCCAAAAAAAAAGGAUCCCUCAUUAAGGUAUAUGUAUGUAUGUAUGUAUGUAUAUCCCUAAUAAUAAGAAGCUACCUUGUUGAAUUGAUUGGAACAGAUCACCUUUCCUCACAUUUUCUUCAUUACCUUAGCAAGGGAAUGUUAAGGACUAUGAUCUUAUGAGGGUCACGUAAUUAUUAUUUGAAAUUAUUUAAUCUUCUUCUAAUUCAUCAAAUUUAUGUAUGCUCAAUAAUGUGCUCAAAACAAAAACAAAAACAAAAACUAGAAUUUGUCAAAGACAGAAAGCUAGCGAUGUGAAACCACAUGUCAUCCACAUAUAUCUAUUGUUUGGAGACAAAUUUAAGUAGUGUGGUUUGUACGUACGUAAGCGAUGUUACGUAAGCGAUAGACAAAUUUGAUCUAUUCUUUUUGUUUGUGUAGUGAUGUUACGUACGUAAUGACAUCAACCAACAUGUAACACAAAGUGAUAUAUCGAUCGAGAGCUAGAAAAAUAACUGAUGAAACUUUGUCAUGUUCUCUUCAUUGCUUAACUAAAACCAAAACCCUAAUUGUCUUUUUUACGUAGAAUUUUGAACAUGAAAUUAAUGGUUUGAGAUAUGAUCUUGAAGGGUGCAUGGAACCACUUUUGUCAUCCGCAUUCUUCUUUUAAGUAGUAUUAAUCUUGUAGUAAAACCCAAAUUAAGUCAUAUGAAUAAGCUCGUAGAAGUUCAUUCAUAAUUGUGCAUAUUUCUGAAAAUGACUGCAUAAAUUAAUGCAACUUUUGAAGUUUUCUCCCAAACAGUCCCCAUUCACAUUAAUUUCUGUACGUCUCCUCACAAAUAAUAUACAAGUAAACAGAUAGCGUGAGGAAUAAAAAUCCAAUAGCAAUGGAGGAGGGGAUUGGAGGGCAUCGAUCCAGACCACAACUCAAUGGCCUGAAAAAAACGAAGGAAAAAUGGGUUUUCCAUCCCAUGCAAAACACAUUGAGGCCAACACGCGUAAGGUUGCAGCAUCUUUUUCCCCAGGAAAAGACUAAAACAUGCCAGCUACUAGUAAAGGCUCAACAUGUGAAUGUGUGAAUAUGGAAACCAAUCAGAUGAUCGAUAUCGAGAAUCUGAGAUAAUGAAAUGGUUGCAUGGUUCCCAAACAACUGGAGCAUUUGCUUGUUCUUUAGCACAUACUGAAUAGUGAUAGGGGCUUAACCCUACCAAUGGAAUCGAGAAAGGGAGGAGCUAAAACUAACAGAAAAUGGAAAGGAAAUUGCAAUUUUUGAUAUUCGAUGGCUGCCUGAAACCCUAGAACAGCCUUAAAUAGGUACAAAAGAGAGAUGAGAUCUUGACACCUGUCAAGCAUCUAUCGGAUCAAAACAGUAAACCUAGCUUAACUAAUUAACCAAACUGACCAACUGAUUACAAUCAAAACAACAUCAAUUAGCUUCAAUUGACUACUUGUGGACUCCUACUCGGCCCAACUCAAGCAACAACCAUAUCUACGGCCCACUAGGAAACCAGCAGCAGAGACUUGCAACAUUCCAUCCCGGUUCCACCACAAACUUGUCCACAAGUUUGAACUGCUCAAAAUUUAAAGUCUGGAUAACGCUGCAUAAUAUCCUUAGCGAAUUCCCAAGUAGCCUCUUCUCUAGCCGUCCCCAUCCAAUGAACAAGCCACUAAGUUGCUGCUGCCCCCUUGUGUUUGAUCAUCCUUGUUAUUAAAACAGCCUCAGGGACCCAUUUAAGAGUAGACGAAUCCCUGACAUCUGGAAGGGUAGCCUCAGCUGUGACAGCAUGCCCAAUUCUCUUUUUGAGGAGGGAAACGUGAAAGAGGUUAUGGAUUUUUGCUGUAGCUAGAAGUGCCAACUUGUAUGCCACUGCUCCGAUCUUCUCCAGUACCUGAAAAGGACCAUAGUACUUUGAUGCCAACUUAUGAAACGCACUGGUGCUGACUGAAGUCUGUUUAUAAGGCUGGAGUUUCACAUAGACCCAGUCCCCAACUUCGAAUGAUCUCUCUGUGCGAUGCUUAUCAUAGUAUGCCUUCAUCCGGUUCUGAGCUUGAUGGAGAUUUCGUUUGAUCAACGCUAAGAGCUCGUCUCUACUUUGGAGUUGUGCAUCCACGUCUGCCACAGCAGUAGAACCAGGUGUGUACGGUUUAAUGGCAGAGGGAGCAUAGCCAAACAAAGCUUCGAAAGGUGUCAUUUUCAGAGCUGAGUGGUAGGCACUGUUAUACCACCAUUCAGCCCAAGGGAGGGCAGCUACCCAUUCAUGAGGUUUGUUUCCAGCAACACAGCGUAGAUACUGCUCCAAUGUCCGAUUGAGGUUCUCGGUUUGACCGUCCGUUUGGGGGUGAUAUGCUGUUGACUUGUUCAAAGUAGUACCUUGCAGUCUGAAAAACUCCUCCCAAAAUAAGCUCAUGAAAAUGGGGUCACGAUCUGAGAUAAUAGCAUCUGGCAUACCAUGUAAACGGAAUACUUCUGUAACAAAGAUCCCUGCAAGCGCCACUGCAGUGUAUGGAUGAGAAAGAGGUAUAAAAUGAGCCACUUUGCUAAACUUGUCCACCACAACCCAGAUGACAGUUUUUCCUUGUGAUUUUGGCAAAGCCUCGAUGAAAUCCAUUGAAAUAACGCUCCAUGCUCUCUCAGGGACUGGAAUUGGUCGCAGCAGCCUCGGAGGUCUAAUAGACUCAUAGUGGUUUUGCUGACAUAUAUCACAAUUAGCUACAAAUAGCUUCACAUCCCUUUGUAGUCCUGACCACGCAAAAUUUUUUCUCACCCUCAUGUAAGUGCGAGUCCUACCAGCAUGCCCUCCCACCAAACCACAAUGGAACUCUUGGAUCACCUUCUGCCUCCAAUUGUCAAUAUUUGGUACAAACACUCUUCCUUUAUACAUCAACUGAGAAUUAUGCAGUGAGAAGUGUUUCUUGCUGUGGGGUGAUUCUUGGAGAGUUCGAAUCAACUCCACCAAGGUAGCAUCAGUAAGACAUGCCUUCUGUAUCUCACUCACAAACUCAUGAGUUGGUAUAGACACUCCCAUAAUAGCAUUAAGAGCUGCAGAUCGAGACAAGGCAUCUGGUGCAGCGUUGUUUUUUCCCGUUUGUAGUGGAUGGAGUAGUCAUACCCGAGGAGUUUCAGCAACCUUUUUUGUUGAGAGGGUGUGGUUACUCGCUGGUUGAGGAAAUGCUCAAUAGUCUUGUGGUCGGUGUAAAUGGUGAAAUGAUGGCCUAGAAGGUAUGGUCGCCAAUGCUCAACAGCAGUCACUACAGCCAACAUCUCUUUGUCAUAAACCGAAAGAGAGAGGUGUCUUUGGGAGAGAGCCUUACUCAUAAAGGCAAUAGGAUGCCCUUCUUGACACAACACUGCCCCAACUCCCACAUCCGAAGCAUCACACUCGAUAGUAAAGGGUUUUGAGAAAUCAGAAAAAGCUAGUACAAGAGUUGAAGUGAGAGCUGCUUUUAAUUCCUCGAAGGCCCUCGUUGCUCCCUCAUCCCACUUAAAUCCAUCUUUCUUAAGUAGACUGGUGAGAGGCUUUGCAAUCAGACCAAAACCCUUAACAUAUUUGCGGUAGUAACCGGCAAGACCAAGGAAACCACACAGCUGCUUGAGAGUCUUGGGUGUUGGCCAAUUCUUCACACAUUCUAUCUUUGAGGGAUCAACAGACACACCUUUGCCACUAAUAACAUGCCCCAGGUACUCUACUUGGGAGACACCAAAACUGCACUUGCUUUCUUUAACAACCGAAGAAUGCUGUUGUAAAAUUUGAAACACCAUUUUCAAAUGUUGUAAAUGGGCUGAGAGGGAAAGACUAAAGAUGAGGAUGUCAUCUAAGAAUACCAGAACACAUCUCCGCAAGAGUGCUCAUAAGACAUCAUUCAUCAAGGACUGAAAUGUUGAGGGGGCGUUGGUGAGGCCGAAAGGCAUCACCAAAAAUUCGUAGUGACCGGUAUGAGUCCGGAAGGCAGUUUUAGGAAUAUCAGUCUCAGCCAUCCGAAUUUGGUGAUAACCUGCCCUCAAGUCCAACUUUGUGUAUAUCGUUGAACCAUGAACUUCAUCGAUCAACUCAUCCACCACAGGGAUAGGGUACUUGUCUUUAACUGUGGCAGCAUUUAGAGCUCUAUAGUCGAUACAAAGUCUCCAUGAACCAUCCUUCUUUUUUACCAGCAACACAGGAGAAGAGUAGGGGCUUGUGCUCGGCCUGAUCACACCAUUGGCUAGCAUUUCUUGCACUAUCUUCUCUAUUUAUGUUUUCUGGAAACGAUAAGGUCUCACGCUAAUGGGGGGGAGUGUUGGGCACUAGCUCAAUCUUAUGAUCUUGUGCUCUAGAGGGAGGGAGGCUGCGGUGGGGGGGGGGGGGGGGGGGGGGUGCGCAAAAACAUUUGCAUAUUUGGCCAACAAAGACUUGAUGGUAGGAUGGACUUCUGGAUUUUUCCGUUCAGCAGCCAAAGAGUGUACUUGAACAAGGACUGCAUCUUUCUCUUUCCUCAAUAACUUCGUCAUAGUUUUACAACUUACAACCAAAGCUUCUGGUGUUGUCACUACAAAAAAGAAUUCAUUUAGCCACCGAAAAUCGCCACGGCUCGGAUUUGCCGUGGCCAUUGAUCCUAAAUUUGCGACGGCGAAGCGACGGUAAACAUACCGUCGCUAAAUAAAAACCAGUUUGCGACGGCAACAUCUUGCCGUGGCUAAAUAAUGCAAAAUUCGCGACAGCAAACUAGCGCCGUCGCAUAUGUUUUUAUCAACGGCGACGACAGGUGAGUGCCGUGGCAAAAAAACCAAUUUUAUUUCUGAUUUGCUGCUACGGUUGCUUUCGUCGUCGCCUGUGUUCUUUCACUGUUAAUGGAAGGCGCCAAUUAUCCCGCUUUCCAUUUUGACAAAAAACAUCAAUUUUACAUAACCCUCAUUUUUACUCUCUCUUCAGACAAAACCCCCAUCCCACAAACCUAAUUCCUGUCUUCUAGAAAUCGCCGGUCCUAACCCCAUAACCCCUAUUUUGUCAAAUAUGUUGAAUGAAAAUUGGGGUUGGUCGUGAGAAACACAAAUCAUCGACUGUGGAAGGAGAGCUUGUCGACGGUGGUUGUGGUCAUCGGGAGGAGAGGUUUUCGGUUUUCAUCUGACCGGUGGCGGUACAAGACUGUAUUGAAUUGGCGGCGGCGGGUUUGCACUGGUGGCGGGUUUGCGCUGGCAGUGGCUUCUUCGGUCAAGUCGUGUCGAAUCUCUAGAGGUCGACGGCGGCGGCUUCUUCGGUCAACCCUAAUCGCCCAUCUUUUCCCUGCUCUUCCCUGCUCGAGCUCGCAGAAGGUACUCUCUUCCCUGCUCGAGCUCGCGCAUCUCUUCCAUGCUCUUCCCUGCUCGAGCUCGCAGAAGGUACUCUUUUCCCUGCUCGAGCUCGCAGAAGGUACUCUCUUCCCUGCUCGAGCUCGCCCAUCUCUUCCAUGCUCUUCCCUGCUCGAGCUCGCCCAUCUCUUCACUGAUUUUUUCGAUGCGUUUUGUGGUUUUGUGAAUUGGGUUUGAGUUGGUUUUGUUUUGGAUUUUUUGAUAGGUUCCAGAGGGGUCUGAAGCGCAAGCCCAUUUAAUGAUCAAGAAGCUUCGCAAAGCGGUGAGUUUUACUGUUAUUGGUUUGAUUGGUUAUGGUGAAUGAAAUAUGUUGUUGUGAUAGAUUGGUCACAUUAUCGUUCAAGUAUUGAAAUUUUUGACUCAUUGAGCAGUUUGUUUGGAGCUUACCAUUCUAUUCGCAAGUUUAUAUUAGAAUUUGUUCAUUGAGCAAUAUAUAUGUACCGACGAUAUAGGAAACUUUUGAAGUUUUGGAGUUGUCAUUGAUUGACUGUAUUAUAUUUAUACCCUCUAAGAUUAGUCUGUUGAUGGUAGGAAGAUAAGGUGCGUGUAAGACAGUUUAUGCCUUCUUUAGUUUCCUCAGAGUUGAGGAAGCUAGCUAAUUGCCUAUCCUCAGAAUGUUAUUUAAUUCCUGGCAACACUACUGUUGUACAACAUAUUCCAAUUGUUUGUUUAGUUGAAUGAUAUGUUCUGUGGUGGCAUUCAUUGUUGUUGGUAUUGAAACCCCUAUGUGUAUUGGUUAAUGACUUUGUAGAGGAACGGUUUGUGUUUUUGUUUAUCCUCAGUUAAAGAGAAAUUGAGCAGUAGAAUGUGUGAGAAACUUGACUGUAACAAAAUCAACAGAACUAGAGAAUACUUCGGAAGUCCGAAUUACCCUAUACUCUUAAACUCUCACCAAAUGCCACUAAGAAACCAAAUAGGUCACAUGAAGCCGAGGCCCCGUUUUCAUAGUUUCACUCUUCAUUACAUGAUCAAGUACUUUUUCAUAGUCUUUUUAUUUCAUAGUAUAUGUGGGACAAGUAAAAAUGGGAGUUCAUAACUGAAUGUGGUUGAAGUUUUGUUUUCAUUUUCACGCUUUUCUAUUUGUAGUUUUGUUCAUUCCGUCUUUUCUCUCUUUCCUCAAUUUAGUCUCUGUUAUUACUCUCAAUUUAGUCUCUGAAAACUGAGUCAGUAAAUUAAGUGGUCCACUAACAAUCUCCCAGACCUUCUCAUACUAGUUGUUCUUGAGAACUGGUGAUAUAUUGUUCUUGAGAACUAGUGAUAUGAUUUUUUUUUUUCGUUUUUGUUAAUUAGCUUGGGCUGUUAUACACCAGAUGGGUUGAAUGAAUAUUUAAUGAGAUUUGCUGCUGAGUUUGAUUAUUAAUGUCGAGUGAUUUGUGUCUUUAGGUGUUGUAGUAACAGAAUUUAGUUUGACAAUUUGAAACAUGAACACUGCCAGUAAUUCAUUGUUCUGAACUUGUCACUUCAGUGUGGUGAUAUUACAAUUUGUCCACCUUUUCUAUUAUGGAUAGGAACUCUGUUUUAUAUGAUUGAGAAGUUUUAUGAUACAUUUACAUUGAUACUCCCACCAAAGAUUCUCUUGACACACGACUGAUUGCCAAAUCUAUGUUUGAAAGACCUUUAUAUAUAUGUGUAUUUUAUGCAAUGGCAUUACUUAAGUAGAUUAUCAUUAAUUUCAGUUAGAGUUGUAGGCUUACAGGGAGAGGAACUGUUGAAUUUACCAUUGAAAAAGGUGACAGUUCAACAUUUGCUCCAGAAGCUGGUGGUGAACCAAGAAAGACAGCCAGUAUUCAGGUAUAAUGAAUACUAUCUAUCUAUCUAUCUCUCUCUCUCUCUCUCUCUCUCUCUCUCUCUCUCACACAAAAAUUUGAUAUUUCCAAAUGUAAAAUGUAUGCAUGGCACCCAAAUUUACUUUGAAAAUAUUUAAUGUCCAAAACUGAUCAGUAACUUGUGUACAGGUUGUUAUAGAUAGUUAUUCAGCACCAUUAACAGCGGGUAAUUUCGCAAAACUGGUUAGGUAGUUGAACACUAGAACCUCACAUUGGCUUCAUGCAAUUAUCUACAUUUGUGAAUAGAUGUGCUUAUCAGUGCUUUACACCUCUAAAUUUUCAUCCUCACUGGUUCAUCCAUAUGCUAUAAGGAUAACUGGGUAUUCUGUGAAAAAAUUAUGUUAAAGUUUGAAGUCUUUUUGAGUAUCUGAUAUCUUUUUAUAGUGCUUACUUUUGUCAAUUUGGUCAGUGUUGUAAUGUUAGUUACUAUUGGUUUGAGGUUGAGGUAGACUGGAAUAAUUACUGUAUUUUUUUUUACUGCGGCAGGGGAGUGUGGAGUGGGGGAGCACAAGAGUAAAGUUGCAGGGAAGAUGCAUGGAUGUGGACAUGAUGGUCAUGUUGCCAUGCUUCUUGGAGCUGCUAGUUUACUUCAAGAGUAUCGCCACAAAUUACAGGUCUCUUUCCUGGUUUGAAUUCUAUGCAUUGUGUUUAGAAGAGUGGUUUCAUUGUAAAGUUGGGUUUUUAGGUUUGUUAUUCCAUGUGUUGCAUCAGUUCUUGUUCUUAUGGACUUCUGUUACUUUAUAUAGCAAUUGUAGGUUUGAAAGUAGUUGUCUUUAAACAAAACAUCAAGGCUAAAAUGUAAAUAUUUAAAACUAUAUAUGGUCAGAUUUGGAAAGUUCCAGCGUAUGAGCGUGGAGGUGAGGUUAGGGAGAUUAUUAGGCCUUGGGGUUGUCUACAAUGGGCUCCUGGUCUAGCUGUCUAUUAGAAUUAUAUGUCAACUUGUUAUGUCAUCUAUCUGACUGCGAACAACCUUUAACUAAUAAAAAAGACAAAGAGCGAUAGAAAAUGACCUUUCAUACUGAAAUUUGCAGAGUUUUGGAGUCCAUAUUGGAACUACAUUUUGAUGUGGCCAGCUAUAAAAGUUGAUACACUAGCUUAAUCUAUAGAUUGCAAAGUGUGUGCAUUCUCUAAGUAGGCUUCUUGANNNNNNNNNNNNNNNNNNNNGAAUGGCUGCGAGUGGAUUUUUUGAAGCCUUGAUAAGUGGGAAGGGGGGUCGUGCUGCAAUUCCACAGCACACAAUAGAUCCUAUCUUGGCUGCUUCCAAUGUUAUUGUUAGUCUGCAGCAUCUUGUUUCACGUAAAGCUGACCCCUUAGAUUCACAGGUUUGCUCGCUUUCUCUCUAUUCUCAUAAUAAGGUCAUUGUCAAGUCUAUGUUCCCCUCCUAUUGCAGCUUGAUUAUUCAAAUACAUGUAUCUGUAAGUUCACAUGUGUUAGCGUUAGUCUACAACAUCUUUCACUCAGCACAUAGUAUGUGAAAUAUUAAUCCCCUUAGUUUCUUCAUGUGUGUGGGGAAAUGGUACUAUACAGAACAAACAUGAUAAGUAUUGGAAAUUGCCCUUUUUUUUUAUUAUGAAUAUUUUUGAAGUAUGGUUUAGUAUGAAUUAGGGUGAAAGUGCUUGAUUUACUUGAAUCUAGAUAUGGUUUUAAGCAUUAGGGUCAAUGCUUGAGCAUGCAAUAGGUUUUUGUUUUCACCUUUCACUUCAAAUCAGACAACUAAUUGUAGAAAAUGGUCUCAUUUAUGCAAUAGGUACCAGCUGAUGCAACAAGUGGCCAUAAGGCUAGGAGGGAGUCCAUAUGAGAGGGAGAUCCUGAGGCCACUACCCAUUUUGAUUCAACUUCUGAUGAUGUCACUGGUCACCAUGAUCCUCCUGCAUGAUUUAGGUUUAUGUCAUAUUGUUGUGUUUUAGAAUGUGUUAGAACAAAAUUAUGUUGGAAUAUUAUUGUCCCUUUAUGAAGCUCUUUUUAUUGUUGUAGCAGUUUGUUGGUUUGGUUUAGGUUCCAUCAUGUGGAAUAAUGUUUAUGUUAGAUAAUUUGGUUAUGAAAUGAAUUUUGGUCAUUGUGUUGUAUUUUGUUGGAAUGAAUGAUAGUUGAUGGUGGUGUUAGUACCUUGUUGAUUAUGGUUGUUGCUAUUGUGGAUUGAAUGAGAUUUGAAUUUGCAGCUUUCUGGUAAAAAUGAGAUUUGAAACAGUUGUGGUAACAAUUUCUGCAGUUGGCGACGGCAGAGUCCCGUCGCAAAUGGUUUUGGUGGGAAAAUUCAAAAAUUUUAGUUCAGAUCUGAAAUUUUUAAAAUAUCACAGUGACGGCGAUUGCCGUCGCCAAUAUUGGUAUUUGUGACGGCAAGUUCAGUAGCCAAUUUCCGUCGCUAAUUAAGCGACGGUCUUUACAGUCGCUAUUUGCCGUCGCAAACAUGGUUGUGACGGCUCACUGCCGUCGCCAAAAGCAACGGCCACACCCUCAACGGCGACGGGAAAAAUGCCGUCGCCACGCCGUCGCCGUUGGUCUUUUGCGACGGCAGAAUGACUUUUGGCGACGGCAUUUUGCCGUGGCUAACUGAAUUAAUUUUUGUAGUGUGUUAGUCCCUGCAAACAGAAUGUAUGCCCUCCAAUCUGAAACUUCAUCAUCAUAGUCUCAAAAUUCCACAAUAUAUCCCCAAGAGUUUUGAGCCAACUUGCCCCCAUUACAACCCAUUACAACUUCACAACCUGAUAUAGGUAGAACAUAGAAGGAAGUGGUUAGGGUUAAACCUUGCAAUGUAAUUUCAACCUUUACCUGCCCCUUAGUGUACAUAAUCGAUCGCUUCACUAGCAAGCCGGACUCUUAGAGGACUAAUUUUUUGGACCUCAUGCUUCGAUGCCUUGAGCGCUGCAGGGUGCACAAAGUUGUGUGAUGCCCCCGAAUCAAUUAGGACAUGCACUGCCUUGUUCAGAAUUUUCCCUUUGAGUUGCAUGGUUGAAGUGGCACUACCAUCUCCCAUAGCUCUGAGCUCCACCUCAUCAUUAUCUUCCACAUUAUCCAAUUGGUCCAAAUCAUCAAUGAUAGGAGGAGGUAACACGUUAGGAGGGAGUUGUGGAACUUCAUCUUGUAAUACCUCAAUAACCAUGAUGGCCUGUCCUCGCCGACAAUUGUGUCCCGGUCGGAAGAGCUCAUCACAGAAAAAACAUUGGUUCCGGGAUCUACGCUCCUGGUAUUCAGCUUGUGUGAGUCACCUAUUUCCUCCAAUAUUCCUUGCAGCCCCUGGAUUGGCUAAAGCAGGCAUAUUCUGAGCUCUCAGUUGUGGCGGAGGAGGGCCUUGAGCACGCGGGGGAGCUACUGGAGGCAUAAGAGCUUGUCGCCUUGGUAACCCUGUGACUCUUUGAAAUCUCUGCUAGGUAUCCCCUCCCUCAAACAGUUUUGCCAAUUCACACGCUAUAUAGAGUGUGGAAGGUCUAUGUGCCUUGACACCCGUUCUGAUGUAGGGCUUCAAACCCUCAAUAAAAAAUGACAGCAGUGCCUGUGGUGUGAACCCCUGGUGCACGCCUUGACAGCUUAGUAAACUGAUCCAUAUACAUAUCCACAGACCCUACUUGAGAAAUGCGAGCAAGAGCAGCCUGGUAUUCACCGAAAUUAUGCACACUGAACUCACGCAUUAGUAACUCGGCUAAACCACUCCAAGAGUUUGGAAAUUCAUGUUUGAACAUGAACCAGUGAUCAGCAGCUUUAUCCACUAAAUGCAAGGCUGCUAUAGCUACCUUCUUCUCGUCUGGCACUUGAUAGAACUCAAAAAAUUGUUCGGCCUUGUGCAACCAUUCAACAGGAUCUCCACCCCCAAAGGUCGUGAAAUCUAACUUCAUUUGUCUCAUGGAGGGAAGACUGGGAUCAUGGCUUGAGAAAUUUGGGUUACCUUGGUGGAAACUUUGUUGUUGAUUAUGUGUGUGAGAGGGACUACCAUUGCCAUGGUGUUGGGAAUGGGGGUUUUGAAUGGUUGUGGUAGUGGUAGCAUAGGUAGGGUGAGAUUGAGAAUGGCUUUUUAUGUUUGGAGACUGGUGCAUUUGGGAAUGGGGUGUGUUGCUGGUUGUGGGGAAGGGGGGUGGGCCAAAAGUUGCAGCAGUGUUGUAAACAUCAUGUGAGUAAUGACGUGAAUGGGAUCUGUUGUGUAGAAGCACACAUGGGUUGGGACACCAAAGGAGCACCAAGGUGUUGUUGUGCCUCAUUAUGCAAACCCCUACCAUGGUGGUUAAAAGAGUGAGCUCCUCCAUCAGUGUGUUGAAAAAAUUGAGUCAGGGGUUGCUUUCCAUUGUUUUGACCACUCGAUUCUCCUCUAGCAUGAUUAGACAAACUCAGAGGGUCACCAACAGUAAGUUGCAUCAAGGGUUGGGAAGAGGACUCAAGAGCUGUGUCACACUCACUCAUGAAACCAAGAAGCACAUCAUUAUCUCCAAGGUUCAAAGGAUGGCGUGCCUUGGAUACACUGCCUGCAGAGUUGAGCAGAGACAUAGCUGUUGAGAUGCCAUCAGUCGACGACGGAGUGGUCCCUCUUUCAACUAACGUCGGAGACCCAGAGGUUAAUGGAAGCGACCCAAAGCGCAGCAUCGGAUUCGCCUAUAAUGAUUGUACUUCAUAGUUGUAUCAGUGGCUGCCUCUAGCUCAGCGGUCUUCCAGUUUUAUCUGUUAGGUUCUAGUUGCAUGCAAUGUUUCUUGUUGUAAUGUUUUGGUUUACUAGUCGAAAAAAAGAAGAAGGAAGAAACAAAAAAGGGUAAGCUGACUCAGUACCAUUUGAUCUAAUGACAUAGUCUCCUCUUAAUAAGUGGGAGGUUGUGAGUUUGACUCACGAAGUUGUAUUAUGUGAUAAAAAAAAAGGGUAAGCACUUGUGUAAUUCUAAUUAGAUGGGGUGGUUAAUUAGUUUAGUUGAAACUUGAAAACCAAUGCUUUUACUAAAUCUUUCUACUUAAUCAUAUGCGUACUGCGAGCGUGUAUCAUGUAUGUGAUGUAUAUAUGUCAUCUAUGACAGUUUGUUUUUGGUUCUUGUAGUAUGUAACAUCAAACAACGUGCAAUACAAGAGUAGACAACAAAAAUAAUUGAUGAAACUUGUCUUGUUCACUUGAGUGCUUGAAAAUCGAUCAAAACCCUAACCUUGUCUUUUCCGUCGACGGCGAGAUAAGUGGUUUCUAUUAGAAAGCUGUUUAUAUCAGCAGAAGACAAACUCGUUCAGACCAGAUAAGAUUCUGUGAUCCCCAUUUGGGAAGGUGUAGGGCAUGUACUUGAAAAUUACACCAUAUGCAGUAGUGCCCGGGCCUUCUUCUACAGUUCUACGUACGUAUUUUCAUUUCAGAAUUCACAUGAUGCAUACAUGGGAUAUGGGAGUCAGAGAAAUUAUCCUUUUACCUACGUACUCGAUCUGUUGGCUUGCAUGCCUCUCCAGAAUUUAAUAGCAAAAUUGUGAGCUCUUAUUAACAACUUACUGAGAGUGAAAGAGAGGGAAAGAACAAGAUGAGUAUGAUUUUGCAGGAAGUGUUCCACAUUUUAUAUUCUUUCCUUUGAAGAAUGUAAUCGAUUCUUCCUUUUGAUUCUGGGUUGUUGGAGAAAUUUUAGUCAUCAUCAUCACCAUGUACGUUCUUCUCCUAAGUCUUAAGUACACUCUUGUAAGUUGUAAUUAUAGCUAGAUGGGGUGCGGGGUUUAUUAGUUAACUUGAGGCAAAUGUUUGUACUAAAUCUUCGUAGAUACGUAUGUCGUUGCUGACACAAAACAACAUGCAUGCCACACAGAGUGAGAUCAUGAAGAGACGUCCGAUUCCAACAAAAUGAUAUAGGAGCGAAACUUUUCUUGUUCACUUCAUUGCUCAAAAAUCAAAAUCCUAGCCAUAUAUAUUCGGUCGACUGCGAUGUAAGCGGUUAGUGUUAUAUAUAAAGCUCUUAUAUCAAAUUAUCUUUGAAGCAGGAGAUCGACAUGCAAAGCCAUUCAGACCAAAGAUUAGUGAUAAAGUUAUCAUGGAUUCCCAAGUAUCACAUCAGCAAAUGUAUCAUAGAUCAAUCUAAGAAUGAAAAUUAACAUGAUAUUAACAUGCACGUUAAUAUAUGACCUAAAGUGGAACCACAUUUUUCUUUGAUUAUUCUUGCAUGUAAGACCCGAGAUAUGAAGGAUGAGAACUUUUCUUAACAUUCAUUAAAACUAAAUCACAAUGCAUUCUGAACAUGAUUGCACAAAUAUAACUUAUUGAUGUUUUGUUCCUAAAAACUAUAGGCAUUCACAUUUACUUUUACGAACGGAAAACGCUAUCACGCAUAACUAAAACUCCAAGAGGAACGAAUUUUCUUUCUUAAGCCAUGAAAUCAUUCCGUCUCAUAAAUGCUUUUUUCCAGUAGGCGAUAUGGAUCCAGACCACCGGAAAAUAAAAGGCGGUGGAUUAUUCACACUGAAAAGAAAAAGAAAAGGAAAGAAGAGGUUUUCACAUCCACGCGAAACAUAUGGAGGGAACAGGGAAGUAGUGCCAAACUAUAUGGAUAACGCUGCGUGAAGUCGCUUGUCCAUCUUGUACGUUACACUGUUUUUUUUUCUCCCAGUAAAGGCUAGAACAUGCAUAUAUGUGCCUGUAUAGAACCGAAAGAGCAAAGGCUGAACAUGCAUGUGAAUCCAAGAUAUUGAAGAUCAUGGAGCAUUCGCUUGGAGUUUUGUAAGUUAUUGAAGAUACGCACUGGACCAGUUUCCAGUAUUAUUGUAUAUCUUUAGCAAAGUUGAAGACAAUACUUAAAAUCACUCGUUGUUUUCACACCUGCAGAAAUCCCAGUACAAAACCCAAAGAAUCAGUAGUAACUGUAAGAUAGCUCUAGCAAUUGUAUAACAUAACAAGUCACAAGAUAUAUAUAAAAGAGAGCUUGCUAAUUAACUAACAAAAAAAAUAAAAAUUAGAACCUAUGUGCUAGAUUAGUUUCAUUUUCUUUUUUAAAAUAACGGUCUCAAGAUGAAUAGUUGAUUCAUAUUAUUCAUACUGGGCUCCGAAUGAUAGAAAUUAAGAUUUAUUGAAUUCAAAGAGCAUAAACAUAAAGAAAACACAAAAAGUGCUUUGGACUACAACACUAGUUUGUGAUACUCUCAUUAUUUGAAAUCAAACUCUUCUAUCAUGAAAAACAAGCCGGCCUGUUGUAAAUGUGAGAUUUACCCCUUUUUUGAAGCUUCUCUCUCAGUUUGAAAAAAAAGCAUCUUCAAGAGGAGGGAAUGAGGGAUAUACUUCCAUUAGGUUCACGUGUGUAUUUCUGUGGCAAUGUGAACCCUACACGUGGCAUGAUCUUGUAGAAACGGAGCCGAUUCUGAUAUCUAAAUAGCUAUAAAUAGGGCGCAUUGCAAGAGCAAAAACACCAACAGCAAACAGAAGCCAUAAGCCAUAAGUUACAUAUCCUUGUUCGAUCUCUGCCUUUUAGCCACUAUCAUCAUGCUUGGCCUAGUAAACAAGGUGGCCUCAGUAAUCCACCACCCUCAUAGCCCGUUUGCCAAGUCUGACAAGAAGAUCUUGGAUGAUAUUUACACUACUCAUGUCCAUGCUGAUGAUUCAUUCGACGACGAUUCUCUUUUCAUCAUUGUUGAGAGUAUCCUCAAGCGUGCAACCCAAACUGUCGAUAAAAUUGUGCAGGUACAAAUCACACAUAACAUGUAACACGAUUACAUAUGCCUUGGUCGAUUUUUGCAUACGUACAAUAUAUAUUUACGCAAGAAUGACCAAGCUAGGAUGUUCUUAAUUUGCCUAAGAGAAGCUGUCUUUUUCUGUUGUUGGUAGUGACUAGCUGCAUGCUACAUUCUUGUGGUUGUUGCAGGGUACCCAAGUGCAUGUGGAAGACAUAGAGGAGCAAACUCCCAAAGCCAACUUCAGUGUACCAUUGUGCACGCUUAAGGGAAUCUCCUGCGAGGUCCAUCCGUCCAUAUAUAUACGAUACCAGCAAAAAUUAAAAAAAUUCCAAAUUAAUUGUUGUUAAUUGCUCGUUGAUUACAUUUUCCAUAUAUAUAUUGAAUAUUUCUCUAAUUUCAGAUGCAAUGCAAGCCUCCUGGUGAAGAAAUCGCCCAUGAGACAACACUGGCAAUACUACACAAGCUGUCAAAGUAUUCAUGGGAAGCAAAGGCAUCACUGACCCUAGCAGCUUUUGCUAUGGAGUUUGGUGAAUUCUGGCUCCUUGCAGAGCUUCGUGAAUCAAACCACCUUGCCAGGUCAAUUGCAAUUCUCAAACGACUCCCUGUUCUCCUCAAGCCUUCUCAGCUGCACAAGCGCAGGCAAGCAAUACUUGAGCUUAACAAUCUGAUCAAGGCCACACUGGAAGUCAUUACAUGCAUCGACCAGUUCAACAAGAUUUCCAUUUAUGACCUGAAAGAUGUCCCCGAGUUGUCGGGAACAUUGGAUCAUGUUCCGGUGGACGUAUAUUGGGCUAUCAUGACUGUUGUGGCUUGUGCCACUAAGAUCACACUACUCACUAGUGAUGAGUAAGUUCCUCGAUCUCCAUCGUUUUAAAGAAUUAGCUAAUUACUAUACUCACUGUUGUGGUGUAAGCAUUGUUCCUGGAGAUUGAAUUUGUGUACCGAUUUACGAUAUUUACCCUAUUUAAUUUGCCAUGCACAUAUUGUUUCAGGGACAAAGAAUUUGACCUAUCUCCCUAUUCUCAAAAGAUCCACUUUGUCCUUAACAAGCUCAAGACACAGCUAACAAUUUGCAGAGCACGAAUUGGUGGGUUAAUUAAUUGCAUAUUUUUUAUUAAUUGAGGUUUACAUUAGUUCUAUAUGUGUACUCAUUGAAACGAAAUUUGAAGCAAUUUUAUUGUUGUCUAAUGCAGAGUUCAUAGAAAAUUAUAAAAAGCUCAAGAAACUGUUCCGAACACCUACUGAAAUUAUGGAAAUCUUUAAGGGUUUGUUAUUUACAAAGGAUAAUGUCCAGCCACUCGUUGAUUGUUCCACUAAACAAACGGUUUGUGAAUCAUCUAUAGUUCAUUUCUCUACAAAUUGUAACAACAAUAGUGAAACUUAAUCGUGCCUAACUCUUUAACAGGUGAGCAUCGAAAUCCUAAGGAGGAAGAAUGUGCUAUUCUUCAUUUCCAGCCUCGACAUUACGGAUGACGACAUUUCGAUUCUGAAACCGGUCCACGAGUUCACAAAGAAAGACAAUCAGUAUAAGAUUGUGUGGAUACCGAUUGUGGAGCAAUGGACCGAUGAGCUGAGAAAGAAAUUUGAAAUCCUGAAGAACAAGAUGCCGUGGUAUACGGUGCAGUACUCUGGACCUAUUGCAGGCAUCAAGUUCAUCAAGGAGGAGUGGAACUUCAAGGGUAAGCCAUUACUGGUAGUGAUGAACCCACAAGGAAAGGUCGAACACACUAACGCUCUUCACAUGAUUCGGGUGUGGGGAGUCAAGGCCUUCCCUUUCACAGAGACGAUAGAGAAAGAGCUGUCAUCAGAUUCUCAUGGAGGAAUUCACUCUAUAGUUGUUGACGGAAUUCACCCUUCUGUGCCAUCUUACGUAAUUCACCUCAACCGAUCAAAGCGCAUAUAUAAAUUCACGAGUUAUUAUUUAUAGUAUUGCCUAUAUAUAUAUUACUUUUGACAGUGCAUUACUACAUCAAUACAUACAUUACAUAAUAAUGAACUAGGAGAGUAGGGUCAUCUCCAUUAUUGACAUAUUUUCACUACAUUCACCUGAAACGAUGAGAAACUUAUUCAAUUUGUUAUCCUCAAACAGAUCAGAGAUAAUAAGUACAUCUUCUUCUAUGGCGGUAAGGACAACGAAUGGAUUCAGCAAUUCACAAAGAAAGCAACUGCCCUUGCAAACGAUCCUAUCUUGAAGGAAGCAAAGAUUUACAUAGAGUUGGUUUGCGUUGGAAAAGGCAGCGAAGGAGAAGAUGACCAUGGCAUUCUAGGCCGCUUCUGGACCGGUAUAGAAAGUUUGUUCCUCACCAAAGUCCACAAGCACGUUGAUCCGAUCGGUCAAGAAAUUCAGAAGCUUGUCUCUUACAAGAACGAAAGUGGAUGGGUGUUGCUUACCAAAGGAUCAACUUUGUUGGUCACAGGUCAUGGUAUCUCCGCAUUGAAGGUGGUAGAAGACUUUGAGAAAUGGAGGGAGCAUGUCAAGGAGAAAGGGUUUGAGUUUUGUUUCAAGGCCUAUUAUGGGAAGGUUAUUCAGGCUGGUCGACCUUGUUGCCGUCUUGACAUUCCGGGGUCUACCGGAAAGGUUCCGGAGUCGAUGAAGUGCCCUGAUUGUCACCGUAGUAUGGAGACUUUUAUCAGUUACAAGUGCUGCCACAUUGAUGGUCCAACUGCACAUCAUUGAGUCCUGGAUGAAUUGGUGUUUACGAUCAGUCCUUCAGUACGUUAUGAUGGACACUGUUAUGUUAUCUUUUACUUCUGCUUGUAUGAAUAAGAUGGGCAUGGCCGAUGCAUUGUGAUGCUAGGUAUAACCCAGACUUACGAUUUGAAUUUUCCAGCUAUAACUAUAUGGCUACAUGUACUAUGUUGGGUGCUAUCGUACCUUUUGAAUCAAAUAAGACCAAUAUUGGUGACUAUAUUGAAACCAAUUUAAUUUUUUUUUUCAGUUUAUUUUGUUAAAAUAAAAAAGCAUAAAUUGAAAUAAGGGCUAGUUUGGGAUUGCUGUGAUUUUUUAUAAAAAUUGUUUAUGUUGUACUAUGAAUACAAUCAGCUGUGAGUGAAGGAAAUACUUGCGUCCGGACUAGUAUGUACGUGUGCGUCCGGAUUCUCUGUUAUUUACAUACUUUCGGCAAUGUAAAUCAUAAUUUUAACCGUUCAAAAAUUGGAUUAACCAAUAAAGAUCAUUUCUGCAAAAAAUCAAUGUAAACAAAAUUCGUUUGCUCACCCAAUUGUAUUAAACAAAUGAACAGUUCUGGUAAAAGUUAUCAGCCUCAUGAUUAUCCGUCAAUUUGUUUGAUUCAUUCGACUUAGCAAACGAUUUUUGUUUACACUGAUUUUUUGCAUAGGUGUUUUUUUUUUGAAUAAUUGAAUUUUAUUACUAAAUACGAUUCAAAUUGUACAUGAGGGCAUCCAGUAUAAAGUAUGGAGCAUGAGAAAACUACUCAAGGUGGAUAUUAGACUCAAAACCAUAGUUAGCUAGUCUGUGUGCUACCAAAUUGGUCUGCCUGGGAGCAAAAUGCAAACUAAAACCUUUGUUUGCAGCUAGAGUCUCUUUGAUCUCCAAAAUAAGACCACUGAGAGGGGAUAAAUCAUCCUCAGGAGAGUUGAGAGUAGUCACCGCUACCAAACAAUCACUCUCCACAAUAGCAUCAGCAAUAUGCAUAGCUUGAAGAACAUCUGUCCCAUACCUUAUAGCUUCCAAUUCAAAAUGAAGAGAUGAACUAACAUGUUCCAUGCGGUGUGCAAAACCAUCUAAGAACUGACUCUGAGAGUCUCGAAGCACACCUCAAAACCACCUUGAGUGACAUCAGGAAGGAAGGAACCAUCCACAUUGAGUUUCACAACUGACCCCAAAGGAGGUUGCCACUGUUUUCUCAGUUUCUGUCGAGUAGAAGCUGUUGUACCAGAAGAGACUGAUUGUGCUUUAAGGUAUUCCUCAUACCAUGACAUGGCAGCUAUAACAACUUGAUCAGGAUUCUUGCCAUUAUCUCUCCAUAAUAUCUCAUUCCGGUUUCGCCAAAUACUCCCAAGGAGGAUUAGAAACGUCACUACGCCAAAAAAGAGUUUUUACGGCCGACAAUGCGUGCCGUAAAAGUCUUUUUACGGUGUACAAAAGUAGGCAGUAAAAGCUCAGGUCGUAAAAGACCAAUAUCUUUUACGACGUGCAAAAAUACUUCAUAAAAAAACAAUUAACACGCCGUAAAAGUGAUUCCAUAAAUGUUAUUUAGGUCAUUUAUGACCCUCUUUUGCUCACCGUAAGAAUAUUUAAAGGCGUACACAGCAUGCCGUGAAAGAGUGACUAAACUCCUAAUUAAGGCACACACUGCAGGCCGUAAAUAAGGUAUGUUCAAAUAAAAAAAAAUACUUCUUACUCAAAUGUCAUACUCAAAUUACCAUCAAUAUAACUAAUGUCAUUUACAAAGUAACAAUUCAUAAUGUAUUAAUAUAACUCACUAGUCAAUGACCAGCCGCGCCCUGCUGCAGCCUUUUUUAUGGUCUGUUUCUUGAGUAAUAUUUCUUUCCGUAUAGAAUGCUUAACCUAUGAAGAAUUUGUAUACCUAAGAGCAUCUACUCCUCUUUCAAGCACUGGAUCAAGUUCAACACAUGCAUUCGUCAUGACCUCUUUCCUCCCAUGUUCGGCACUGCCAACUCUUUUACAUGCAGACUCACUUGUGUGAGUACUGGGGCUUGUAACUGAGAAAACUUCAUUCUCACCCACACUACUCUGACUGAGGGGUGAAGGAGGAAAUCUCUCUAAUUCUUCUUUUUCUUGUCAUAUGGCACCUAUAACCACAAUAAGGAGAUCGAAUUAAAGAUAAACUCUUAUGAUCCAAUAAUGCUACUACUAUACAACCGCGAAGGUAUAGAAUCAGGCCCUCACCCAACACCUCCAUCCUGGUCAUCAAAUUAUUAGCCAAAGGCAAAAGCUAUUCUCUUACUCUUUCUAUUGAAAUAUCCAAAAUAGUCUACAUUGACUUGUAAGGAUAACAAUGCACAACAUGUAUGCAAUUACAAAAUCCUAACAUUGUAGUGAGGUAUAAUGAGAUGUUGUGCAUAUCUAUUUGCUUGAUUAUCUUUAAAGGAUCUAAAAGUUGGCUUCCAGUUGUUUUUUAAACAACUUUCAGUGAACUGUCCAAUUAGAGAAAUGAUCAGAUCAAGCAUGUCAUCAUGCUACGUACACGCAACACCUAAACCAAACACAAUAAUCCACCAAUGAGCAUCCUAAACCAAAACAUAACGCAAAUUAACAGCAAAAUAGUUUGAAAAUAAAACCCACAGGGAUUCAAGUUAUGACAUUCGACAAACUUAUCGUGUCUUCAAAUUAUUGUUUCACAUAAAUUUAGUUUCAAAUACAACUCAUUUGCCAAACUUAGUAUGAACCGAUGAUUAGCUCAUAUCAUGCAUAUUAUUGGCUAGAACUGUUGGACAAACAUGAAGCAAAUAAUCGGCCAACAUUCAAACAUUCAUAGUCAUGCUAAAUAAGACUUAUCAGAACCCAGUAUGGAAAAAGAUUGAAAUAUCAAAUGCUUUUUCCCGAAAAGAGUAAAUUCUUAAAGAUCGUACCUUAAAACCAUCCAACCUGGAGGCCUCAGAAUCCACCACACAAAAAACUCCAAUUGGCUGAUCAAGAAAUUGCUCAAUAAGACACCAACUUGAACUUGGGAAUACAAAUUGGUAAUACACAAUCAGAAAGCAUAAGCAAAAACGCUUUUGGGCUCCACCUGAACUCGAUGAGGUCGCCAGAAGCUCAAGAACACUAUCGCCAGAAAACUUCAACGGGAACCCAGAAAUAUGCAGAAAAAUAAAGAAAUAGGAUUAGGGCUCUAACACGGAAAUUGAAGCUCAAGGAAGAGUGAAAACGAGAGGGAAGUGAUGGGGUUUACCUUCACCAAGCAUGGGCUCGCCGGAGAGAAAGAGAUUCGGCCAUAAAUCAUAUUUGGGGGUUAGAGUUUGGACUUCAAUCUAAAAAGUCUAUGGUUCUAAGUCGAAUUGGUGGGUAGCUAGGGGAAGGUGGAGAAGAGGAAGAUGAACAUUUUGGUGAUGAUCUUGCGGCAUGCGGUGGCCGGAAACAGCUACGCCAUGCCAGAGAUGGCGGAGGCAGGCGGAGAGGGAGAGAGAGCGGUCUGGGCUCGAGUUUGGGUUCUGACCAAAAUCAACAUGUAAUUACAGGUCUCUUCCCUUUUAUACUUGAUGGGAUCUUUAUUAAUUUUCUUUCGCAACAAAAAAAAAUGUGGGAAGUUUAAGUUUUGGUGAAAAAAUUGAGCGGGAGCUGAAAAGAAAAAUUCGAGUUUGAGGUGUAGUCAGCUCACACCAAUUACGGCGUGCAACUAUUGCACGCAGUAAAUACCUUAUACUUAUUAACGGCGCGCAAUGAAUGAAUGUCAUAAAUACAUCUUUAUUUACGGCGUGCUUUUAUUGUAAGCCGUAAAUAACUCGAGCCACAAUCUCAAUUACGGCACACUUCCGAAGCACACCAUAAAUAACUCUACAUAACAUUAUAUUUAUGGCAUGCUAUAAAUGCACGCCAUAAAUGACCCAUUUUUACGGCACGCAUUGACGUACGCCAUAAAUUUUAGGCGGUAAAAGCCCUGAAUUCUUGUAAUGCUUGGAAAACAGAUUUGGAGUUAAAGAAGAAGCUCUCUCCAGUAUCCAAUCUUUCCAAGUAAGAGAAGGGUGAGGAAAAGAGAAGGGAGGCUUACCAAAAAUGUAUUUCAAGAGAAAACAAGUGCAAAAGAGAUGAUCAAAGGACUCCACAGAUUGUUGACAAACAACACAGUUUAAAUCCCCAGUAAAUCCCUUCUGAUUUAAAGCCGACCUGGUUGGGAGAAGAUUAUGCACUGCUCGCCAUCCAAAAAUAGUGACCUUAUUAGGCACUUUAGCUUUCCAGAAUGCUUUUCAAAUUGGUAAAUAAGGAUCAACAUUUGAGCCAGUUGCAAUACAUAUACCAAGAUACAUGUUUCUAGCUACAAUAUAUGCUGAUUUCACAAAGAGAAAGCCUUUCUUGUCGAAUUUCCAAGAGAGUUUGUUCUAUGAAAAUCUUCUACUGAGGGGAAUAGCAAGAACUACAUCAGCCACUUCAGGGGGAAAGCACAUUCGGACAACAUGUAAAUGCCAAGACCAUGAAGACUCAUCAAUUAAAUCUGAUACUAGCUCAAAAAUAGUACGCUCAGGUUUAGAUAGUGAGGAGGCCGAAAAACCUGAAAUCCAGUCCGCAGUCCAGAUAUUGACUGAAGAACCAUUACCAAUGCACCAUUGAAGGCCAGCUUGUAGAACAUGCCAGCCUUCCAUGAUACUUCUCCAUGCAUAUGAAGGUCUUUCACCCAUAUCGGCUUCAAGAAAAGAGGUGUGUGGAUGAUAGAUGGCUUUGAAGAGUUGAGCAGCUAAGGAGUUCGGAUUUGUAAGAAGCCUCCAACCUUGCUUAGCUAACAUAGCUAGGUUAUGUGAAAACAAAUGUUUAAACCCCAUCCCACCUUGAUCUUUGGGAAGACACAUCUGAUCCCAAGACCGCUAAUGAAUUUUCUUUUUUUUUUCUGCAGUACUUCCCUAGAAAAACUCACAACAAAGUUGUUGAAGAUCCUCACAGAGAGUCUUGGGAAGAGCAUAACAGUUCAUCACAUAAUUCGGAAAAGGCUAACCAACUACCUUGAUUAAAAGUUCUUUACCUCCUAAACUGAGAAGCUUCUCUCUCCAACUGAUAAGCUUCUUACUUAACUUUUCCUUAAGAAAAUUAAAUAUGGCUGUCUUAUUUUGUCCAACUUGAAUAGGGAGGCCUAAGUAAAGACCAUGCUCCUCUACACAUUCAACCCCCAGAAUGGAAGCUAAUAUAUUCUUCUUCUCAGGUUGCACAUUGCCGCUGAAAACGACAUUUGAUUUCUACAGAUUAAUAUGUUGACCAGAUGCCCUUGCAUAGGUAGACAAAAUAUGUUUAUAAGCUUGACAUUCUUAUAUAGAAGCUUCACCAAAGAGAAAGCUAUCGUCUGUAAAAAGUAAGUGGUGAAUGGUGGGGGCUGUAGGAGAAACCGAAAUCCUUGGAUUAAACCCUGCCUCUAAGAUGCAGAUAUAUAGGAGGACAGUCCUUCUGCAGCCAAAAUGAAUAGAUAUGGAGAUAGAGGAUCGCCUUGACGAAUCCCUCUAGUAGGUAAGAUAAAACCAGUAGGAGUACCAUAUAUCAGAAUUGAGUAACUAACCAAUUUAACUGUCGCCAAGACAAUGUUAACCCAGGUGUGGCAAAAGCCCAGCUUCAGAAGGAUUACUUCCAAAAAAACUCCACUCUAACGUAUCAUAGGCCUUUGAAAUAUCAAGUUUCAAUGAGAAGAAACCUUGUAACUGCCGGCGAAGCUUUUUCAUGAAACGAGCAAUUUCAGUAGCUACUAGAGUAUUAUCCGAGAUUAAGCGACCCGAUACGAAUGCGCUUUGAAGAGGAGAGAUCACUUGUGGGAGGAUGUGUUUCAGUCUGUUUGCAUAGGUGAUCUUUAUUCGUUAAUCCAACUUUUGAACGGUUAAGAUUAUGAUUUAUAUUGCCGAAAGUGUGUAAAUAACAGAGAGUCCGAACGCACACGUACAUACUAGUCCGAACGCAAGUAUUUUCCGUGAAGAAUUAAAACAGUUUUCUGUUUGGUGAAUGUUACUUUUAAAACUGGUAUCAAAACAUAAAGUACCAUUUUUUGUGUUUUUAUUGACAACAAUUUCUAAAAGCAACCUCAAGGCUGUUUUCCACUUAUUUGUAAUUUUCAAAUAAAGAUGCUUCUGUUUAGUUUACCAAACACAAUAAAAUUUAGAAGUUUAGAUAAAAACUUAUUUUUUUUAAAAGCGAAGCUGUACCAAACUAAGUCUUAGAGUACUUUUUAGUUUCGAUUGUUCAAUAUUAGUGGUGAUGUUGUAUGAAGGGUGCGAUUCAUCUAUGGAUUUAAGUGGCCUUUGAACAUGUCUCUUGCAACAGGAUAUAUGGCAUUCAAGUUACAGCCGUGGCGAAUGGUUUGGGAUGGGUGAUGAUAUCAUAAUUAUUUCUUGCUUCCUAUUAGUUAUAAACUAUGUUAUCUACAUUUCAAAAAACUAAUAAAAAAAAAAAAAAUAAGUCAUCAAAGUGAUAAUAUUAGUUUUCAAAGUUGUAAAUGAGUCCUUAAAGUUGUAAAUAUUAUUAGUUACCACAUGAGUCCUUAAAGUAAUAAUACUAAUCCUUAAAGUAUUAUUCAUGUAUUCCCUAUUAUAAGAGACGAUAAGUGUGCUUCUACCCUCCCAUAUACUUGGACACCAACUGUUUCCAGAGAGAUAUCGAGUACGACUUGUAAUCGGUCGAAAAUAGGAAAAACUUCUGGUUUCGAAAAGGACGGAAAGAAGAAACGAAAGUGGUCCGCUUGUGAAGACCAGAUCCUCAGUGACUACGUCAAGAAGCACGGUCCAGGCAAAUGGGGCAAAAUAGCAAAAGAGAUUGGCAAGUUCAUACCUUCAUAUUUACUUUCGACAUACAACCUUGUGAUUUUAUGAAAUUAAUCAAUUAAUUCACUUAAUUAACGACGACCCUGUGUAGCUUAGGUGUGAUUCGCAUGCAUGGAUUGGAAGCCAAAAUUACAAAGUUACACCAGUGGCGAAUGGAUUAAUUGGUUGCUUAUUAAUCAGCACUUAACUACGUGUGCAGGUCUGGGGAGAUGUGGAAAGAGUGUGAGCUAGACUAAGAUUGUUGAAUUACCUAAGGCCCGAUAUCAAGCAUGGCAACAUUAGGGAAGAUGAAGAAGAUCUUAUUAUCAGGAUGCACAAGCUCGUAGGCAGAAGGUCCUUAUAUAUUAGGUUUUUCUAUUUUAGUUUUGAGAACUCAAAGAAAUUAAAUCUACUUGCUUCAUUUCAGAGAUUAAUACAAAGUAGACGUGUGCAGGUGGUCAUUGAUAGCAGGAAGGAUUCCGGGUCGAACUGACAAUGAAACAAAGAACUACUGGAUCUCCACUCUAAGUAAGAAGCUGGCAGAAGAAAAAAGAAAGAAACCAGAAGUGCCGAGAAACGAGAUUGCCAAGGAGAACUUACCAUCCCCCGUUGAGGACGAUGGUCAUCCACAUCCGACCAAAUGCCAAUAAUGUUAAUGUAGAAGAUCAUUAGCAUCGACGUCGUUAUACCAAUAACAGUACUACAAUAAGUGCCAGGAAACGAGAUUGCCAAGGAGAACUUACCAUCCCCCGUUGAGGACGAUGGUCAUCCACAUCCAACCAAAUGCCAAUAAUGUUGAUGUAGAAGAUCAUUAGCAUCGACGUCGUUAUACCAAUAACAGUACUACAAUAAGUGCCGGAGUGGGGGAGUCGGAAACAAUGUUCAACCAACUGGGGACUAUCUCAAUGAUGACGCUAUGCCCUAGAACGAUUGGAUAAUGGAUCUGAACGAAGGGCAACUCGACGUAUCUGAAUUUCUCCAAACUGACUUUUCAAACUUUUGGGAAGAAUCAGAUAUGUUCAUGAACAUUGAACUCGGAGGUUGCAGCACCAUUAACCAUGAGUGGCCAAUGUUGGAAUGAACUUAGCAUUUUGAGUCCUAAGGCAUAACAACUUCUAUAAUAUAUGCAGAAUAAACAUUGUGAGAUUAAAUUUAUCUAAAUGAAAUGGUUAGAUAAGUAAUGAAAUACAAUCGAAUUAUCUUGUUAAACAAGAUAAUAUAGAUGUACUAAUAUUGUUGUUUUCUAAUGGAACUCAAACUCUUUGACGGACAGAAUUUGAGCUAUCUAAAAUGCAGUAUAUAAGGAGGUCUCUAUGCACACUCUAAACUACGCCAAUACGAGUCUCUCUCCAUCUGAGCUUGGUAACUGAGUGCUGCAUAGAAGAUCUCUUAUCUUUGGAGCUCUUGGCCUACAUCAGCAACUACGGUAAACAUGUUGUAUAUCCUCAUCCUUGUUCUAUGACCUUGUAUGAGUUGUAUCUAUAUAUGUGUUUAUGCUUAAGUGUUUUGCUCUUGUGGUUGUAUUAUAACAGCCAAAUACUUGAGGUGGUUAAAUAUCUUCCCGAGCUUCUUGUUUUUCUUUCCGUACGUAUAGGAAAUAUUGAUUCUUGCAUAUAUUAAUUCGACUGUGAUUUGCAUGGCAAUGCCACUAUAGUAAUAAGAUUAUUGGUCACUUUAGAAUCGAAUAAAUUGGUUUUACUCAUAUAUAUCGUAAUUUUCCUAUCAAUGAAAUUAAUCAAUUGCAAUUUGUUUACUUCAAAAAUUGUCAACAUUCGGGUGUUGGUGACUACUGCUAUAAAAGUGUUGUACUAGACAACAGCGACAAAUUAUGCUUUUCAGAUGACCGUGGCUGGUUGUUUGACGACAUAGUUGAUAGGAUUUCGAUCAUCACAUGGUAGUUCAUGUAUAGGUUUGGCUUUUGGGUUCCUUACUUGGAUUCAUUGUUUCGUAUGCUUCCAUAAUAGUAAGGGGAUGCUGGAAAUUUAGGUAUCAAAGAACCAAGACAGACAUAACUCCAAUUUUCCUUAUAUAUAUAUAUAUAUAUAUAUAUAUAUAUAUAUAGUACNNNNNNNNNNNNNNNNNNNNNNNNNNNNNNNNNNNNNNNNNNNNNNNNNNNNNNNNNNNNNNNNNNNNNNNNNNNNNNNNNNNNNNNNNNNNNNNNNNNNNNNNNNNNNNNNNNNNNNNNNNNNNNNNNNNNNNNNNNNNNNNNNNNNNNNNNNNNNNNNNNNNNNNNNNNNNNNNNNNNNNNNNNNNNNNNNNNNNNNNNNNNNNNNNNNNNNNNNNNNNNNNNNNNNNNNNNNNNNNNNNNNNNNNNNNNNNNNNNNNNNNNNNNNNNNNNNNNNNNNNNNNNNNNNNNNNNNNNNNNNNNNNNNNNNNNNNNNNNNNNNNNNNNNNNNNNNNNNNNNNNNNNNNNNNNNNNNNNNNNNNNNNNNNNNNNNNNNNNNNNNNNNNNNNNNNNNNNNNNNNNNNNNNNNNNNNNNNNNNNNNNNNNNNNNNNNNNNNNNNNNNNNNNNNNNNNNNNNNNNNNNNNNNNNNNNNNNNNNNNNNNNNNNNNNNNNNNNNNNNNNNNNNNNNNNNNNNNNNNNNNNNNNNNNNNNNNNNNNNNNNNNNNNNNNNNNNNNNNNNNNNNNNNNNNNNNNNNNNNNNNNNNNNNNNNNNNNNNNNNNNNNNNNNNNNNNNNNNNNNNNNNNNNNNNNNNNNNNNNNNNNNNNNNNNNNNNNNNNNNNNNNNNNNNNNNNNNNNNNNNNNNNNNNNNNNNNNNNNNNNNNNNNNNNNNNNNNNNNNNNNNNNNNNNNNNNNNNNNNNNNNNNNNNNNNNNNNNNNNNNNNNNNNNNNNNNNNNNNNNNNNNNNNNNNNNNNNNNNNNNNNNNNNNNNNNNNNNNNNNNNNNNNNNNNNNNNNNNNNNNNNNNNNNNNNNNNNNNNNNNNNNNNNNNNNNNNNNNNNNNNNNNNNNNNNNNNNNNNNNNNNNNNNNNNNNNNNNNNNNNNNNNNNNNNNNNNNNNNNNNNNNNNNNNNNNNNNNNNNNNNNNNNNNNNNNNNNNNNNNNNNNNNNNNNNNNNNNNNNNNNNNNNNNNNNNNNNNNNNNNNNNNNNNNNNNNNNNNNNNNNNNNNNNNNNNNNNNNNNNNNNNNNNNNNNNNNNNNNNNNNNNNNNNNNNNNNNNNNNNNNNNNNNNNNNNNNNNNNNNNNNNNUUUGUGAAUUUUAGUCAUCGGAAUCACAACGUGUCUACUAAUGUUGUAUAACUUGUUUAGUAGGUUAUACAACUUUGUGAACCAACUCUAUAUAGGAAGCAAAAUUAUCAAAAAUCUCGUGAAAUAAGAUGUGUUCAGAAUGGUGAAAUACGCUAUGGUUCAAAAAUCACGUAAAUUGGGUAAAGUCUCGGUGCCGAUAGUAGCGGUCAACCCUAUUUACCGUUAUUAUUCCUAUAUGGAGCCCUAUCGUCGGAAGGCAAAUGUCUCAAAAUUUUUAUAUAGGCGGUUGUGUCUCAUCUACGUGAAAGUUUUUCGUGUGGAAGGUUUGACCAAACUACUUAAUAUAGAGGGAGAUAUGAGCGUUUUCGUGAAUUUAUAGACUUUAGCCGACGAUAUAUUAAAAAAGUCGUCGGCUAAGGUCAAAAAUUUUUGGGAGGAAAAUUUUCAAAGGACUUUAGCCGACGAAAAUAUAUGAAAAGUCGUCGGCUAAAGUCGAAAAAUUUUCAAAAUUUUUUGGCGGUCAACCAAAAUUUUCAAAAUUUUCAAAAGAGUUUAGCCGACGAAAAUAAAGAAUUUUGUCGGCUAGAGUUCUUUAUAUAGGAGUUUUACCGAAGGUGGAUGGUAAGAAGUCUAUUUCGCCUGCCAGAUUUUCUUCUCGGCCUAGCUCCGCCGUCAAGCCACCGGAGACCGCCACACUUGUCCCAAAAGCUUCGCUGUCGUCUCUACUUCAUUGCUGGACAGGUGGUGCAUCGAGUGGCGCCGCCGUGAGAGAUAAAUCGAGCUCCAAAACUCCGCCGGUUCGGAUUCGGUGUCGAUCGAAUUUCUCCUUCCUUAGGUCACCAUUUGGUGAGUUCUAUAUAUGGAUAAGUUGAGUUUGAUUAGUACUACAUUCCCCUAGAAUUUGGUAGCUCGAUUCGGUAUGUGUGAGGAGAAUCGAAGAUUUGAAGUUUUUAGGGUUUAAAAUUGGGGAUUUUUAUAUUUUGAUUCAAUUAACCUAUUUAGGCUUAGAAUUGGGCUUCGACUUCUUCUAGAAAGUUGUUCGAAAUGUUGAGAGGAAGAUUCUGUCAAAUUUUGGUGGUGAUUGGAGGUGACCGAAAGUUUUUGCAGUUUUUUUUUCAAAAACCAGCAACUUUAGCCGACGAUAUUUAAAGGUUUAGCCGACGAUAUUUAAAGGUUUAUUCGUCGGCUAUAGUAUUUUUAAAUUUUUUUAUAAGGUUUAGCCGACGAAUUAUGGCAUAUUUCGUCGGCUAUAGUUAUUUUUUAAAUUUUUUUAUAAGGUUAGCCGACAAAACAGACUAUAUUUCGUCGGCUAUAGUUAUUUUUUAAAAUUUUUUAUAAGGUUUAGCCGACGAAACAGACUAUAUUUCGUCGGCAGUAGUUAUUUUUUUAAAUUUUUUUUUUAUAAGGUUUAGCCGACGAAACAUACUAUAUUUCGUCGGCUAUAGUCUGGGAAAAAAUUUUUAUUACAGACUUUAGCUAACGAAUAUCUUAAUUGUUUCGUCGGUUAAAGUCUGGGAAAAAAACCGACGACAUGUUUUUCGUCGGCUAAACUGCGGGACUAUGGCCGACGAAAUUUUUUUUUUCGUCGGCUAAAGUCAUCACUGACGACCUUUUCCCGACGAAAUCUUAGCCGACGAUGGCUCGUCGGCUAAGAUCUUAGCCGACGAAUUAAGCUAACAAGCCGACGAAAAUUUUUCGUCGGCUAAAGUGCUUGUCCUGGUAGUGGAAGUAUUCCAUCCAAGCGAAUGACAAAAACUCCCUAAAAACCCACCUGAGGCAUCACGAAACACACCCCCCCAAGCUGCUGGACCUUGAUUGCCUUUUGCUAAAUCGUCUGUGUUAACUUUGAUCCAAGGAAAAAACGGAGGCUGCCAUAAGACAUGUUGAAUUCUAUGAGCCUUACCACCUUUAGGAGCAACUCCAAGAGAGGCCAAUAAACGGGCAUCAAGAACACCCUUAUAGUGACCAGGAGCAAAAAGGCUAAUUUGACGAAUCCAUGCCAUAAUAGAGCAACACAUUGUAUAGAAAUUAGGGGAUCGAUUAUCAAACCUUAGCUUAUUCCGAGCCUUCCAUAGAGCCAUGAAAGUAAAUAUGCCAGCUGCUAGCCACAAAUUAAAAAGCUGCGAGGAGAAAGGCUUUCGACAAUAGCUCUUCCAAAAAUCUAUCAGGGAGUUGACACUACCAGAAGAAAGGCUUUAGCCGACGAAAAUAAAAAAACCAGGCCAACGUAAUUUUUUUUUCGUCGGCUAAAGUCCACUUUAGCCGACGUAAUUUUUUUUCGUCGGCUAUGGUCAACUUUAGCCGAGGAAAGUAAUAUUUCAUCGGCUGAAUAAUUUUUUUCGUCGGCUAUAGUCUGUGAACUUUAGCCGACGAAAUUUUUAAAAGUUUAACCGACGAAGAAAAUUCGUCGGCUAAAGUGGACUUUAGCCGACUAAAUUUUUAAACUUUAGCCGACGAAAUUUUUAAAAGUUUAGCCGACGAAAAAAUAUAAUUUCGUCGGCUAAAGUGCCUUAUAUUUGCAGAUCUAGACAACAACUCAUCUGAGAAAAAAAAACUAUACGUAGAACCUUCAAACGCAAAAAAGUCGUGAAAUAAGAUAUGACCAGAACGCUGAAAUACGACUACGGUUGAAAAAUCACAGUAUUCCGGUAAAGUCUCGGUGCCGAUAGUUGACUUACCCUUACUAUUCACUAUGUUGCAGAUUUGGCGUUUGGUGUCUGAUUGACUAUUGUGAUACCUUUUCGGAAGCGUAACGGCGGUACGAGUCAGAAUCAUUGCUAAUGCCAUGAUGUAUAGGCUUUUUUGGCCAUCCGAGUCCGUUUAGGGCUUGAAAUGCAGUUUUCUUAUUUUUCGAUUUAGAGUUGACCGUUUCGAUCGAGCCCUUAACGUUGUCGAAUCCAGUUGAAUUUUUUACCAUAGACAUCUUUCGUCAUAAUGAUCAUAUCUGACGGUCGNNNNNNNNNNNNNNNNNNNNNNNNNNNNNNNNNNNNNNNNNNNNNNNNNNNNNNNNNNNNNNNNNNNNNNNNNNNNNNNNNNNNNNNNNNNNNNNNNNNNNNNNNNNNNNNNNNNNNNNNNNNNNNNNNNNNNNNNNNNNNNNNNNNNNNNNNNNNNNNNNNNNNNNNNNNNNNNNNNNNNNNNNNNNNNNNNNNNNNNNNNNNNNNNNNNNNNNNNNNNNNNNNNNNNNNNNNNNNNNNNNNNNNNNNNNNNNNNNNNNNNNNNNNNNNNNNNNNNNNNNNNNNNNNNNNNNNNNNNNNNNNNNNNNNNNNNNNNNNNNNNNNNNNNNNNNNNNNNNNNNNNNNNNNNNNNNNNNNNNNNNNNNNNNNNNNNNNNNNNNNNNNNNNNNNNNNNNNNNNNNNNNNNNNNNNNNNNNNNNNNNNNNNNNNNNNNNNNNNNNNNNNNNNNNNNNNNNNNNNNNNNNNNNNNNNNNNNNNNNNNNNNNNNNNNNNNNNNNNNNNNNNNNNNNNNNNNNNNNNNNNNNNNNNNNNNNNNNNNNNNNNNNNNNNNNNNNNNNNNNNNNNNNNNNNNNNNNNNNNNNNNNNNNNNNNNNNNNNNNNNNNNNNNNNNNNNNNNNNNNNNNNNNNNNNNNNNNNNNNNNNNNNNNNNNNNNNNNNNNNNNNNNNNNNNNNNNNNNNNNNNNNNNNNNNNNNNNNNNNNNNNNNNNNNNNNNNNNNNNNNNNNNNNNNNNNNNNNNNNNNNNNNNNNNNNNNNNNNNNNNNNNNNNNNNNNNNNNNNNNNNNNNNNNNNNNNNNNNNNNNNNNNNNNNNNNNNNNNNNNNNNNNNNNNNNNNNNNNNNNNNNNNNNNNNNNNNNNNNNNNNNNNNNNNNNNNNNNNNNNNNNNNNNNNNNNNNNNNNNNNNNNNNNNNNNNNNNNNNNNNNNNNNNNNNNNNNNNNNNNNNNNNNNNNNNNNNNNNNNNNNNNNNNNNNNNNNNNNNNNNNNNNNNNNNNNNNNNNNNNNNNNNNNNNNNNNNNNNNNNNNNNNNNNNNNNNNNNNNNNNNNNNNNNNNNNNNNNNNNNNNNNNNNNNNNNNNNNNNNNNNNNNNNNNNNNNNNNNNNNNNNNNNNNNNNNNNNNNNNNNNNNNNNNNNNNNNNNNNNNNNNNNNNNNNNNNNNNNNNNNNNNNNNNNNNNNNNNNNNNNNNNNNNNNNNNNNNNNNNNNNNNNNNNNNNNNNNNNNNNNNNNNNNNNNNNNNNNNNNNNNNNNNNNNNNNNNNNNNNNNNNNNNNNNNNNNNNNNNNNNNNNNNNNNNNNNNNNNNNNNNNNNNNNNNNNNNNNNNNNNNNNNNNNNNNNNNNNNNNNNNNNNNNNNNNNNNNNNNNNNNNNNNNNNNNNNNNNNNNNNNNNNNNNNNNNNNNNNNNNNNNNNNNNNNNNNNNNNNNNNNNNNNNNNNNNNNNNNNNNNNNNNNNNNNNNNNNNNNNNNNNNNNNNNNNNNNNNNNNNNNNNNNNNNNNNNNNNNNNNNNNNNNNNNNNNNNNNNNNNNNNNNNNNNNNNNNNNNNNNNNNNNNNNNNNNNNNNNNNNNNNNNNNNNNNNNNNNNNNNNNNNNNNNNNNNNNNNNNNNNNNNNNNNNNNNNNNNNNNNNNNNNNNNNNNNNNNNNNNNNNNNNNNNNNNNNNNNNNNNNNNNNNNNNNNNNNNNNNNNNNNNNNNNNNNNNNNNNNNNNNNNNNNNNNNNNNNNNNNNNNNNNNNNNNNNNNNNNNNNNNNNNNNNNNNNNNNNNNNNNNNNNNNNNNNNNNNNNNNNNNNNNNNNNNNNNNNNNNNNNNNNNNNNNNNNNNNNNNNNNNNNNNNNNNNNNNNNNNNNNNNNNNNNNNNNNNNNNNNNNNNNNNNNNNNNNNNNNNNNNNNNNNNNNNNNNNNNNNNNNNNNNNNNNNNNNNNNNNNNNNNNNNNNNNNNNNNNNNNNNNNNNNNNNNNNNNNNNNNNNNNNNNNNNNNNNNNNNNNNNNNNNNNNNNNNNNNNNNNNNNNNNNNNNNNNNNNNNNNNNNNNNNNNNNNNNNNNNNNNNNNNNNNNNNNNNNNNNNNNNNNNNNNNNNNNNNNNNNNNNNNNNNNNNNNNNNNNNNNNNNNNNNNNNNNNNNNNNNNNNNNNNNNNNNNNNNNNNNNNNNNNNNNNNNNNNNNNNNNNNNNNNNNNNNNNNNNNNNNNNNNNNNNNNNNNNNNNNNNNNNNNNNNNNNNNNNNNNNNNNNNNNNNNNNNNNNNNNNNNNNNNNNNNNNNNNNNNNNNNNNNNNNNNNNNNNNNNNNNNNNNNNNNNNNNNNNNNNNNNNNNNNNNNNNNNNNNNNNNNNNNNNNNNNNNNNNNNNNNNNNNNNNNNNNNNNNNNNNNNNNNNNNNNNNNNNNNNNNNNNNNNNNNNNNNNNNNNNNNNNNNNNNNNNNNNNNNNNNNNNNNNNNNNNNNNNNNNNNNNNNNNNNNNNNNNNNNNNNNNNNNNNNNNNNNNNNNNNNNNNNNNNNNNNNNNNNNNNNNNNNNNNNNNNNNNNNNNNNNNNNNNNNNNNNNNNNNNNNNNNNNNNNNNNNNNNNNNNNNNNNNNNNNNNNNNNNNNNNNNNNNNNNNNNNNNNNNNNNNNNNNNNNNNNNNNNNNNNNNNNNNNNNNNNNNNNNNNNNNNNNNNNNNNNNNNUAACCAUCGACAAUUUUGUCUAAAACCAGAAGCAACCGACCAAAAACCUGGCCAAAUUGAGGAUUUGCAAUAGCCCAGCUUGCAGGCAGAUAGAAUAGGAUACCUUGACCGUACGUAAUCCCCCCAUUGAUAAUGAGAAGAGAAAGAAUCCCAAGCAAACUUUAGGAUAGCAACUGAAUUAAGAGAGGAAAGAUCAUGAAUACCAAGCCCACCUUCCAGCUUUGGGGCACAAACCUGAGCCUAACGAAUAGUGACGAUUUUCCGAGUCCCUAUAUUACCAGACAAAAUAAAGUUUCGUGCCCAUGAAGUUAGCUUCUUCACCAAAUACACCGGCCACUGAUACACAGAAAAACUAUGAAGCAACAUACUUUGAAAAACUGAUUGCACCAAUUGAGUCCGACCAGCCAUAGAAAGAAGCCGUCCCUGCCAACCCAUAAGUCUUGAUUUUGCUUUAUCAGCAAUAACUUGAAGAUGACACCUCCGAGGCUUGCCACAAAAAAUUGGGACACCCAAAUAAAUAAAAGGCAAUCGACCUGCAUGGAACCCCAAUAUUCGUUGAAUUGUCGCUUGCCUAUGAUGAUACUUGGCACCAAGGUAAAAAGUAUUUUUCGCCGCAUUAAUAUAUUGACCAGAAGCUGCACUAUAACGGUAAAAAAACCUUCUCAAAUGGCUAAGAGAUAAUUUAUCCCCACGACAAAAAACAAUAAGGUCAUCUGCAUAUAAAACAUGAGAAGGGGGAGUGCAGGUUCUAGGAAAAGAUAUAGGCUUCAAUCGACCCGAACCAAGUAACAUAGAUAAACCACAGCUGAGAGCUUCAUCGGCAAGACAAAAUAAUAAUGGAGAAAGAGGAUCCCCUUGCCUCGCACCACGAGAACAAGAGAAAAACCCAUGAGGAGAACCAUUAAUUAAGAUUGAUAACCUUGCCGACUUAAGAAUAGUAAUAAUCCAACUGGUGAAAAUAUUAGAGAACCCAAAAUUCUUGAGGACUCUAUGUAGAAAAUCCCAAUGCAGCGUAUCAAAUGCCUUAGCAAUAUCCACUUUGAUUCCCACAUUACCACCGUAGGCCUUGCGAUCAAGGAGAUUAAAGCAUUCAGACACUGUGCCAAUGCAACUAGUAAUCCGCCUACCUGGAAUAAAAGCACAUUGCGCUGGAGAUAUUAUACGAUCAGCAAUUGGUCCCAAACGAGAAGCCAAGAUCUUUGGAAUUAUCUUGAAAAGAAAGUUGGCUAAGGCAAUCGGCCUAAAUUGAGUAAUUUCAUGGGCAUCCUGAACUUUUGGAAGAAGAACCAAGAAGUUGCAAUUGAUGUUAGGAAGCAGCCAAUUUUGCAUAAAAAAAUUGCCUCACACAUGCAACAACAUCCGAACCGACAAUAUCCCAACAAGAUUGAUAAAAACAACCUGGAAAUCCAUCAGGGCCUGGUGCACUGGAAGCAUCCAUAGCAAAGACAGCAUUUUUGAUUUCUUCAGUAUAAGGGAUUACUGUAAGCCAAUCAUUUUCUGCAUUGGUGACCAAAGAAGGAAUAACAUAGCAUACCUCAUCUAGAUUCCUUGGAGUAGAGGAGGAAGAAUAAAGAUUUUGAUAAAACCCCACUACAUGAGCUGCAAUAUCUGAGGGUUCAAAAAGAAUCCUUUCUCCAUCAUGAAUUGAAGACAUUCAGGCACUAGUAGAACGAACCUUGGCAUAGGCAUGGAAAAAUGAAGUACUACGAUCCCCAUCCGUGAGCCAUUUUACUCGAGCUCUAUCCUUCCAAUAGCUUUCUUACAUCUUGACCGCAUUCAAAACACGAAAUUUUGCAUCAACCUCAUCUUCAAAUUUUUGGUUAGUCAUACCAUGAAUAGCAAUGUCCUGCUGAAUUGCAGAUAAAGCUUCACGAGCCUUAUUAACAUUCUGAUGGACAUCCCCAAAUACCAUUUUAUUCCAAUUUCGCAAGCAAGAUUUCAAGGCCUUCAAUUUUUGCACAGUGACAUACAUCGGGCAGCCCCAAAACUUACUAGAAGUCCAACAUGUAGCUACUGUGUCACGAAAAGUAGGGUGAUUCAACCACAUGGACUGGAACCGAAAAGGCUUUGGACCACUUGGGGAGAGCUUUGAAGCAGAGAAAAUUAAAGGAGUGUGAUCAGAAACUACCCGAGGUAGGGCAAUACAACUAGAAUAAGGCCAUGCUUCAAACCAACUAGUAUUGCAAAAGGAUCUGUCUAAUCGAAGCUCCACAUGCACCCUAGUUCCACAACCAUUUGUCCAAGUAAAACGGGCACCUACAGUGUCCAAAUGGACAAAAUCACAAGCAUCUGACAUAUUCUGGAACUCCAAGCAAGAAAUACGAUAUGGAGGAGGACCCCCUGACUUCUCAUGAGCUCCCAACACAGAAUUAAAGUCACCAAUUGCCAUCCAGGGGAUAGUGGUUUGAGCACUAAUAACUGAGAAGUCAUGCCAUAAAUCCCUGCGCUUAAUGUAAGAAGUAGAAGCAUAAACAAAAGAAAAUUGACUAAGCUCAUUAUCAAAAGAAACCUGAAUAGUAACUUGUUGCUUCGUGUUAGAUAUGAUCAUUGGACUAGGAACAUGACGACCUCUUAGCAACCAAAGAUUUGGAAGCCUGGAUCCUCGAUCAUUAACCGUAACAAAGUCCAAAUUUAAAGCAGACCAGAAUGCUGAAGAGAUUGAGUCAAAGGCUACCAUCGGCUCAGAAAUACAAACCAGAUCAAGUCUUUGAGUACGACAAAUAUUUAAAAGUUCAGAUUGAGAGUCAGAGUUACCGACUCCCCUAAUAUUCCAAUAAAGAACCUUCAUUAUGCAUACUUUUGAUUUUUUUUCCAGUCCCUUUUUGGAUAAGGACCCUCACUAGCAGCAGCAACAACAACAUGCUUGGCUUGUUGUUUCUGUUUUUUCUUCUGUGAUUUUGAAAGAGCCUUAACAAAAUCGUCCUCCACUAGAACUCCUUUCUCAACAUGGCUAGUUAUUAAAGAAACAUCCUUUGCUAAAACACCCACAUGCUCAAAACCAGGGGGGACUGCACCUGUGGAAACCUCAGUUUGAUUAUUUAAUUGGUCCUCCACUACCGUGUCAUGCCAACUUUGACUCUGUGGAGAAUUAUAAGUCCUCUCUAAGCUAUGAUUAUUAUGACCACUAUCAUCCUCAUAUAUUUCCUCAACGCUAGAAUCAUCAAUAUCAUCAUAAUCCUCAUCAUCCUCAUCAACCUCAUUAGCAUGGCCAGCAAAAACAUUCAUACUUAUAUUACCAGCCACCAGAUGAGUAUUGUGCACAUUCUCAAUCACAAAGCCAUCACCUUUCUCGUGAGCAUUUUCAACCAUUACUUCUGUAACAUUCUCAUGAAGGACUGAAAACUUAUUUCCAUUAAGCACCGAAUCAUCGACACGAUUGGAAGAGGGUUCCGUGGGUUCAUUGAUAACCAAACCAGCAAUACGAUCCAGCUCGUUGUCCACCACCUCCUUUAAAGCUUGGUCAACAAAUUGUGUAAUCCUUACAUCUGAAACUGACUUUGUAGGAAGAGAUUGCUGCGCCGAGGGUUUGUACGUUUUUCACUCUGUACUCUUGACGAAUGACCUAUUUAGGGUGCUUGGAGCCCUCCACCACCCUUUUAUAGUGCAUAGGAUCAUCUUUAGCUGACUCCUUGUUACGGUGUUUGCAACGAUCAAUGGUGUGCCCGACCAUACCACAAUUAUCACACAUAUUCUCAUACACAACAUCAAUGGGAAAACAAUGUGUUUCUCUCUCAACCAUCAAUGAAAACGGUAAAUUACCUGCCAGAUCAACAUCGACAAGAACUCUAGCAAAAAAGCCAAAUUCUCUUUCUUUGGUAGCUUUAUCCAAUUGCAAUGGAGUUCCCACACCUCUAGCUAUCUCCAUAAGAUGUUGCGGAUGCCAGUAGUCCUGGCUUAAACCAUACAGCCUCACCCAAAUUUGGGAGUGAGUUUGACGCAGAGCAUCACCAGGCUUGAAAUCAGGCUGCCACUGUGAUAGCCGGAACAAACCGCUAGCAAGAGUGCAAGUGCCUCCACCCCAAACAUAUAUAUCUAUUGUUUGGAAACAAAUUUAAAUAGUGCAUGUGGUUGUACGUAAGCGUAUGAUCUCUUACUAAGUCUUUUUGUUCGUGUAGUAUUGUGACGUACGUAAUGACAUCAACCAACAUGUAACACAAAGUGAUCGAGAGUAGAUAUCGAUCGAGAGCUAGAAAAAUAAUCGAUGAAACUUGUCUUGUUCACUUCAUUGCUUAACUAAAAGAAAAACCCUAAUUGUCUUUUUUAAGUACAAGUUUGAACAUGAAAUUAAUAGUUUGAGGUAUGAUCUUGAAGGGUGGAACUACUUUUGUCAUCUGCAUUCUUCUUUUAAGCAGUAUAUAUUCUUGUACGUAGUAAAACCCAAAUUAAGUCAUAUGAAUAAGAACUAUUUGUCUACAUUCGUAGAAGCUCAUUCAUAAUUGUGCAUAUUUCCCCAAACAGUCCCUAUUCACAUUAAUUUCUGUCUCCUCACAAAUAACAUACAAGUAACAAGAGGAAUAAAAAUCCAGUAGCAAUGGAGGGAUUGGAGGGCAUCGAUCCAGACCACAAAUCAAUGGCCGGGAAAAAAAAAAGCUAGGGUUUUCCAUCCCACGCAAAACACAUUGAAGAAUGUAAUGCCAAACCCCGUAAGGUUGCAGGGUCUUUUUCCCCAGUAAAGACUAAAACAUGCCAGCUACUAGUAAAGGCUCAAUAUAUGAGACUGGGAAUAUGGAAAUCAAUCAGAUGAUCGCUAUUGAGAAUCUGAGAUGAUCGAUUAUGAAAUGGUUGCACGGUUCCCAAACAACUGGAACAUUUUCUUUGUAGUUUAGCCUUUACUGAAUAGACGUACUGGACCAGUUUGCACUUGGUUUUCUAGUUAGCUAGUAGUUGAAGACAAUAGUUCAUAAAACCAGUCAUUGUUUUGCUCCUGCAGAAAUGGCACUACAUGCAUGUGAAUAUCUUUGGAAUCUUUUUAUGGAUCAUUACUACCUCCAGCAUAUAUAUAACAAAGGCAAGGGUUUCGUUAUUCGUAGUGUACACUAAUAAAAAUUUCCCCAUUGGUGACUGAUAGGUUUAAGUCCCUAUUGUGGACAAUGCACACUGAUAAGAGUGUAAAAUGCUAUUAUCACCCCUACAGCCACUCUUAAGGGAUCAGUCCCCUCUAUAGCAGGUGCUAUUAGGUCAUUAGACACUGAUAAAACAUCAGUGUAAAGUUAUAUGAAAAGUUAAAAAGUCUACUGGUGUCAUUGCUGCCGACGACGUUAAUUACCAGAAGAGUGCGAAUGAAGAAAUGAGAUUCAGUAACAAGGAAUUUAGGAACGCAUCCAAAAGACAAAAGGAAUUUAGGAACUUGUCCUUACCACCAUCAUGAACUGAUAUUAGUUAGACAAGAAGGGAAGAUAUCUAGAGUGACAUGUGCUAAGCAAGACCUAACAUUUGGAUUCUACAAUCUAAUAAACCAGAAAGUUCUGCUGCACAAGCACCACAAUUUAUAUCCAAAUGUUAAUGAACACUAGUCUCACCAUCGAUCUGCAAAGUGUGCCGAGUUUUUUGUCAAUUAAAACAACCAAAUGGUGUAGAAGUAGCUAAAUUUUACAUUAGGUAAGAUUGUAAGAACAAAAUACAUUAUUGUCCUACGUUCUUCAUUUGGUUUCCUUUUCGUACGUAGUUGAACUGUUGAAGCUUGUCAUCUAUCUGUGAAGGAGUGGUGGAGCUAGCAGUAGAAGACUGGUUAUACAGUAGGCUGGUACUUGUUUUUAUAUAUAGAUUCUUGCACAUUAUAACACGUACAGUAGACCCUUUGCUGUUUCUCACCGUACGUUAGUCCAUCAGGCAUUUGAUUAAGCACAUCUAGCAGAAUUUACUCAAUUUUGUUUUCAUGCAAUGCUAGAAUAGAGUGAACUAGAGAGAAUAAAAUGGAAAGAAUUAUUUAUUAUAAAAUAAUUGAGUAGCCUCCUGCUACUGUGAGAUACCUAAACUACAUAUUAUCUAUAUCUCUUCAUCCAACAUUUAUAACAGAAUUAUUCUAUGCAAGGUGCCAUUUCGGGUUACCCCGAUCUCUAGUUCUUCGUCUUUUUCUAGCUCAACGUCCAGCUGCAUGCUGAGAUAAGUACACCCUGUGGCUUCUGUCGAGCGAUCGAGAAGAAGAAGUAAUCUGUCGAGCGAGAAAUGGGAAAAACCUCUGGUUUCGAAAAGGAAGGAAAGAAGAAAGGAAAAUGGUCUGCUGGCGAAGACCAGAUUCUCAAGGACUACGUCAAGAAGCACGGUCCAGGCAAAUGGGGCAAAAUAGCAAAGGAGAUUGGCAAGUUCAUAAUUUCCUUCAUAUAUAUUUACUUUCGACAUACAUCGUUGUGCUUAAUCAAUAAUUGUAAUCGCCAUUGUUUCUGAAAUUUUCAAUUAAUUCAAUUAAUUACCGACGGCCUUGUGUAGCUUACGCGGAAUUUGCAUGCAUGUAUUGGAAGCCAAAAUUACAAAUUUACACCAGUAGCGAAUGGAUUAAUUGGUAAAUUGGUUGCUUAAUUAAUCAUUGAUUAAUUAACUGCGUGUGCAGGUCUGGGGAGAUGUGGGAAGAGUGUGAGACUGAGAUGGUUCAAUUAUCUAAGGCCCGAUAUCAAGCAUGGCAACAUUAGGGAAGAUGAAGAAGAUCUAAUUAUCAGGAUGCACAAGCUUAUAGGCAAAAGGUACUAAUAUAAUAAAUUUCUUCCUCUUAUCAUGCAAGUCCCGCAGAUCUAAUUUUAAAUUUAAGCUUAGUAUUCGUAAUUACUUACGAACAUUUGCAUAUUUGAUCAAUAUUAGGUUUCAUUUUUAUUUUUUUAUUUUUUAGAAUUCAAAGAAAAUCUACUUGCCUCAUUUCAGAGCUUAAUAGAAAGUAGACUUGUGCAGGUGGUCAUUGAUAGCAGGAAGGAUUCCGGGUCGAACUGACAAUGAAAUAAAGAACUACUGGAUCUCCACUCUAAGUAAGAAGCUGGCAGAAGAAAAAAGAAAGAAACCAGAAGUGCCGAGAAACGGGAUUGCCAAGGAGAGCUUGCCAGCCCCCAUUGAGAUCGACGAUGGUCAUCCACAUCCGACCAAAUGCAAUGAAGUUCCGGGAGGAGGAGGAUUGGUGUGUUUUGCCAGUAAUGUUAAUGUAGAAGAAGAUCAUCAGCAUCAGAGUCGUGAUACCGAUAACAGUACUACAAUGAGUGCCGGAGUGGGAGUCCAAAUCAGAGGCGUGGCAAACAAUGUUCAACCAACCGGGGACGAUCUCAAUGAUGACGCUAUGCCCUGGAACGAUUGGAUAACGGAUCUGAACGAAGGGCAACUUGACCUAUCUGAAUUUCUCCAAACUGACUUUUCGAACUUUUGGGAAGAAUCAGAUAUGUUGAUGAACUUUGAAGUCGGAGGUUGCAGCACCAUUAACCAUGAGUGGCCAAAUAAUUGCGUGGUUAAAUAUCAUCCCGAGCUUCUUGUUUUUCUUUCUGUAUCGGAAAUAUUGAUUCUUGCAUAUAUUCAUUCUUGAUUUGCAUGGCAAUGCCGGCCACUAUAUUUGUAAUAAGAUUAUUGAUCACUUUAGAAUCAACUAAUUAAAAGUUUUACUCAUAUAUAUUGUAAUUUUCCUAUCAAUGAAAUUAAUCAAUUGCAAUUUGUUUACUUCAAAAAGUGUCAACAUUCACCGUGGCUGGUUGUUCGACAUAGUUGAUAGGGUUUUUGGGUUUAUUGGAUUCAUUGUUUCGUAUGCUUCCAUAGUAGUAAGGAUGCUGGAAAUUUAGGUAUCAUCAAAGAACUAAGACAGACAUAACUCCUUAUGAACUAAGACAGACAUAACUCCUUAUGAAUUUAGGCUUCAAUAUGUUGCCUAACUAAUUUUCUAACUUCAUCAAUCAUGCACCAGAAUCCAGUACUGGCCGGGUCAAGAUUUUCAGUGAGGAAACGGUGUGAUAAUGAUGAAAAAAAUCUCUAGCGGGGAAUCAUAUCAAGAACCUGGAAAUCAUAUAUAUCUCCCUAAUAAUAAGAAGCUACCUUGUUGAAUUGAUUGGAACAGAACCUUUCCUCACAUUUUCUCGAUUCAUUACCUUAGCGGGGAAUGUUAAGGACUAUGAUCUUAUGAGGGUCACUUAAUUAUUAUUUGAAAUUAUUUAAUCUUCUAAUUCAUCAAAUUUUUGUAUGCUCAAUUAUGUGCUCAAAACAAAAACAAAAACAAAACAAAAAAAAAAACUAGAAUUUGUCAAUGACAGAAAGCUAGCGAUGUGAAACCACAUGUCAUCCACAUAUAUCUAUUGUUUGGAGACAAAUUUAAGUAGUGUGGUUUGUACGUACGUAAGCAUAUGAGCUAUUCUCUUUGUUUGUGUAGUGAUGUUACGUACGUAAUUAAUGACAUCAACCAACGUGUAACACAAAAUGUUCGAGAGUCGAUAUCGAUCGACAGCUAGAAAAAUAACUGAUGAAACUGGUCAUGUUCACUUCAUUGCUUAACUAAAACCAAAACCCUAAUCGUCUUUUAAGUACAAUUUUGAACAUGAAAUUAAUAGUUUGAGAUAUGAUCUUGAAGGGGGGAACCACUUUUGUCAUCCGGAUUCUUCUUUUAAGAAGUAUUAAUCUUGUAGUAAAACCCAAAUUAAGUCAUAUGAAUAAGCUCGUAGAAGUUCAUUCAUAAUUGUGCAUAUUUCUGAAAAAGACUGCAUAAAUUAAUCUAACUUUUGAAGUUUUCUCCGAAACAGUCCCCAUUCUCAUUAAUUUCUGUACGUCUCCUCAAAUAAUAUACAAGUAAACAGAUAGCGUGAGGAAUAAAAAUCCAAUAGCAAUGGAGGGGAUUGGAAGGCAUCGAUCCAGACCACAACUCAAUGGCCGGAAAAAAAACGAAGGAAAAAUGGGGUUUUCCAUGCCACGCAAAACACAUUGAGGCCAACACCCGUAAGGUUGCAGCAUCUUUUUCCCCAGUGAAAGACUAAACCAUGCCAGCUACUAGUAAAGGCUCAACAUGUGAAUAUGGAAACCAAUCAGAUGAUCGGAAACCAAUCAGAUGAUCGAUAUCGAGAAUCUGAGAUAAUGAAAUGGUUGCAUGGUUCCCAAACAACUGGAGCAUUUGCUUGUUCUUUAGCACAUACUGAAUAGACGUACUGGACCACUCUGCACUUAGUUGAAGACAAUUAAAAGCAGUCAUUGUUUCGCACCUGCAGAAAUGGGCAAAUGGCACUACAUGCAUAUGCAAAUAUCUAUGGAAUCUCUUCAUCGAUCACUACUUCCAGCAUAUAUACAUAUAUAUAUAUAUAACUUUUCUCAGGUGCGGACAUCCGUACCGUUUUACGGUGCGGAUUUUCGUCCUUUCACCACCGUACGGCGUCGGCGAGGGCGCGCCUCCACCCCAGCCGACUCCAGCAGCUUCCCCGACCACUUUCCAUCCCCGAUGAGUCCGCCGAAUUCCAAUUUUCCGACCAGAUUGACUUUGUUUGAAGUUUUGAGUGAUCUGGCCGGAAAACUGGAAUUCGGCGGACUUACCGGGGAUGGAAAAUGGUCGGGGAAGCUGUUGGAGUCUGCUGGUGCGGACGUCCGUAGCAGAGACGGACUGUAUAUAUAUAUAACAAAGGCAAGGGUUUCGUUAUUCGUAGUGUACGUCCAAUUUAUAUGAAAAAUUGAAAAUCUACUGUUUCAUUGCUACCAACGUACAACAUUAAUUACCAGAAGAGUUCUGAAAAUUAUAAAAAUAUCUUAUUGCAAGCGAAUGAAGAACUGAGAUUCAGUAACAAGGAAUUUAGGAACGCAUCAAAAACAAAAAAAACAAAAAACAAAAGAAGGAAUUUUGGAACUUGUCCUUACCAUCAUGAACUGAUACUAGUCAUACAAGAAGAGAUGAUAUAUAAAAGUGACAUGUGCUAAGCAAGCCCUUACAUUUCGAUUCUAGAAUCUAGAAAAACAAAAAGUUCUGCUGCACCAGCACCACAAUUUAUAUUCAAAUGUUAAUGAAUAGAUAAUUCCUGUAAAGUUUCAUCUAAUUGAGAGAUCAUUUGAGCUUUCGAAAUUGCGAUUUACACGAACGGUCUCUUUUUGACAGAUUUUGUUCUAUUAAUUCAUUUAAUCUAAUUCGAUACCUAAAUGAUAUCUAAAUUAAAUGAAAAUUUACACCCUUCAAUAGUUCAAUUAUUGUUGCUGUUUCUCACCGUACGUCAGUCCAUCAUACAUUUGAUGAAGCACAUCUAACAUAAUUUACUUUUCAUGAAAUGCUAGAAUAGAGUGAACUAGAAUAAAAUGGAAAGAAUUAUUUGUUAUAAAUAAUCGAGUAGCCUCUUGUUACUGUGAGAUAACUAGCACUACAUAUUAUAUAUACGGUAUAUACCUCUUCGUCCAAAAUAUCUAACAGAGCUAUUCUGUGCAAGGUGCCAUUAUGGGUUACCCGAAUGUCUAUAGUUCUUCGUCUUUUUCUAGCUUGCAACGUCCAGCUGCAUGCUGAGAUAACUACCCUGUGGCUUCUGUCGAGCGAUCGAGAAGAAGAAGAAGUAAUCUGUCCAGCGAGAAAUGGGAAAAACCUCUGGUUUCGAAAAGGAGGAAAAAAAGAAAGGAAAGUGGUCUGCUGGCGAAGACCAGAUUCUCAAGGACUAUGUAGAGAAGCACGGUCCAGGCAAAUGGGGCAAAAUAGCUAAGGAGAUUGGCAAGUUCAUAAUUUCCUUCAUAAAUAUUUGCUUUCGACAUACAGCGUUGUGAUAAAUAAAUAAUUGUAAUCGCCAUUGUUUAUGAAAUUAUUUAAUUAAUUCAGUUAAUUAACGACGGCCCUGUGUAGCUUACGCGGAAUUCGCCUGCCUGUAUUGGAAGCCAGAAUUACAAAUUUACACCAAUAGCGAAUGGAUUGAUUGGUUGCUUAAUUAAUCAUUGGUUAAUUAAAUGCGUGUGCAGGUCUGGGGAGAUGUGGGAGGAGUGUGAGACUGAGAUGGUUGAAUUAUCUAAGGCCCGAUAUCAAGCAUGGCAACAUUAGGGAAGAUGAAGAAGAUCUAAUUAUCAGGAUGCACAAGCUUGUAGGCAAAAGGUCCUAAUAUAAUAAAUUUCUUCCUCUUAUCAUGCAAGUCCCGCAGAUCUAAUUUUCAAAUUUAAUUAAGCUUAGUAUUUGUUAUACUUAUGAACAUUUGCAUAUUUGGUCAAUAUUAGGUUUCAUUUUAUUAUUUUUAGAAUUCAAAGACAAUCUACUUGCCUCAUUUCAGAGCUUAAUACAAAGUAGACUUGUACAGGUGGUCAUUGAUAGCAGGAAGGAUUCCGGGCCGAACUGACAAUGAAAUAAAGAACUACUGGAUCUCCACUCUAAGUAAGAAGCUGGCAGAAGAAAAAAGAAAGAAACCAAAAGUGCCGAGAAACGAGACUGCCGAGGAGAGCUUGCCAUCCCCUAUUGAGGUCGACGAUGGUCAUCCAUAUCCGACAAAAUGCAAUGAAGUUCCUGGAGGAGGAGGAGGAUUGAUGUGUUUUGCCAGUAAUGUUAAUGUAGAAGAAGAUCAUCAGCAUCAGCGUCGUGAUACCAAUAACAGUACUACAAUGAGUGCUGGAAUGGGAGUCCGAAUCAGAGGCGUGGCAAACAAUGUUCAACCAAACGGGGACGAUCUCAGUUAUGACCCUGUGCCCUGGAACGAUUGGAUAAUGGAUCUGAAUGGAGGGCAACUCGACAUAUCUGAAUUUCUCCAAACUGGCUUUUUUAACUUUUGGGAAGAAUUAGAUAUGUUCAUGAACUUUGAAGUCGGAGGUUGCAGCACCAUUAACCAUGAGUGGCAAAAUAAUUGAGUUGGCCGGUUAAAUAUUUUCCUGGAGCUUUCUUCUUUUUNNNNNNNNNNNNNNNNNNNNNNNNNNNNNNNNNNNNNNNNNNNNNNNNNNNNNNNNNNNNNNNNNNNNNNNNNNNNNNNNNNNNNNNNNNNNNNNNNNNNNNNNNNNNNNNNNNNNNNNNNNNNNNNNNNNNNNNNNNNNNNNNNNNNNNNNNNNNNNNNNNNNNNNNNNNNNNNNNNNNNNNNNNNNNNNNNNNNNNNNNNNNNNNNNNNNNNNNNNNNNNNNNNNNNNNNNNNNNNNNNNNNNNNNNNNNNNNNNNNNNNNNNNNNNNNNNNNNNNNNNNNUCUCGCCGGUCGCCGGAAUCUGGCUGGUAUUUUUUUUUUUUAAUGUCACCGGACCUUGCCGGAAGUAUACCACACCAUUGCUGAAGUUUAAUUAAGGGGCAGUAAUAAUGAAAAAUGUUUUACUAGGGGGCAAUAAACUUCUACAAAUUUUUAGUUGGGGGGCAGUAAAUUUCUAUUGAGGUCAAUAAAACCUUAUUGGGGGCAGUAAUGAUGAAAAAUAUUUUACUGGGGGCAGUAAACUUCUACUGAGGGAGUAGUAAACUUUUGCUGAGAUUUUACUAGGGGCAGUAAACUUCUACUGCGGUCAAUAAAAACUUAAAUAGAAGGCAAAAAAGAUGAAAUAUCACCACAACAUCCCCAAAUAAUGUAUACAAUGCAGUGGACCAGAUUUGAAGAACCUGACCGAAAUCUCUGCAACUUACAAAUAAUUCUAGAUUUACCAGCCAAUUUCUUCUCUAAUGUCGGUGGAAGGGUGGGACAAUAGAUGCAAGAGUCUCCACCGGCCCUUCCCGCCAGCGAGGCCAGUACUGGUUGAACCUCAGACUCUAAAUGAUUGCGAGGCUAGAUCUCGCAAGGGAAUAGCUCUGGCGACGUCGUUCGAGCUCCUCUCGUCGACAAACACGUGAUGAUCAAAACCUCAAACGAAUGUGAAAAUGCCUGGCAGCCCGCGCAUUAAGUUGGACCACCAGCACCUCAGACCAUAACCUCCCUUCGUCUCCUUCUCUAAAUCAGAUCUUAUCGGAGCCAGAUUCUAGACCUGCGGCGAGGAGUGAUGUCGCACAACCAGAUCAGCUCUUGAAAACGGACCUUAGGAGUCCAGAUCUGAUCGGUGAUGGUUGUCGCUGAUGAUGAGAUAGAGAGAGAGAGAGAGCCGGAACCGCGACGAGGAGCGAUGUCGCACAACCAAAUCAACUCUUGAAAACAAACCCUAGGAGUCCGGAUCUGAUCGGUGAUGAGAGAGAGAGAGAGAGAGAGAGAGAGAGAGAGAGAGAGAGAGAGUACUUNNNNNNNNNNNNNNNNNNNNAAUCUCUAGUUCUUCGUUCCCAGCUGCAUGCUGAGAUAAGUACCGUGCAGUUAGGAGCAAGAUCUCUUGAGCGAAAUUAUAGGAAAUAACAUAUGAUCGACAUGCUAUAUAACAUUAGGAGGAUUUUUUUUUUUUUGGUUGGCCUGUGUUUACUGUAAUACCAAAUUCUCCAAAUGUUUAUCUUUAAGGUAAGAGUACAUGUGUGGGUGGAGAUUGUUGGUUACGGGACUUAUGGACCACGAAUAAAAAAAANAAAAAAAAAAAAAGGCCAACGCCAAUGCUGGUAUGCAAUGGUGUAGCUAGCUAGGGGCGAGAGGGUUCAAUUGAACCCUCUAAAGUUUUAAAUUUUUUAAUUAGCCUUAAUGAAGAUUGGAUGUUAAUAUAAUGAAUCAUAAAUUGACCAUUCUUUUUUGAGUAAAUCCUUAAUUAAUCAUAAAUAUUCUUCAACACCAAUGAAAUGAAAUAAAAAUUUAUACUGUUAAAAUACUUAAUCCAAAUUAAUACAAAUCAUGUCAAUGGUUUUUUACCACACUGAUAUGUACUUUAAUGCUUUAAUUUCCAUUUACGAUUUUUUUUCUUUACAAAUAAGUUAAAUGGAAGCAACACAUUAAUGUUUGUCAUGCAUUGGCACUAAAGAAAAAGCAACAUAUUCUUUUCAAUAUUAAUCGUGCAUGAUAUGCAAUUCUGAAAUUUAUUUUAGAUGAUUAUUUACUAGUCUUUUCAGGAACAAUGUUGAUUACGAAUUUGUAAACAAACAAUUGAAAUUAAGUUUGUGUCAUUUUUUAAAACAAAAUUAUGUCAUUGUUAGAGAGCUGAAAAUGAAUUUAGUUGCUUAGUCAAUAAAUCUUGGCCAUUCUAAGUGGGAUUUCUGGCUACGCCACUGCUGGUAUGAAAUGGUUCAAGGAUAUCAGUCAGACCAUUUCGAGAGAAGUACCAAACUACCGAUAGCAGUAAUUCAACAUCAACCGAUUCUUUUUGAAAUUAACAAUGUUGUGGCUUGGUUGGUUAAAGUGUUUAAUUGAUAACUUUGAGGUCACGAGUUCAAACCUCAUUGACAUAUAUAGGGUGUGUGAGUUAUUAAUAAAAUAUUUAUAAAAAAAAAUAUUAAAAAAAAAAUGCUGUGGAAUGUGUACUUUUUAGGGCUGUGCUCUUCUUAUAGCGACAAUUUUACUCUUGUCAAUUUUCAGGUACCGCGAUUAGGGUAGUCCUUCUCUUGCACCAAAACACCAGCCUUGAGUGUGUACUCAAACGCUUUAGUCAUCAGCCCCCCACUACAGCUCAUGUCCACACGAACCAUAUUCUUCUGGAUCACACUGCAAAAUGUACAGGCUCAUUAUAAGAAAAUGCCAUCAAAAGAUUCAAAACAACCAAGUCAUACAUUGGGCAUCACCAUUCCAUAGAGAUAAGAAAGCAACCAAUCGGUCUAAACAAACACAGAUUCUAGAUACCACCAGUACUGAAAAUUCAGUAUCUUGAAGAACAUAUGAAUCAUAGAUCAACUUAAUAUUCCAUCAGCAACAUACUAAUACAUACAUGAUGGAGAUUAAGAUUGUGCAUGCCGAACUAAGUAGGCUCAAAACCUUAUACUCAGUUAAGCAAUUAGCUAUAACUUGACCCUUUUAAGUUUUGGGAAAAAAGUUCAAUACUUUAGGGAUAAACAGCACAGAUCACAUUUAUACAUACAGACACACAAAUGACUGUAAAAUAUGAGCGAACCUCAUGAUGGGAGUCCAACUAAAUUUUCUUCAUUUGCAACAGAGGGUUCAUCUUGUUGCAAAUUUUCUUAAAGAUGAGCCCCCAUGAUGUUCUAAUGCUUGUAGUCUUGUUGGUUUUCCUCUCUUUGAUUCAAUAAAAUUUCUUGUUUUGUCAAGACAUGCUGCUGCAGUGCUGCUCGCUGAGACUCGCUCUAGCUUCCUUGUUUCUUCAAUACUACAAGCAAUAGAUCGAACAUCCUAGCUUGUGAUUCAUAUUGCUACAAGAGUUAAAAACCUAAAAUAAUACCUGAACUAUUACGAAAUGUACUUUUUGGUACCUAUGAAUUUUUUUUAUUUGAAAUGGUACCUUAAGUAUUGCUCUAUCACCUGAUAUGGUACCUCCGUUAGUUUUUCCGUUAAAUUCGCAUAUGUGACAUAUAUUUGAAUGGUAUAGAUACCCAAAAUGGUACCUAGGCUAUUGUGGAAUGAAUUUUUCGAUAACUGUAUUUUUUUUACCUCAAAUGACACCCCCAAUAUCUGACUGUAUAUGAUCAAUAGGUAAACCGUAAACAUAAUAAACAUAUUAUCACUAUAAUUCAUAAAUAUAUUAUAUUUUUUAAACAUAAUAUUUAUAUAUAUAUUAUUUCUCUUAUGAGCAAUUUGUUUAUAAAUAAUUAUAAUAUAUUACAUCGUUACUACAUAUUGGAUUUUCUUUAUAAAUAGAAUAAACUUGUAGAUCUAUUUUUAUGUAAGAAAAUAUUUAUGGAUAAAAUACUAAUAAUAAUAUGUUUAUGAGUUUAAUAUAUAUAGAUCAAAAAGUAGUUUAGAAUUUUUAUUUAAAGUAAAAAAGUUUAUAGGCACCAAAAAUUGUCUUUCGUAGUAGAUUAGGUACCUUUUUAGGUAUUUACCCUAUCCAAAUGCAUGCGACAUAGGCAACCUUAACGAAAAAACUAAUUGAGGUACCAUAUCAAGUAACAGAGCAAUACUUAAGGUACCAUUUCAAGUAAAAAAAUAUUUGUAGAGACCCAAAAAUAUACUUUUCACAAUAGUCCAGGAACUAUUUUAGAUUUUUAUCCUUGCUACAAUCAGUGUGAAUUGCUUCAAAUAUCAUAACAAACAUGUCAUAUAUUAAAUCAUAUCGGGAUUGUCUAUGGUAUUAAGAUGCAUGACAUACACUCGUUUUACAACUAAUUUAACCUAAAUUACUAGCUAAUUAAACUUGGUGGUUACAUAGUUGAUGAAAUUCAUUAACGAUUCCCUGAAUUUUUGUGUCUACGUACGUAUAUCGUAUAUGACUAAGCUUUGUAAGCUUCAGGCUAUCAAGGAAGGCAGGUUGUUGCUACUUAAUUAGAACAUUGGCCAGCUCUCUCAACGUGCACUUCUGGAAUUCUUGUAGCAAAACGUGCAACACAAAUUAAGCUGAGAGAAGGGACAAAAUAAAUAAUUUAUGAAAUUUGUCUUGUUCACUUCAUUGCUCAAAAAUGGAAACCCCUAGCAGUCCCUUUGAUCGAAUUAUAUCUUGAAGGAAGGUGAGGACAAGCAAAGUCGUUCAGACGAAUCAUGAUGAUUCUAUGUCCCCAUUUGAGGCAUCUUUGCACGUGAAAAUUACACCUCAUGCAGUACUACUGCCUGCUGGGCCUAAUUUCUCUUUCACAUCAGAAUUCACAUGCAUAGGACUGGGGGACAGAGAAAUCGUCUUUUUACCUAUUUGCUUGAAGAAAAGUUAGAAAAAACUUGGAUGUUUUUAUUUUUAUCCUCAUUUUUAUGGUGUAAGACUUGUUAACUACAAGCAAGAGCCUGUAGAGCAACCGACAAAUUUACCGUAGAACAGUAUCGAGGACUAUUUAGACUGUACCGUCCCAACUUGGCAAGAAGAUUAGCAACGAAAGUGGCUUCUUAAAAUUUUGAUGCUUAGCUAAUUAGUAAUUACUAUGCACCAAAUCUGAAUUACCACGUACCAAAUCUGCUGGCUUGUCAACGCAUUUGAACUAAAUAGAAGAUUUGAUUUUGAUUGAGGGAGCUUUCAAAUAAAUUAAUAAAUUUUAAAAAUAAGAAAAAAAACCCUUCUUUAGGCUAUUUUUUUAAUAUGUAGAAUGCUACGUUCACUUUUGAAUUAUUUUUUUUUUUUUAAAGACAAAUAACUUGAUUUUAAAUAGUCAUUACAUAUCAAUUCGUUGUCAUGUAUAGACAGUCCUAUGACUACUCACCCAUCAAUUCAUGUUCCCUUGUAGACAAUAAUAAACAAUUAACAAAGGAUAGAGAAAAUAGAAAUUAGACUAAGCUAAUAUAAUUCAUUUUUGAAUGAUACAAAAUGCAUAGUUGGUAAUAAAGUUUUCUCAAAUUUACGAUAUAUUAUACCUGCAGAUAUAUGGACACCAAUCGAUCUAGAAUGUAAUUAUUAACUUAAACUUAUAUGCAUGCAAUUAAAUUAAGGAAUUCUUGGAUCUAAUUUUGUUUUAUUUUUUAAGAUCACUCUUGUUUCAUCUUUCUCUUCUCACACAAGUUUGAACACGAAUUAAGAAGAGAAACCACUAGUGUAAGACUAAGCAGAUGAAUUUAACUAUUAUCAACUAUUGGAAGAACCUCAUCAAUCAUUACGCAUUAUUAAAGGAAGGAUAACUUUUUCAAAGUAUUCCCCCCAACCAUACCAACUCGCAUUUAUUUUGUCUCCUUACAAAUAAUGUACAAGAAAUUAAACAGUGUAUGAACAUUUAAAGUUUCAUAACACAUGCUAAAUUGCUAAUUAACCAAAGAUAAAAAGCAGAGGGUUUUCACAUCCCACGCAAAACACAUGCAUGGGAGGGAAAGUAGCGCCAAACCAUAUGGAUAGAGCACCGUGUGAAGUCGCUUGUCCAUAUCUUUUGAGUUGCAGUGUCUUUUUUUCCCAGAAAAGACUGGAGCUUGCGCGCAUAUGCCAGUAAAGGCUGACAAGUGAUCGAAUCCACGAUGAUCCACGUAUAUGUAUCUGGAGCCUUCGCUUGGAGAUUAGUAAAUACUGCAAUAUAUAUAUACGAAUAUUGCAGUUAUUUGUCUAGCUAGCUGUAGUAGUACUCGAAGACACAAUUUCUAUAGUGUUUAUACUUCAAAGCUAAAACCAGUCGUUGUUUUCGCACCCUGCGCAUAGAGCCCUACGUUAAUCAUCAUUACUACCGUGUAUACUUGUUUGAAAUGAAAAAAAAAAUAAAAUCAUAAAUCGAGAAAAGAAAUGAAUCACGUUAUUAAUUUUGAACGGUUGAUUCAUAAACUCAACUCAUGCUAUGUAAUCAUUCAGUUCCAGUCCAUUCCAAGAAAAUAACUAGUAUAAUUAUAAUUAUUUUCUUUUCCUGAAAUUUGUCAGCGUGUAUGAUAGCUCUAGCAAGGUACGUUAAUCGUCACACAGUCAUUUUCUGAAGGUUCUUUCUCAUUUUGGGUGAAGCAGGUCAUUUGAGUAUUUGAUAAGGAACAUCUCUUAGCGGAGGGAUAAUAUAUUGCAUUAAAAUCACACGCCGAUUUAUCUUGGAAAUCCAGACCGAACAGGUGGCAUGAUCAUGUAGAAACAGAUUCCACUCGAAGACUACUAUACACAGCCUAAAUCUGGCUAUAAAUAGAGCAAGCAUGUUGCAAGAGAAAAACCACUAACAGCAAACACAAGCUAUACGCCAUAAGUUAGCCUUGUUCUCUCUAUCCGAUCUUUGCCUUUAAGCCAUCAUCACCAUGCUCGGCCUAGCAAACAAUGUGACUACCAAGGUGGCCUCAGUAGUCCACUCUACUCAGCAGACCAUUGCUGGGGAGCUUAGCCUGUUUGCUAUGUCUGAUAAGAAAAUCUUGGAUGAGAUUUACACAACUCAUGUCCAUGCUGAUGAAUCAUUUGAUGAUGAUUCUCUCUUCGUCAUUGUUGAGAACAUUCUUAAGCGUGCAACUCAAACGGUUGACAAAAUUGUACAGGUAUAAACCACAUUGUAUAAUGAAGUCCUAUGCAAAAAAUGACCAUUUUUUGAUCUGCUAGAAACUGCCUUUUUCUUUUUUGGUAGUGACUGCUACGUACAUUCUUGUGGUUGUUGCAGGGUACCCAAGUGCAUGUGGAAGACAUAGAGGAGAAGAUCCCCAAACCCAACUUCAGUGUACCACUGUGCACUCUUAAGGGAAUCUCAUGCGAGGUCCAUUAUACCAGCGAAUUAAACUCAAUAACUUUAUAAAUUAGUUGUUAAUUGAUCGUUAAUUACAUUCUAUAAUUUCAGAUGCAAUGCAAGCCUCCUGGUGAGGAAAUCGCCCACAAGACAACACUGGCGAUACUCAACAAGCUGUCACAUUAUUCAUGGGAAGCGAAGGCAUCACUGACCCUAGCAGCUUUUGCCAUGGAAUUUGGUGAAUUCUGGCUCCUCGCAGACCUUCGCGAAUCAAACCACCUUGCCAAAUCAAUUGCAAUUCUCAAACGAGUCCCUGUUCUCCUCAAGCCUUCUCAGCUGCAAAAGCGCAGGCAAGCAAUACUUGAGCUUAACAAUCUGAUCAAGGCAACAUUGCAAGUGAUUGAAUGCAUCGACCAGUUCGGCAAGCUUUCCGUUUAUCCCCCAAAAGAUGUCCCUGCUUUGUCGAUAGCAUUGGAACACACCCCGGUGGAUAUCUAUUGGGCUAUCAUGACUGUUGUGGCUUGUGCCACUAAGGUCACUUUACUCACUAGUGAUGAGUAAGUUCUUCGAUCUCCAUCGUUUUUCAAAGAAUUGACCUUGUGGUUUGAAAUCGACAUCUGUUUAGUUUUUGUGGUUUUAUUUUAAUCUGAAUAGUCAUUAAAGUCAUAAUUUUUCAUCAAAAUAAUCUUUAUUAUUUUAUUUUAAUCUGAAUAGUCCUUAAAAUCAUGAUUUUUUAUCCAAAUAGUUAUUCUGACAAUUUUUUCAGUUAAAAAAUCAUGAUUUUUCAUCUAAAUAGUCAUUUCAACAAUUUUUUCAGUUAAAAGAAAAAUCAUGACUUUAAGGACUAUUCAUAUUAAAAUAAAACCAUAAGGACUAAACAGAUGUCGGCUUCAAACCACAAGGACUAUACAAUAGUUUACCCUUUUUCAAAAUAUAUUUCGGAUAACUUUACAACGGAU